rnacentral:lncRNA from 1 species
GAGGAGUCAUUUGGUGACUUUUGAGUGAAAUCCAACGGCUAAAACUAUGCAAUACACUAACCACACCAUUUCAGAACGAACUUCGUACAAACCUGAAUUGUCCAAUUUCAUGGACCAAUCGAUAUCGGAUUGAGUCCGAAACGUGGGGAACAUCAUAAUAUGAUGGGAGGAGUCAUUUGGUGACUUUUGAGUGAAAUCCAAUGGCUAAAACUAUGCAAUACACCAACCACUCCAUUUCAUAACGAACUUCGUACGAACCUGAAUUGUCAAAUUUCAAGGAGUAACCGAUAUCGGACUGAGUCCGAAACUUGGGGAACAUCAUAAUACGAUGGGAGGAGUGGUUUGGUGACUUUUGAGUGAAAUCCAAUGGCUAAAACUACGCAAUACACUAACCACUCCAUUCAGAACGAACUUCGUACAAACCUGAAUUGUCCAAUUUCAUAGACCAAUCGAUAUCGGAUUGAGUCCAAAACUUGGGGAACAUCAUAAUACGGAGGGAGAAGUCGUUUGUUGUCUUUUGACUGAAAUCCAAUGGCUAAAACUAUGCAAUACACUAACCACUCCAUUUCAGAACGAACUUCGUACAAACCUGAAUUGUCCAAUUUCAUGGACCAAUCGAUAUCGGAUUGAGUCCGAAACGUGGGGAACAUCAUAAUAUGAUGGGAGGAGUCAUUGGUGCUUUUUGAGUGAAAUCCAAUGCUAAACUAUACAAUACACUAACCAUUCCAUUUCAUAAUGAACUCGUACGAACUUGAAUUGUCCAAUUUUAUGGACCAAUCGAUAUCGGAUUGAGUCCGAAAACUUGGGGAACAUCAUAGUAUGAUGGGAGGAGUCAUUUGGUGACUUUUGAGUGAAAUCCAAUGGGUAAAACUAUGCAAUACACUAACCACUCCAUUUCAGAACGAACUUCGUACAAACCUGAACUGUCCAAUUUCAUGGACCAAUCGAUAUCGGAUUGAGUCCAAAACUUGGGGAACAUCAUAAUACGGAGGGAGAAGUCGUUUGUUGUCUUUUGACUGAAAUCCAAUGGCUAAAACUAUGCAAUACACUAACCACUCCAUUUCAGAACGAACUUCGUACAAACCUGAAUUGUCCAAUUUCAUGGACCAAUCGAUAUCGGAUUGAGUCCGAAACUUGGGGAACAUCAUAAUAUGAUGGGAGGAGUCAUUUGGUGCCUUUUGAGUGAAAUCAAAUGGCUAAAACUAUGCAAUACACUAACCACUCCAUUUCAGAACGAACUUCGUACGAACUUGAAUUGUGCAAUUUCAUGGACCAAUCGAUAUCGAAUUGAGUCCGAAACUUGGGGAACAUCAUAAUAUGAUGGGAGGAGUCAUUUGGUGACUUUUGAGUGAAAUCCAAUGGCUAAAACUAUGCAAUACACUAACCACUCCAUUUCCGAACGAACUUCGUACAAACCUGAACUGUUCAAUUUCAUGGACCAAUCGAUAUCGGAUUGAGUCCAAAACUUGGGGAACACCAUAAUACGGAGGGAGGAGUCAUUUGGUGUCUUUUGACUGAAAUCCAAUGGGUAAAACUAUGCAAUACACUAACCACUCCAUUUAAGAACGAACUUCGUACAAACCUGAAUUGUCCAAUUUCAUGGAUCAAUCGAUAUCGGAUUGAGUCCAAAACUUGGAGAAUAUCAUAAUAAGGUGGAAGGAGUCAUUUGGGGUCUUUUGAGUGAAAUCCAAUGGCUAAAACUAUGCAAUACACCAACCACUCCAUUUCAGAACGAACUUCGUACGAACCUGAAUUGUCCAAUUUCAUGGACCAAUCGAUAUCGGAUUGAGUCCAAAACUUGUGGAACAUCAUAAUACGGUGGGAGGAGUCAUUCGGUGACUUUUGAGUGAAAUCCAAUGGCUAAAACUAUGCAAUACACUAAACACACCAUUUCAUAACGAACUUCGUAAGAACCUGAAUUGUCCAAUUUCAUGGACCAAUCGAUAUCGGAUUGAGUCCAAAACUUGGGGAACAUCAUCAUAUGAUGGGAGAAGUCAUUUGGUGACUUUUGAGUGAAAUCCAAUGGCUAAAACUAUGCAAUACACUAAACACACGAUUUCAGAACGAACUUCGUAAGAACUUGAAUUGUCCAAUUUCAUGGACCAAUCGAUAUCGGAUUGAGUCCAAAACUUGGCGAACAUCAUCAUAUGAUGGGAGGAGUCAUUUGGUGACUUUUGAGUGAAAUCCAACGGCUAAAACUAUGCAAUACACUAACCACUCCAUUUCAAAACGAACUUCGUACAAACCUGAAUUGUCCAAUUUCAUGGACCAAUCGAUAUCGGAUUGCGUCCGAAACUUGGGGAACAUCAUAAUAUGAUGGGAUGAGUCAUUUGCUGCCUUUUGAGUGAAAUCCAAUGGCUAAAACUAUGCAAUACACUAACCACUCCAUUUCAGAACGAACUUUGUACAAACUUGAAUUGUCCAAUUUCAUGGACCAAUCGAUAUCGGAUUGAGUCCAAAACUUCGGGAACAUCAUAAUACGGAGGGAGGAGUCAUUUGGUGUCUUUUCAGUGAAAUCCAAUGGCUAAAACUAUGCAAUGCACUAAACACACCAUUUCAUAACGAACUUCGUAAGAACCUGAAUUGUCCAAUUUCAUGGACCAAUCGAUAUCGGAUUGAGUCCAAAACUUGGGGAACAUCAUCAUAUGAUGGGAGGAGUCAUUUGGCGACUUUUGAGUGAAAUUCAAUGGCUAAAACUAUGCGAUACACUAAUCACUCCAUUUAAGAACGAACUUCGUACAAACCUGAAUUGUCCAAUUUCUUGGACCAAUCGAUAUCGGACUGAGUCCAAAACUUGGGGAACAUCAUCAUAUGAUGGGAGGAGUCAUUUGGUGACUUUUGAAUGAAAUUCAAUGGCUAAAACUAUGCAAUACACUAACCACUCCAUUUCAGAACGAACUUCGUACAAACCUGAAUUGUCCAAUUUCAUGGACCAAUCGAUAUCGGAUUGAGUCCAAAACUUGGGAAACAUCAUAAUACGGUGGCAGGAGUCAUUUGGCGAGUUUUGAAUGAAAUCGAAUCUCUACAACUGUGCAAUACACCAAGCACUCCAUUUCAUAACGAACUUCGUACGAACCUGAAUUGUCCAAUUUCAUGGACCAAUCGAUAUCUGAUUGAGUCCAAAACUUAGGGAACAUCAUCAUAUGAUGGGAGGAGUCAUUUGGUGACCUUUGAGUGAAAUCCAAUGGCUAAAACUAUGCAAUACACUAAACACACCAUUUCAGAACGAACUUCGUAAGAACCUGAAUUGUCCAAUUUCAUGGACCAAUCGAUAUCGGAUUGAGUCCAAAACUUGGGGAACAUCAUCAUAUGAUGGGAGGAGUCAUCUGGUGACUUUUGAGUGAAAUCCAACGGCUAAAACUAUGCAAUACAAUAACCACUCCAUUUCAGAACGAACUUUGUACAAACUUGAAUUGUCCAAUUUCAUGGACCAAUCGAUAUCGGAUUGAGUCCGAAACUUGGGGAACAUCAUAAUAUGAUGGGAUGAGUCAUUUGGUGCCUUUUGAGUGAAAUCCAAUGGCUAAAACUACGCAAUACACUAACCACUCCAUUUCAGAACGAACUUUGUACAAACUUGAAUUGUCCAAUUUCAUGGACCAAUCGAUAUCGGAUUGAGUCCAAAACUUGGGGAACUUCAUAAUACGGUGGGAGGAGUCAUUUGGUGUCUUUUGAAUGAAAUCCAAUGGCUAAAAUUAUGCAAUAAACUAACCACUCCAUUUCGGAACGAACUUCGUAUGAACCUGAAUUGUCCAAUUUCAUGCACCAAUCGAUAUCGGAUUGAGGCCAAUACUUGGGGAACAACACAAUACGGUGGGAGGAGUCAUUUCGUGGCCUUUGAGUGAAAUCCAAUCUCUACAACUAUGCAAUACACUAACCACUCCAUUUCAUAACGAACUUCGUACGAACCUGAAUUGUCGAAUUUCAUGGACCAAUUGAUAUCGGAUUGAGUCCAAAAGUUUUGAAACAUCAUAAUAUGAUGGUUGGAGUCAUUUGGUGACUUUUGAGUGAAAUCCAAUCUCUACAACUGUGCAAUACGCCAACCACUCCAUUUCAUAACGAACUUCGUACGAACCUGAAUUGUCGAAUUUCAUGGACCAAUCGAUAUCGGAUUGUGGCCAAAACUUGGGGAACAUCAUAAUAUGAUGGUUGGAGUCAUUUGGUGACAUUUGAGUGAAAUCCAAUGGCUUAAACUAUGCAAUACAAUAACCACCCCAUUUCAUAACGAACUUCGUACGAUCCUGAAUUGUCCAAUUUCAUGGACCAAUCGAUAUCUGAUUGAGUCCAAAACUUAGGGAACAUCAUAAUACGAUGGGAGGAGUCAUUUGGUGCCUUUUGAGUGAAAUCCAAUGGCUAAAACUAUGCAAUACACUAACCACUCCAUUUCAGAACGAACUUCGUACAAACCUGAAUUGUCCAAUUUCAUGGACCAAUCGAUAUCGGAUUGAGUCCGAAACUUGGGGAACAUCAUAAUAUGAUGGGAUGAGUCAUUUAGUGCCUUUUGAGUGAAAUCGAAUGGCUAAAACUAUGCAAUACACUAACCACUCCAUUUCAGAACGAACUUUGUACAAACUUAAAUUGUCCAAUUUCAUGGACCAAUCGAUAUCGGAUUGAGUCCAAAACUUGGGGAACAUCAUAAUACGGUGGGAGGAGUCAUUUGGUGUCUUUUGACUGAAAUCCAAUGGCUAAAAUUAUGCAAUACACUAACCACUCGAUUUCGGAACGAACUUCGUACGAACCUGAAUUGUCCAAUUUCAUGGACCAAUUGAUAUCGGAUUGAGUCCAAAAUUUGGGGAAUAUCAUAAUACGGUGGGAGGAGGCAUUUGCGGUCUUUUGAGUGAAAUCCAAUGGCUAAAACUAUGCAAUACACCAACCACUCCAUUUCAGAACGAACUUCGUACUAACCUGAAUUGUCCAAUUUCAUGGACCAAUCGAUAUCGGAUUGAGUCCAAAACUUGGGGAACAUCAUAAUACGGUGGGAGGAGUCAUUUGGCGGGUUUUGAAUGAAAUCGAAUCUCUACAACUGUGGAAUACACCAAGCACUCCAUUUCAUAACGAACUUCAUACGAACCUGAAUUGUCCAAUUUCAUGGACCAAUCGAUAUCGGAUUGAGUCCAAAACUUGGGGAACAUCAUAAUACGGUGGGUGGAGUCAUUUUGGUGGGUUUUGAGUAAAAUCCAAAUCUCUACAACUAUGCAAUACACCAACCACUCCAUCUUAGAACGAACUUCAUACGAUAUCGGAUUGAGUCAAAAACUUGGGGAACAUCAUAAUCUGAUGGGAGGAGUCAUUUGGUGACUUUUGAGUGAAAUCCAAUGGCUAAAACAAUGCAAUACACUAACCACUCCAUUUCAGAACGAACUCCGUACGAACCUGAAUUGUCCAAUUUCAUGGACCAAUCGAUAUCGGAUUGAGGCCAAUACUUGGGGAACAUCACAAUACGGUGGGAGGAGUCAUUUCGUGGCCUUUGAGUGAAAUCCAAUCUCUACAACUAUGCAAUACACUAACCACUCCAUUUCAUAACGAACUUCGUACGAACCUGAAUUGUCCAAUUUGAUGGACCAAUCGAUAUCGGAUUGAGUCCAAAAGUUUUGAAACAUCAUAAUAUGAUGGUUGGAGUCAUUUGGUGACUUUUGAGUGAAAUCCAAUCUCUACAACUGUGCAAUACGCCAACCACUCCAUUUCAUAACGAACUUCGUACGAACCUGAAUUGUCGAAUUUCAUGGACCAAUCGAUAUCGGAUUGUGGCCAAAACUUGGGGAACAUCAUAAUAUGAUGUCUGGAGUCAUUUGGUGACAUUUGAGUGAAAUCCAAUGGCUUAAACUAUGCAAUACAAUAACCACCCCAUUUCAUAACGAACUUCGUACGAUCCUGAAUUGUCCAAUUUCAUGGACCAAUCGAUAUCUGAUUGAGUCCAAAACUUAGGGAACAUCAUAAUAUGAUGGGAUGAGUCAUUUGGUGACUUUUGAGUGAAAUCCAAUGGCUAAAACUAUGCAAUACACUAAACACACCAUUUCAGAACGAACUUCGUAAGAACCUGAAUUGUCCAAUUUCAUGGACCAAGCGAUAUCGGAUUGAGUCCAAAACUUGGGGAACAUCAUCAUAUGAUGGGAGGAGUCAUUUGGUGACUUUUGAGUGAAAUCCAAUGGCUAAAACUAUGCAAUACACUAACCACUCCAUUUCAGAACGAACUUCGUACAAACCUGAAUUGUCCAAUUUCAUUGACCAAUCGAUAUCGGAUUGAGUCCGAAACUUGGGGAACAUCAUAACAUGAUGGGAGGAGUCAUUUGGUGCCUUUUGAGUGAAAUCCAAUGGCUAAAACUAUGCAAUACAUCAACCACUCCAUUUCAUAACGAACUUCGUACGAGCCUGAAUUGUCGAAUUUCAUGGACCAAUCGAUAUCGGAUUGAGGCUAAAACUUGGGGAACAUCAUCAUAUGAUGGGAGGAGUCAUUUGGUGACUUUUGAGUGAAAUCCAAUGGCUAAAACUAUGCAAUACACUAACCACUCCAUUUCAGAACGAACUUCGUACAAACCUGAAUUGUCCAAUUUCAUGGACCAAUCGCUAUGGGAUUGAGUCCGAAACUUGGGGAACAUCAUAAUAUGAUGGGAGGAGUCAUUUGGUGCCUUUUGAGUGAAAUCCAAUGGCUAAAACUAUGCAAUACACCAAGCACUCCAUUUCAUAACAAACUUCGUACGAGCCUGAAUUGUCCAAUUUCGUGUACCAAUCGAUAUUGGAUUGAGUCCGAAACUUGAGGAGCAACAUAAUAUGAUGGGAGGGGUCAUUUGGUGGCCUUUGAGUGAAAUCCAAUCCCUACAACUAUGCAAUACACUAACCACUCCAUUUCGUAACGAACUUCGUACGAACCUCAAUUGUCCAAUUUCAUGGACCAAUCGAUAUCGGAUUCAGGCCAAUACUUGGAGAAUAUACUGUGGGAGGAGUCAUUUCGUGUCCUUUGAGUGAAAUCCAAUGGUUAAAACUAUGCAAUACACUAACCACUCCAUUUCAGAACGAACUUCGUAGGAACAUGAAUUGUCCAAUUUCAUGGACCAAUCGAUAUCGGAUUGAGUCCAAAACUUGGGAAACAUCAUAAUACGGUGGCAGGAGUCAUUUGGCGAGUUUUGAAUGAAAUCGAAUCUCUACAACUGUGCAAUACACCAGGCACUCCAUUUCAUAACGAACUUCGUACGAACCUGAAUUGUCCAAUUUCAUGGACCAAUCGAUAUCUGAUUGAGUCCAAAACUUAGGGAACAUCAUAAUAUGAUGGGAGGAGUCAUUUGGUGACUUUUGAGUGAAAUCCAAUGGCUAAAACUAUGCAAUACACUAAACACACCAUUUCAGAACGAACUUCGUAAGAACCUGAAUUGUCCAAUUUCAUGGACCAAUCGAUAUCGGAUUGAGUCCAAAACUUGGGGAACAUCAUUAUAUGAUGGGAGGAGUCAUUUGGUGACUUUUGAGUGAAAUCCAAUGGCUAAAACAAUGCAAUACACUAACCACUCCAUUUCAGAACGAACUUCGUACGAACCUGAAUUGUCCAAUUUCGUGUACCAAUCGAUAUUGGAUUGAGUCCGGAACUUGAGGAGCAACAUAAUAUGAUGGGAGGAGUCAUUUGGUGGCCUUUGAGUGAAAUCCAAUCCCUACAACUAUGCAAUACACUAACCACUCCAUUUCAUAACGAACUUCGUACGAACCUCAAUUGUCCAAUUUCAUGGACCAAUCGAUAUCGGAUUGAGUCCAAAACUUGGGGAACAUCAUCAUAUGAUGGGAGGAGUCAUUUGGUGACUUUUGGGUGAAAUCCAGUGGCUAAAACUAUGCAAUACACUAACCACUCCAUUUCAGAACGAACUUCGUACAAACCUGAAUUGUCCAAUUUCAUGCACCAAUCGAUAUCGGAUUGAGUCCAAAAUUUGGGGAAUGACAUACGGUGGGAGGAGGCAUUUGGGGUUUUUUGAGUGAAAUCCAAUGGAUAAAACUAUGCAAUACACCAACCACUCCAUUUCAGAACGAACUUCGUACGAACCUGAAUUGUCCAAUUUCAUGGACCAAUCUAUAUCGGAUUGAGUCCAAAACUUGGGGAACAUCAUAAUACGGUGGGGGGAGUCAUUUGGCGGGUUUUGAAUGAAAUCGACUCUCUACAAUUAUGCAAUACACCAAGCACUCCAUUUCAUAAUGAACUUCAUACGAACCUGAAUUGUCCAAUUUCAUGGACCAAUUGAUAUCGGAUUGAGUCAAAAACUUGGGAAACAUCAUAAUACAGUGGGUGGAGUCAUUUUGGUGGGUUUUGAGUAAAAUCCAAUCUCUACAACUAUGCAAUACACCAACCACUUCAACUCAGAACGAACUUCAUACGAACCUGAAUUGUCCAAUUUCAUGGACCAAUCGAUAUCGGAUUGAGUAAAAAACUUGGCACUACUACAAAAAGUGAAAAAGACGACCAGAAAACAACGACGGUCUAAGUGAAAACCGUCGUGGUUUAUAAAAAGACGACGGUUCUAAAAACACCGUCGUGUAAUACAACCUUAGACAACUAAAAAAUGGAGAUUCAAAUGGCUGUUCAAAAACAACGACGUACAUAAUUAAACAACCGACGUCUAUUUGAAACAGAUUUCCGCAGUGUAAAAUCAAUGCCAACAAAGAACGGCAGAAGUUAUGAAUCGACCGACGUAGAAAGUAAAGACGACGAUUUCAAUAAAAACUGCCGUUUUUACUCAUAAAAUAACACGACGAGGUUUUCGUAUAAGACGCCGUAUAAUUACAAACAAAUCCACGGCUUUAAAAUACAAAAUAUCGCCGUAUUAAAUUAAUUUACAACGACGGAAAAUAUAAAUAUAUCGACGUCAUUCUCGUAUAGUUCUACGACGUUAUCUUUAAAUCGUACAAUAAAAUUUAUCGUCGUAUUUAUUCAUUUUAUACGUCGUACCUUUAAUUUUAACGGUCGUCUUAAUAAGAAUUUUUGUUAACAAUUUUUUUCUUUGAUUUUCUUAUCCUACGUCGGUAGAUCUACUUAAUGACAAGAAUUGAAAUAACCACGACGGUUUAUAUAGAACACCGCCGACAUAAUCAGAUUUGUCUGAGAUCCCAAGGGUUACGAAAUCUUACCAGAUGGAACUCUGUUCCACAUCAUAAUCUUAACAGAUGACACAGAUUUGCAAAUAUUGCGUCGUGUUAGUUUACAAAUUCUAGAACAUUAAUUUCCCUCAUUUUAAAUUUCCUUGGGAAAGAAAAAUCUAUUUAUCACGCUUUGGAAUUGAAAACUAAAACUGAAAGAAUACUGGAAAAAAAACUCUAUUUAUAAUUUAAAAUUAAAAUCCACGUCGGUUGUAGUGCACUUAACGACGUUUAACAAAAUAAUCUACGUCGGUAAUUAUAAAUCUACCGCCAUCUUAACUUAAUAUAGACGACGAGAAAAGACGACGGUAGAACAGAAAACCGCCGUUGUUUCAGUUUCUUUAACAUAUCUUUCUGCAGGACUUGUGUAGUUCAAAGCAUUGACAAUGUCUUCAUCAUAUCUCCCAGAAACUACUGAUUCAAUUGCUCAUGCUUUAGAGGCCAUCUGAAGCCAUUUCUAUUCUUUAUCGCAUUCUUGAAACCCAUCUUCUUCUUCUGAAGCUCUACGGAUAAAGGAAGAGGCUAUCACAAAUCCGACGGAUCUUCUUAGGCAAGAAAAUCAAGCAGAGGAUCAGGCACAUCUGAUCUUCAGAUUUCCCUGAGAAGCGAACUUUCCUUCGACAGCGAGUGGAGGCCAGGCUUGCAUCUCUUUUGAUGGAAAGCAAGGAGUAUUCAGAAGCACUAAGUGUCCUAUCAGGCUUGAUCAAGGAAGUGAGAAGGCUAGUUGACAAGCUUCUUCUUGUGGACAUAUAUUUGAUGCGAGUAAGCUCAAUUUCUCUUUGAGAAAACAUCCAAAUUAUUGUCUUUGAGACAUGAGAGACUGAGAGAGGAAGAACUUGGAACCUUAAAUGUAAACCGAAAAUGAAUGAAAGCGACAAAUUUAUAGAAUAAAUUUUUAAAACCAACGGCGGUCCUUACAAAAAAACCGCCGUUUAAAUUGUAAAAUCAACGUCGGUAUGAUCGACGUAUAUUACAGAAAUCCACGUCGGUAAAUUAAUAAAAACGACGUGUUAAAUAAUCUACCAUGACGCGAGUUAUUACUUAUGUACUUUAAUUUUUGAGUUUACUACGACGGUACCUACAAACUACUGUCGUAUUUAUUUACCACGUCCGAAGUUAAAUGUACCGUCGUAUUUUGUAAUUUAUACGUCGUAGUUAUAUGUAACCGCCGUAUUAUUUUUUUGAAAUGGUUUUAUAUGUAAGCAACUUUUCGUCUACUUGACUUACACAUUUGUUGUUUUUAUAUUCUUAUUUUAUUUAAAUCUGUCAUCCAAAAAAGAAACUUUACAUAUUGCGGAAUAUUAAUUUCCUUCGUUUUAAAUUUCCUCCGGAAAAAAAACUCUAUUUAUAACGCACUGUAAUUGAAAAAUAAACUGAAAGGUCACGGGAAAAAAAAUUCUAUUCAUAAUUUAAAAAUUAAAAUCCACGUCGGUUAUAUUAAACCUAACGACGUUAAAUGAAAUGAUUCCACGUCGAACGAAAAAUAUUGCGUUGUGUUAGUUAAAAACGACGUAGUUAAAUGUAACCGCCGUAUUAUUUUUUUGAAAUGGUUUUAUAUGUAAGCAACUUUUCGACUUACACAUGCACUGUUUCCAAACCCGAUUAAAAAUUUCAAUCUCCCAGAGAAACCUUUUCGCCUUUUUUCCUUGUCAGAGCAUUGUCAGAGUUUCUCAUCGUCUUCCUCUCGUCUUCUUCGUCGUCUCUGAACUUAAACAUCGAUCAUCUUCCUCUUGCUUUCAUUGCACGCAAAAGGUAAGCUUUCAUUUUCACUAUUUUGGUUACUGUUUUGCAUGCUCAUACGUUUUUUGUUUGAAAAAUCUUUUUACCUUUUUUCUGGCCAAAAUCAUUUUACUUCUUUCCAAGUUUGAUAAAAUAUACAGACAAAGAGGGAAAGUUUCCAACUUUGAAGACAACUACCUCAACUAAAUAAGACGACGGUAGACCACGACGGUUCGUCAGUUGUUCUAGCGUCGUCUGAAAAUUGACAAAGUUGUUUUUAAAAUAAUAGUCUUUUUUUAUAUGCUUGUUUAAUUGCAGGUUUGAUUUCUCUGAACAAUGGUUUUUGUUUUUCCCUUAUUUGAUAAAAUAUAAAGAAAAAGAAACUAGGGUUGGUAUCUAAUAUAGACGACAAAAUAUGUUAUUGUUUUACGUUGUGUGAAUGUUAAUACCACGACGGUGUAUUACUAUUGACGUCGUAUGAACAUAAAUACCACGACGUUAUAUAAAUAAUAUUUUACCACGACGGUGUAUUACUAUUGACGUCGUGUGAACAUAUAUACCACGACGUUAUAUAAAUAAUGGUUUUAAACAUUUAUUACGUCUGAGAUUAUUUCAUUGCGUCGUCUAAAAUCAUAUCAUACGUCGUAUUGUUUUAAUACCGUCGUUUGUGUUCUUAAUGUUUUCCUGAAAUAUUUUCACUUGCAGUUUUGUCUGUUAAAAUGGUUUCUCAACAACAAACUAAGGAUUCUGGCUCCAAGAAGCUUGGAAUGGUAGCUCCUCAAGACAAGUCUUCGAAGGAGAUGAAGUCUUCGAAGAAGAUGAAGUUUGCUUCAUCAUCUGCUGAGACAGAACAAACCAGCCAGACAACAAUCUCUGAUGAUUCAAAGACUGGUCGAGGUAUGAGCACAAUGCCUCGUGUUGUGAAGAGAAAGCUUCAGAAACUGAGGCCAAUUGUUGAGUACAAUAAAAGGGGGAAAGGUGUUGGCCAAGCACAUAUUGAGAUGCAGUCGUAUAUUGGUGUGUUGGCACGCUCCAGGAUCCCACUUGUGGACAAGAAAUGGUCCCAAAUCCCCAAGGAUAUAAAGGAGCAGAUUUGGGAAGCAGUUGACAUGGCUUUUGUUGUAGGCCAAGGGGGCAAGACCUCUGUUUUAGCUUCUGCUUCCAAGAAAUGGAAGGAUUUCAAGUCUACACUAACGAUGCAUUAUAUCCUUCCAUACACCAAUGACAGGGAGAAAUUAAGCCAACCCCCUGAAACAUAUAAAUUCAUAGAGAAAGCACAAUGGGAUGCCUUUGUAGCUUCAAGGCUAUCCAAAGAUUUUGAGUCUGUGCAUUCUCAACAUGCACAGAUUAGGGAGAAACUCGAGUACAAUCAUCGAUUGUCUCGAAAAGGAUAUGCUGGAUUGGAGGAUCAAUUGGAGGAAACCAUGCCUGGGGUAGAAAUUGAUCGAUCUACCUUAUGGAAGAGAGCUAGACAGGACAAACAUGGUAACAUCCCUGAUCCAAAGGUGGCAGAGAAAGCAAAAUUAAUUGUAAGCCUACUAUCACUCUGUUUUAAAUUUUUAUUAAACUGUGAAUUAUUCUUAUUACGUCGUAUGUUAUAUUUUUCGUCGUGUGAAUGAUAUUACCACGUCGAAAAGUUUUUAAAAACGUCGUUAAAGGUCUAAAUAGGAAUCACUACUAUGUUUUCUGUAAUUAUAGCAUAAGACGUCGGUGGUUCAUUUUCGCGUCGUGUGAAUGAUAUUACCACGUCGAAACUUUUUUAAAAACGUCGUUAACGGUCUAAAUAGGAAUCACUACUCUGUUAUCUUUAAUUAUAGCAUAAGAUGUCGGUUGUUUAUUCAUUUCGUCGUUUUAAAUAAAUAACCACGUCGGUAUAACUACCGUCGUGAUAAGUUAUAAUAACGUCGGUUUAUACGUUAUUGCGUCGUGUGAAAUUAUAUAAUACGUCGUUUGUACAUAAAUAACCGUCGUGUGUUUUUUUGUUUAUCUUUUUUUAGGAUGAAUUGCAGAAACAAGUCUCGGAAGGCAAAGUCAGAGUAGAUGGCAGCAAUGAUGUGCUGACCAUGGCUUUGGGCCCCGAGCAUCCAGGCAGACUGAGGGGAGUUGGUGCUGGUGUUUCCCCAAGGCAAUAUUUCAAUUUGCCCAAACCACAGAGGGUGAGCUUUGACGACCGUUUGAAGGACAGUUUAAGAGUUCUCCUUCAAGAAGAGACUAAAAAGAUGGAGGCUAAGGCAAGGGAAGAGGCCUUAAGGAUGGAGGCUAGGACAAAACAAUUGGUAGAGGCUGAGAGGGAGCAUUUCCUGAGUCAGCUUUCCCAAUUAAUUCCCAAUUUUGAUCCAAGCAUGCUUAAACCAAGAAUUAGCCAAAGCCCCAAAAAUCCAAUGUCUGACAAAGCUAGCUGCUCUGGAGGUGAUGUGAGAUCCCUACAUUUGGAGGAUGAUACUGCCAAAAUGGGGAAACAUCAGCCAGAUGAAGAGAAGGAAGAAGAAAAAAGAGAUGAAGAGAAGGAAGAAGAAAAGGAGAAAGAAGAUGAAGAAAAGCAUGACGACAAGGUAUGUUCACAUAACUUUGCCUUUUUUAUUUGUUUUUCAAAAUUUCAGACGUCGAUAUUUUUAUUUAAUCCGUCGUUUGUUUAAAACUUAGACGGCGGAAUUUUUUUAAGACGUAAUAAAAUAUUUAAACGACGGUUUUUGCACCGUCGUUUAAAUGGUUUCAGACGACGCUUUAUUCAUAAAACCGUCGUCUUUAUUGAAUUACCACGACAGUUUUUUCACCGUCGUUUAAAUACUUUUAAGACGACGUUUUAUUACUUAAACCGUCGUCUUUAUUGAAUUACCACGUCAUUUUUUUUAUUUCUUUAAACAGGUUAUUGAAGUUGGUGCUUAUUCAAAUAUGGAGGCGCCAUCUUCUUUAAAAACCCUUUGUCGUUUUGUGGAAACGACACUCCUGCCUGAGGAUAAGACACUCCAAUUUACAAUUGAUAAGGAGGUGUUUGGUGGUGAGCGCGAUACCUUCCUCCUGCCUGAAGAUAUUACACAAUUUGCAGGCAUGGAAGAAAUUGGAGCUACUGUAUUGGCUGUAUAUAUGAGGUUUGUACUUCUAAGAUAAUAACUCGUUGGUUUAUAUAUUGCGUCGUCUUAACUAACUAACCACGUCGUCUUAACUAACUACCGUCGUGAUAAAUAUAUUAUAACGUCCUUAUCUAUUUCAGUACGUCGUGUGAAAUAUUAUAAUACGUCGUUUUUUUAUACAUAACCGUCGUGUUUGUUUUUGCUGACUUGUUUAUAUUAUUUUAUGUAUUUAGGUACUUACACGAUGUUUUGAAACAAGCCAAUAUGUGCAGCAUGGUUGGCUUUAUUGACCCUGCUACAGUUAGUGCCAACUCUGGCACAAUAACUGAAAGAUCACGACUGGUAGCAGCUCGACUUCAGAAGACAGACGGUGAACAGCUUUUCAUGAUGCCUUACAAUCCAGGGUUAGUCUCCUUAGGAUUUUGUUUUUAUGAUUUUCAAUAAAUGACAGAUUAUAAACUAACCACGUCGGUGUUUUAUUUUAUUUAGUCGUUUGAAACUACUAACCACGUCGGUAUUUAUUUGUCGUCGUGAUAAAUAUAUAAUGUCGUCGUUAUCUACUUUAUUUCGUCGUGUGAAAUACUAUAAUACGUCGUUUUUGUAAAUAACCGUCGUUUUUAUAUUAAUUUUGUGCAGCCGUCAUUGGAUCUUGCUGAUUGUAAGAGCAAAGAAGGAGACCGUCUAUUUUCUGGAUCCUCUGCCAGGUCAUCGUGUGGUCGACGAAGAGGCGAAAAACAUUGUGAACAGUGCUUUAAAAAUAUAUCAUACCCACAUAGCCCGAGCAGGACGUAAAAAUGUAAUUUGGAAAACUCUCUCAGGCACACCAAAGCAACCCAACAAUGUCGAAUGCGGGUAUUAUGUGAUGCGCUUCAUGAGGGACAUCAUCAUGGAUCCUUCCUUGGGGUUUGAGAAUAAGGUAAGAAGAAAUUACCUUCAUACAUUUCACGUCGUUUUUUGUAUUAUCAACGACGGUCGUGUAAAAUUAACGUCGUUGAAUGGAUAUACUACGUCGGUUAUGAAAAAUAUCGUCGUCUGUGAUUGAAUUUCUUUUUAUUUAUAAACCCUAAUAGUCAUUGUUUAUGCAGUAUGCCAAGGGAAACCAGGAAGCUUCAUACCCCCAAGAAGCCAUUGAUGAAGUCCGGAAUGAAUGGGCAGAGUUUGUUUUCCAAAUUAUUAAACAGGGCAAUUAUUGAACACUUGAUAUUUAUGUAUAAUGUACAAAUUUUCUCUAUAAUAUGUAAUGUAAAAAUUUGUUGAGGUUUUCUUAAAUUAAAAAAAAAACAUACAAAUUGCUUAACCGACGUGUAAUACUUUUCCAACGACCUAAUAAAGUCAAAAACCGUCGUAUUUUGUUGUUUCGUGUUUUAAACAAAUACGACGUAAAAAUAUAGUUAGACGACGUUCUUUGAACAAUUGAGUCGUUUAUGGUUUACAACAUCUUCAAUUUCUUAAGGGUUCAGGGUAUCAUCGACGACGUUUAUGUAACGACAGCGGUUAAGUCGUGGAAUAUAUAUUUUACGUCGUAUAGUUAAAUAGCCGCCAUGGUUUCUCAUUUUAACGACGUCAUUUUAACGACUUAGUAGUCUAUUACAAUUUACAACGUCUACAAUUUAUUAACACCGACGUGGUUUGUUGUUGUGGUAAGAAUAUUUUAUUAUUUUUAUUUCAAAAUAUUCAAAAUAAAUUUAAAAUAAAUCAGAAAAUUGAAAAGUCAUCUCCUAUGAAGUCAUUGAUAUAUUUUCUUCCACAUAAACCUUGAAAAAAUUCAUUUUGAAUAACAAAAAUUUAAAAUGACCAUCCAAAACAAAAUUGUUUUGAUGAGUCAUAAAAUCACUUCUAGUUUUAUGGUUUAGGGUUUAGAGUCUAGGGUUUAGAGAUUAGGGUUGUUAUUUAUUGGGGUUUAUUUUUAAAGUAUAAUUUUUGGGUAGUCUAGGGUAUAUGUUAGGCUUUAAAACCAUAAAACCUUUUAUAAACUUAAUUUUUUAAAUUGUAUAAUUUAGUUUUAUGGGUUUAGGGUAUUAAUUUUUAACGACGGUGGUUGCGUCGUGGAAUACAUAUUUUACGUCGUACAGAAAAACAUACGACAUGGUUUACUCUUUAAACGACGUCAUUUUAAUAUGUAAGUCGGUUUAUAUAAUUUACAACGUCUUUAAUUUCUUAACACCGACGUGGUUUUUCAGUCGUCGUUAUAUAAAAAAUUCAAAAUAAAUUUAAAAUUAAUCCGAAAAAUGAAGCUUCAAAAUGAACGGCCUUACGUUCUUAAUUCGAAAAAUGAAGUUUCCGUCGUGGAAUAUUAAAUUUACGUCGGUACGUGUAGAACUUUCGCCUUGGUUUUUCUUUCGACGUUUUAAAACGCGCGAGCUCUAAAACCUAAAAUUUUUUAGAUUUGGCUCUUAUUCUUAUACUUCGAACCCUGAAACCUAAAAUUUUCAGAUUUCGCGCGACAUAACAUUUCGCUCUCUCACUUCUGCUCUAAUUAAAAGUUGCACUCUCCAGGCUCCGUCGAAUCUGUGAGCUCGUCCAACCUGUAAGUACAAACCCUAUCUUCCCCUUGUAAAUUCAUUGAAUGAUAUUAGGUUGUUUUGUUAAAGGGGUUCAUGUGUAUGCUUUGCGAUCUGUUAAUAAUGUGCUUAUAGGUAUGGGUUCAUGGAUUUUCUGUUUAAUGGGUUCAUGGAUUACAUUAUCUGUUAUGUUGAAUUGGGAAUGGAUUUAAUUUUGUCGUAUCUUUUAAUCACCCUAUGUUAUGUUGAAUUGGGAAUGGAUUUAUUGUUUUCAUGCUUGGUUUCAUGUAUAUGUUGGUUUCUUGCUUGGUUUCAUAUAUAUGUUGUGUUCUUAAUGGGUUUUGUGUUCUUGAAAAUAAACUGAGACACGACGAAUUUUAAGGCAUACGACGACGAUUAGACGACGGUUUUUUUAAACUACCGUCGUUGUAUUACUUAUACACGACGGUUUUUUCAUAAACCGUCGUUUGUAUUACUUAUAAUAGACGACGUCUGUUGAAAAUCCGUCGUCUAUAUAUGCCAAAUAUGUCUGUUUUUGUUUAAAACCCGUCGUCUCUGUUGUGUAUUACUUGCGAUUAGAUCAUUGUAUAAUCUGCUAUAGUGAUGGUCAUUGCCUGUAUUUUCACUUUAUUAUAGAUAAUAGGUUAUAGUGUCGGAGAUGGAUAAGUCAUGGAUGCACUCGGAUAGAAGAUCGAAGGCAUAUGAAUUUGGGGUGGAAGCAUUUUUGAACUUUGCUGUAGAAAAUCUUCUAACUACAACACAUAUCCGUUGUCCAUGUGUUAAAUGUGUUAAUUUGAAGUUGUUUGGGGUUGGAAUUAUAAGGGAUCACUUAUACUUUAAUGGAAUUGACCAAAGCUAUAAGAAUUGGACAUUUCACGGAGAACCUUGGGAAGCAACUACUAAUGCUAGUAGAAAUGUUGAAGAAGAUGAUGGCCAUAGUAGGUAUAGUUUUGUGUCUGAAGAAAUUGAUAUGGAUGAUAAUGAUUUUGGUGAUUUUGGUUCGGAUCCGUAUGAGUUUGCCAAUGUGAUUGGGGAUGGAGAUCAACCAGUGUACCCUGGUUGUAGAAAGUACACGAAGUUAUCGGCAUUAGUGAAGUUGUAUAAUUUGAAGGCAAAACAUGGGAUGAGUGAUGUCUGUUUUACAGAAUUAUUGACACUUCAAGGCGAUUUGCUUCCAGAAGGAAAUACAAUACCAACCUCCAUGUAUGAGGCUAAAAAGACUUUGUGUGCAUUGGGGCUGAGUUAUGAGAAAAUGCACGCAUGCCCCAAUGAUUGCAUCUUGUAUAGGAAGGAGUAUGAGGAUUCAACUAAUUGUCCUACUUGUGGUAUCUCAAGGUGGAAGGAAGGCAAAGAUUCAAUCUUGAAAGAGGGUGUGCCAGCGAAGGUGGUGUGGUAUUUUCCCCCAAUUCUAAGGUUUAAAAGGAUGUUUCAAUCACAUGAGACAGCUAAGAGUUUGACUUGGUGGCAUGCUGCUAGAAAAUCAAUUGACGGUCAGAUGUCUCAUCCGGCGGAUUCCCCGUCUUGGAAACUUCUUGAUGAUAAAUGGCCUGAGUUUGGUAAUGAGCCGAGAAACUUGAGAUUGGCUCUUUCAUCUGAUGGAUUCAAUCCCCACAGUUCUCUAAGUAGCAGAUAUAGUUGUUGGCCGGUUAUCUUAGUUACAUAUAAUCUCCCUCCAUGGCUGUGCAUGAAACGAAAGUUCAUGAUGUUAACCUUAUGAUUUCCGGUCCUAAACAACCCGGAAAUGAUAUAGANNNNNNNNNNNNNNNNNNNNNNNNNNNNNNNNNNNNNNNNNNNNNNNNNNNNNNNNNNNNNNNNNNNNNNNNNNNNNNNNNNNNNNNNNNNNNNNNNNNNNNNNNNNNNNNNNNNNNNNNNNNNNNNNNNNNNNNNNNNNNNNNNNNNNNNNNNNNNNNNNNNNNNNNNNNNNNNNNNNNNNNNNNNNNNNNNNNNNNNNNNNNNNNNNNNNNNNNNNNNNNNNNNNNNNNNNNNNNNNNNNNNNNNNNNNNNNNNNNNNNNNNNNNNNNNNNNNNNNNNNNNNNNNNNNNNNNNNNNNNNNNNNNNNNNNNNNNNNNNNNNNNNNNNNNNNNNNNNNNNNNNNNNNNNNNNNNNNNNNNNNNNNNNNNNNNNNNNNNNNNNNNNNNNNNNNNNNNNNNNNNNNNNNNNNNNNNNNNNNNNNNNNNNNNNNNNNNNNNNNNNNAUGCCGUGAGACUUAACGACAACUCCCCUCUGCUGCCUUACGAUAGUAUUAUAUGAGUACAUUGCUGGAGAUCCCUGGAAAAAAUAAAGAUGGGAUUGCUGCUCGAUUAGAUUUAUUGAACAUGGGGGUCAAAACUGAUUUGCAACCCGAGUAUGGAGAAAGACGUACUCGUUUGCCUCCUGGGCCUUGGAAUUUGUCAAGAGCAGAGAAAAGAGAGGUUUGCAAUUCUUUCUAUGGUAUGAAGGUCCCUGAAGGUUAUUCUUCAAAUAUUAAAAAUCUUGUAUCUUUACAAGAUUCAAGACUUCUUGGCCUUAAAUCACAUGAUUGUCAUACCUUAAUGCAACAAUUGCUCCCUGUGGCAAUUCGUUCUGUUUUGGAGAAGCCUGCAAGGUAUGCAAUAACUCGUUUGUGCUUCUUCUUCAAUGCUAUAUGUGCAAAGACUGUUGAUGUUUCCAAGCUAGAUAAGUUGGAAGAAGAUGUAGUAGUUACUCUGUGUUUGCUUGAGAAGUACUUUCCCCCUUCAUUCUUUGAUAUUAUGGUUCAUCUAGUAGUACAUCUUGUCAGAGAAGUUCGUCUAUGUGGGCCAGUAUAUUUUAGGUGGAUGUAUCCGUUUGAAAGAUAUAUGAAAGUGCUGAAGGGGUAUGUUCAGAAUCGUACUCGUCCCGAAGGUUGCAUUGCUGAGCGGUAUAUAGCUGAAGAAGCGGUAGAGUGUUGUACUCAGCAUUUAUCUGAUGUUAGUACAGUUGGAGUGCCUUCAAGCCAAAAGAUGGGACUUUCAAAGCCAUUAUCAGGUUGCACAGUGAGCGUAGUUGAUCAGGACCUGUUGAAUCAAGCACAUCUAUAUGUCUUGGAGAAUACGGAGGAAGUCCUACCUUAUAUCGAGUACGUAUGAGCUUUAUUCUUUAAGUUUCCAUUUUAAAUUAUUUCUUAUGUUUAUCUUCUAUAUUUAGGACCGUAAUGCUUGAAUUUUUCGUGUCAUGUAGGCAACAUAUGAUUCACAUCAAGACUGCUUAUCCAAAAUUUAGAAAGAGAACAAAGUGGCUGCAGGAUAAGCACAAUAGCACUUUCAUUCAAUGGCUACGCUUCAAGGUAUAUAUUGUUGAAUAACAUAUUUCUCUUUUAAUUUUCUUCUUAUUUAUAUGUUAGAUUGAAUUAAGAUAUGAUUAAUUUGCAGGUUCAAAGUGAACUUGAGGAAGACAAUCAUGGCGUAUCAAAAAAUUUAAGGUGGCUAGCAGCUGGUCCAAACAUGUCAGUGCCAUUAUAUAGGAGCUAUCUUAUUAAAGGUAUUAAAUUCAAUAUCAAGGCACAAGAUGAUGUGCGGACAACUCAAAAUAGUGGAGUUUAUUUACUUGCACAUACCAUGCAAGUUGCUAGUGCCAAGGAUAAAAACCCAAUUCUCUCAAAUAUGGGUUUCUAUGGUGUCAUUCAAGAAAUUUGGGACCUUGACUACCAAAAGUUUACAAUCCCAGUCUUUAGGUGUGAUUGGAUAGAUAGUUCUGGUCUUGUAGUCGACGAACUUGGAUUUACCCUUGUAGAUUUGAGUAAAAUUGGACAUAGGAAUGACCAAUUUGUUUUGGCUUCUCAAGUCAAACAAAUAUUUUUUGUUGACGACCCGAUGCAUCGUGGUUGGUCGGUAGUGUUAUCAAUGCCUAAUAGAGAAUAUAAUGAUGUUAUUGGUGAUGAAGUCUUAGGUGAUGUGAUAAUUGAGUGUGAGCCAUUUACUAGAGGGAUGCCAAAUGUUGACACAUUUGAUGAACUGGUGGGUGAGUUAGGCGGUCAAAAUAUUCGAGAUGGGUGUGAAGAUAUAUGGAUUGAAUGAUGCUUAUGUAAUUGGCAGUGUAUGACAUUAAUUUUGUAAUAUAUUGUAAUGUGAUUUCUUCACUUUCUACGUUCAAAUAAAACACGAUGUUAUUGUGAACCAGUUAUUCAGCAUAUUUACCGACGUCUUAAAGCAACGUAACAAUGAAGAACCACGACGCAAUUGUGAAGCAAUUAUUCAGGAUAUCACGUCGGGGAAGGAUUAAGAACCGUCAUGUAAUUCAAAAUAACACGACUCCAAUCCCAUAAUACCGACGUCUAAAAAACGAGAUAUAUAAUCUGAACGUUAAAAAAUACGACGUCAUCAUACAUUUUCCACGUCGCAAGUUCUUUUAUAAACGAAGAGGAACGAAAUGAAUUCCGACGGAAAUUCAUUAUAACCGCCGUCUAAUAACAAUUAAACGACGUUAUUUGUAAUACGGCUCUCAUCAUAAUCAACGCCGUCUAUAUGUUCUAUAAUACGGCUCUCAUUUAUUUGGAAUCGACGUUGUUUAGAAGUUCAACGUCGUCUAUAUUAUUAAGUGCGUCGUGAGUAAUGAUGAUAGAUAUAAAUACAACGUCGACUAUAUAAAUGCCACCGACGUUGUUUCGCAUUUCAACGUCAACUGUAUAAAUACAUACGUCGUAAAUAAUGACACUGACAACUAUUUCCACGUCAUCUUUUUUAGAAAAAUCGAAGUGGAAAAUUUAUUUCACGACGGUUGUUUGUAAAUAAGAGACGUAGUAUAUUUCAAUAACGUCGUCUUCUCAUGUAUUUAAAGACGUCAUAUUUUUUCUUGUCGUGUAAAUUAUAUUUAACGGCGUAGUAUUUUAGUUGUCGUCGUUGUAUGUAUAUCUUGCGGCCUUGUUCUUUUAACAUGUGUCAUAUUUUUCCUUUUUAACGACGGUGAUUUGUUUGAGUUGGUCUUCUAUUCUCAUCCUCGACUAUUUUCUAGAACUUUAGCAGACUAAACACGUCUGUUUUUAUUGUUUUCCGUCGUUGUUUGUUUUAACAACGUCUAAUAUUUAUCGUCGUUGUUUGUUUCUGAAAAUAUGACGUAUAAAUUUUGUAAUACGACUCUCAUAUAUUUGUAACCGACGUUGUUUCGUUUUUCAAUGUCUACUCAAUAAAUACAUACGUCGUAAAUAAUGACACUGACAACUAUUUCCACGUCAUCUUUUAUCGAAAAAUCGAAGUGGAAAAUUAAUUUUACGACGGCUGUUUUUAUAUAUGCGACGUAGUAGGUAUCAAUAACGUCGUCUUCUAAUGUAUUUAAAGACUUCAAAUUUUUUAUUGUCGUGAAAAUGAUAUUUAACGGCGUCGUAUUUUUAUUUUCGUCGUUGUAUGUCUAUCUUGCGGCCUUGUUCUCUUAAUAUGUGUCAUAUUUUUCCUUUUUAACGACGGUUUUUUUAGAGAGUUGGUCGUCUAUUCUCAUCCUCGACUGCUUUUUUAGAUCUUUUUGCAGUACAAAGACGUCGUUUUGUAUUUGUUGAUGACGUUGUAUAUUUUAACAAUGACGGUGAUUUAGCGUCGUGGUAUAUGAGGGAAAAGAUGACGGUGGAUUCCACGACCAUUGAAAAAUCGAAUACACGACGGUGAUUUACCGUCGUCUUUUUGCUUUUUUGUAGUAGUGUGGGGAACAUCAUAAUAUGGUGGGAGGAGUCAUUUGGUGACUUUUGAGUGAAAUUCAAUUGCUAACACUAUGCAAUACACUAACCACUCCAUUUUAGAACGAACUUCGUAUGAACCCGAUUGUCCAAUUUCAUGUACCAAUCGAUAUCGGAUUGAGCCCAAAACUUGGGGAACAUCAUAAUACGGUGGGAGGAGUCAUUUGGUGGCUUUUGAGUGAAAUCCAAUCUCUACAACUAUGCAAUACGCCAACCACUCCUUUUCAUAACGAACUUCGUACGAUCCUGAAUUGUCCAAUUUCAUGGACCAAUCGAUAUCGGAUUGAGUCCAAAACUUGGGGAACAUCAUAAUACGGUGGGAGGAGUCAUUUGGUGGGGUUUGAGUAAAAUCCAAUCUCCACAACUAUGCAACGUACGAACCACUCCAUUUCAUAACGAGCUUCGUACGAACUUGAAUUGUCCAAUUUCAUGGACCAAUCGAUAUCGGAUUGAGUCCAAAACUUGGGGAACGUCCUAAUACGGUGGGAGGAGUCAUUUGGUUUCUUUUGAGUGAAUUCCUAUGGCUAAAACUAUGCAAUACACCAACCACUCCAUUUCAGAACGAACUUCGUACGAACCUAAAUUGCCCAAUUUCAUGGACCAAUCGACAUCGGAUUGAGUCCAAAACUUGGGGAACAUCAUAAUAUGAUGGGAGGAGUCAUUUGGUGGCUUUUGAGUGAAAUCAAAUGGCUAAAACUAUGCAAUACACUAACUACUCCAUUUCAGAACGAACUUCGUACGAGCCAGAAUUGUCCAAUUUCAUAGACCAAUCGAUAUCGAAUUGAGUCCAAAACUUGGAUAUCAUCAUAAUACGGUGGGAGGAGUCAUUUGGUGGGUUUUGAGUGAAAUCCAGUGUCUACAACUAUGCAAUACACCAACCACUUCAUUUCAUAAUGAACUUCAUACGUACCUGAAUUGUCCAAUUUUAAGGACUAAUCGAUAUCGGAUUGAGUCCAAAACUUGGGGAACAACCUAAUACGGUGGGAGGAGUCAUCUGGUUUCUUUUGAGUGAAAUCCUAUGGCUAAAACUAUGCAAUACACCAACUACUCCAUUUCAGAAUGAACUUCGUCCGAACCUGAAUUGUCCAAUUUCAUGGACCAAUCGAUAUCGGGUUGAGUCCAAAACAUGGGGAACAUCAUAAAAUGACAGGAGGAGUCAUUUGGUGUCUUUUGAGUGAAAUCCUAUGGCUAAAACUAUGCAAUACACCAACUACUACAUUUCAGAAUGAACUUCGUCCGAACCUGAAUUGUCCAAUUUCAUGGACCAAUCGAUAUCGGAUUGAGUCCAAAACAUGGGCAACAUCAUAAAAUGACAGGAGGAGUCAUUUGGUGUCUUUUGAGUGAACUCCUAUGGCUAAAACUAUGCAAUACAACAACCACUCCAUUUCCUAAAGAACUUCGUACGAACCUGAAUUGCCCAAGUUCAUGGACCAAUCGAUAUCGGAUUGAGUCUAAACCCUGGGGAACAUCAUAAUACGGUGGGAGGAGUCAUUUGGUAUGUUUUGAGUGAAAUCCAAUGGCUAAAACCAUGCAAUACACCAACCACUCUAUUUCAGAAUGAACUUCGUACGAACCUGAAUUGUCCAAUUUCAUCGACCAAUCAAUAUCGGAUUGAGUCCAAAACUUGGGGAACAUCAUAAUACGGUGGGAGCAGUCAUUUGGUUGGUUUUCAGUGAAAUUCAAUCUCUACAACUGUGCAAUACACCGACCACUCCAUUUCAUAACGAACUUCGUACGAACCUGAAUUGUCCAAUUUCAUGGACCACUCGAUAUUAGAUUGAGUCCCAAACUUUGGGAACAUCAUAAUACGGUGGGAGGAGUCACUUCGUGGGUUUUCAGCGAAAUCCAAUCUCUACAACUAUGCAAUACACCAACCACCCAAUUUCGUAACGAACUUCGUACGAACCGGAAUUGUCCAAUUUCGUGGAUCAAUCGAUAUCCGAUUGAGUCCAAAACAUGGGGAACAUCAUAAUAUUAUGGGAGGAGUCAUUUGAUGUGUUUUCAGUGAAAUCCAAUCUCUACAACUAUGCAAUACACCAACCACCCCAUUUCAUAACAAACUUCGUACGAACCAGAAUUGCCCAAUUUCAUGGACCAAUCGAUAUCGGAUUUAGUCCAAAACUUGGGGAACACCAUAAUACGGUGGGAGGAGUCAUGUGGUGUCUUUUCAGUGAAAUCCAAUGGCUGAAACUACGCAAUACACCAAACACUCCAUUUGAGAACGAACUUAACCUGAAUUGUCCAAUUUCAUGGACCAAUCGAAAUCGGAUUGAGUCCAAAACUUGGGGAACAUCAUAAUACGGUGGGAGGAGUCAUUUGGUUGUUUUUGAGUGAAAUCCAAUCUCUACAACUGUGCAAUACACCAACCACUCCAUUUCAUAACGAACUUCAUACGAACCUGAAUUGUCCAAUUUCGUGGACCAAUCGAUAUUGGAUUGAGUCCAAAACUUGUGGAACAAGAUAAUAUGAUGGGAGGAGUCAUUUGUUGACUUUUGAGUGAAAUCCAAUGGCUAAAACUAUGCAAUACACUAACCACUCCGUUUCAUAACGAACUUCAUACGAACCUGAAUUGUCCAAUGUCAUGGACCAAUUGAUAUCGGAUUGAGUCCAAAACUUGGAGAACAUCAUAAUAUGAUUGGAGGAGUCAUUUGGUGACUUUUGAGUGAAAUCCAAUGGCUAAAACAAUGCAAUACACUAACCACUCCAUUUCAAAACGAACUUCGUACGAACCUGAAUUGUCCAAUUUCAUUGACCAAUCGAUAUCAAAUUGAGUCCAAAACUUGGGGAACAUCAUAAUAUGAUUGGAGGAGUCAUUUGGUGACUUUUGAGUGAAAUCCAAUGGCUAAAACUAUGCCACACACUAACCACUCCACUUAAGAACGAACUUCGUACGAAACCUGAAUUGUCCAAUUUCAUGGACCAAUCGAUAUCGGAUUGUGUCUGAAACUUGGGGAACAUCAUAACAUGAUGGGAGGAGUCAUUUGGUGACUUUUGAGUAAAAUCCAAUGGCUAAACUAUGCAAUACACUAACGACUUCAUUUUAGAACAAACUUCGUACGAACCUAAAUUGUCCAAUUUCAUGGACCAAUCGAUAUCGGAUUGAGUCCAAAACUUGGGGAACAUCAUAAUAUGAUGGAAGGAGUCGUUUGGUGACUUUUGAGUGAAAUCCAAUGGCUAAAACUUUGCAAUACACUAACCACUCCAUUUCAGAACAAACUUCGUACGAACCUGAAUUGUCCAAUUUCAUGGACCAAUCGAUAUCGGAUUGAGUCUGAAACUUGGGGAGCAUAAUAAUAUGAUGGAAGGAGUCAUUUGGUGACUUUUGAGUGAAAUCCAAUGGCUAAAACUAUGCAAUACAUUAACCACUCCAUUUCGGAACGAACUUCGUACGAACCUGAAUUGUCCAAUUUCAUGGACCAAUCGAUAUCGGAUUGAGUCCGAAACUUGGGGAACAUCAUAAUAUGAUGGGAGGAGUCCUUUGGUGCCUUUUGAGUGAAAUCCAACGGCUAAAACUCUGCAAUACACCAACCACUCCAUUUCAUAACGAACUUCAUACGAACCUGAAUUGUCCAAUUUCAUGGACCAAUCGAUAUUGGAUUGAGUCCAAAACUUGGGGAACAUCAUAAUACGGUGGGAGGAGUCAUUUGGUGGGUUUGAGUGAAAUCCAAUUUCUACAACGAUGCAGUACACCAACCACUCCAUUUCAUAAGGAACUUCGUAUGAACCUGAAUUGUUCAAUUUCAUGGACGAAUCGAUAUCGGAUUGAGGGCAAAACUUGGGGAACAUCCUAAUACGGUGGGAGGAGUCAUCUGGUGGCCUUUGAGUGAAAUCCAAUCCAUUUCAUAACGAACUUCGUACGAACCUGAAUUGUCCAAUUUCAUGGACCAAUCGAUAUCGGAUUGAGUCCAAAACUUUUGAAACAUCAUAAUAUGAUGGGAGGAGUCAUUUGGUGACUUUUCAGUGCAAUUCGAUUGCUAAAACUAUGCAAUACCCUAACCACUCCAUUUCGGAACGAACUUCGUACGAACCUGAAUUGUCCAAUUUCAUGGACCAAUCGAUAUCGGAUUGUGUCUGAAACUUGGGGAACAUCAUAAGAUGAUGGGAGGAGUCAUUUGGUGACUUUUGAGUAAAAUCCAAUGGCUAAAACUAUGCAAUACACUAACGGCUCCAUUUCAGAACAAAAUUGUCCAAUUUCUUGGACUAAUCGAUAUCGGAUUGAGUCCAAAACUUGGGGAACAUCAUAAUACGGUGGGAGGAGUCAUUUGGUGACUUUUGAGUGAAAUCCAAUCUCUACAACAAUGCAAUACACCAACCACCCCAUUUCAUAACAAACUUCGUAUGAACCUGAAUUGUCCAAUUUCAUGGACCAAUCGAUAUCGGAUUGUGUCCAAAACUUGGGGAACAUCAUAAAACGGUGGGAGGAGUCAUUUGGAGGGUUUUGAGUGAAAUCCAAUCUCUACAACUAUGCAAUACACCAACCACUCCAUUUCAUAACGAAAUUCGUACGAACCUGAAUUGUCCAAUUUCCUGGACCAAUCGAUAUCGGAUUGAGUCCAAAACUUUGGGAACAUCAUAAUAUGAUGGGAGGAGUCAUUUGGUGCCUUUUGAGUGAAAUCCAAUGGCUAAAAGUAUGCUAUACACCAACCACUCCAUUUCAUAACGAACUUCGUACGAACCUGAAUUGUCCAAUUUCAUGCACCAAUCGAUAUUGGAUUGGAGCCAAAACUUGGGGAACAUCGUAAUAUGAUGGUUGGAGUCAUUUAGUGACUUUUGAGUGAAAUCCAAUGGCUAAAACUAUGCACACUAACCACUCCAUUUCAGAACGAACUUCGUACGAACCUGUAUUAUCCAAUUUCGUGGACCAAUCAAUACAGGAUUGAGUCCGAAACCUGGGGAACAUCAUAAUAUGAUUGGAGGAGUCAUUUGGUGCCUUUUGAGUGAAAUCCAAUGGCUAAAACUAUGCAAUGCACCAACCACUCCAUUUCAUAACGAACUUUGUAGGAGCCUGAAUUGUCCAAUUAAAUGGACCAAUCGAUAUCGGAUUCAGUCCAAAACUUGGGGAACAUCAUAAUACGGUGCGAGGAGUCAUUUGGAGGGUUUUGAGUGAACUCUAAUCUCUACGACUAUGCAAUACACCAACCACUCCAUUUCAUAACGAACUUCGUACGAACCUAAAUUGUCCAAUUUCAUUGACCAUGACUUUUGAGUGAAAUCCAAUGGCUAAAACUAUGCAAUACACUAACCACUCCAUUUCAGAACAAACUUCGUACGAACCUGAAUUGUCUAAUUUCAUGGACCAAUCGAUAUCGGAUUGAGUCCAAAACUUGGGGAACAUCAUAAUACUACGUUAGGAGUCAUUUGGCGGGUUUUGAGUGAAAUCCAACCGCUACAACUAUGGAAUACACCAACCACUCCUUUUCAUAACGAACUUCGUGCGAACCUGAAUUGUCCAAUUUCAUGGACCAAUUGAUAUCGGAUUGAGUCCAAAACUUGUGGAACAAGAUAAUAUGAUUGGAGGAGUCGUUUGGUGACUUUUGAGUGAAAUCCAAUGGCUAAAACUAUGCAAUACACUAACCACUCCAUUUCAUAACGAACUUCGUGCGAACCUGAAUUGUCCAAUUUCAUGGACCAAUCGAUAUCGGAUUGAGUCCAAAACUUGUGGAACAAGAUAAUAUGAUAGGAGGAGUCAUUUGGUGCCUUUUGAGUGAAAUCCAAUGGCUAAAACUAUGCAAUACACCAACCACUCCAUUUCAUAACGAACUUCGUGCGAACCUGAAUUGUCCAAUUUCAUGGACCAAUUGAUAUCGGAUUGAGGCCAAAACUUGGGGAACAUCAUAAUAUGAUGGUUGGAGUCAUUUGGUGAGUUUUGAGUGAAAUCCAAUGGCUAAAACUAUAAAAUACACUAACCACUCCAUUUCAAAACGAACUUCGUACGAACCUGAAUUGUCCAAUUUCAUUGACCAAUCGAUAUCAAAUUGAGUCCAAAACUUGGGGAACAUCAUAAUAUGAUUGGAGGAGUCAUUUGGUGACUUUUGAGUGAAAUCCAAUGGCUAAAACUAUGCCACACACUAACCACUCCACUUAAGAACGAACUUCGUACGAAACCUGAAUUGUCCAAUUUCAUGGACCAAUCGAUAUCGGAUUGUGUCUGAAACUUGGGGAACAUCAUAACAUGAUGGGAGGAGUCAUUUGGUGACUUUUGAGUAAAAUCCAAUGGCUAAAACUAUGCAAUACACUAACGACUUCAUUUUAGAACAAACUUCGUACGAACCUAAAUUGUCCAAUUUCAUGGACCAAUCGAUAUCGGAUUGAGUCCAAAACUUGGGGGAACAUCAUAAUAUGAUGGAAGGAGUCGUUUGGUGACUUUUUGAGUGAAAUCCAAUGGCUAAAACUUUGCAAUACACUAACCACUCCAUUUCAGACAAACUUCGUACGAACCUGAUUUGUCCAAUUUCAUGGACCAAUCGAUAUCGGAUUGAGUCUGAAACUUGGGGAGCAUAAUAAUAUGAUGGAAGGAGUCAUUUGGUGACUUUUGAGUGAAUCCAAUGGCUAAACUAUGCAUACAUUUAUCCACUCCAUUUCGACGAACUUCGUACGAACCUGAAUUGUCCAAUUUCAUGGACCAAUCGAUAUCGGAUUGAGUCCAAAACUUUGGGAACAUCAGAAUAUAACGGGAGGAGCCAUUUGGUGACUUUUGAGUGAAAUCCAAUGCCUAAAACUAUGCAAUACACUAACCACUUCAUUUUAGAACGAACUUCGUACGAACUGAAUUGUCCAAUUUCUUGGACCAAUCGAUAUCGGAUUGAGUCCAAAACUUGGGGAACAUCAUAAUACGGUGGGAGGAGUCAUUUGGCGGGUUUUGAGUGAAAUCCAAUCUCUACAACUAUGCAAUACACCGACCACUCCAUUUCAUAACGAACUUCGUACGAACCUGAAUUGUCCAAUUUCACGGACCAAUCGAUAUCAGAUGGAGUCCAAAACUUUGGGAACAUCAGAAUAUAACGGGAGGAGCCAUUUGGUGACUUUUGAGUGAAAUCCAAUGCCUAAAACUAUGCAAUACACUAACCACUUCAUUUUAGAACGAACUUCGUACGAACCUGAAUUGUCCAAUUUCAUGGACCAAUCGAUAUCGGAUUGAGUCCAAAACGUGGGGAACAUCAUAAUACGGUGGGUGGAGUCAUUUGGUGUGUUUUGAGUAAAAUCCUAUCUCUAAAACUAUGCAAGACACCAACCUCUCCAUUUCAGAUUGAACUUCGUACGAACCUGAAUUGUCCAAUUUCUUGGACCAAUCGAUAUCGAAUUGAGUCCAAAACUUGGGGAACAUCAUAAUACGGAGGGAGGAGUCAUUUGGCGGGUUUUGAGUAAAAUCCAAUCUCCACAACUGUGCAACGUACGAACCACUCCAUUUCAUAACGAGCUUCGUACGAACUUGAAUUGUCCAAUUUCAUGGACCAAUCGAUAUCGAAUUGAGUCCAAAACUUGGGGAACAUCAUAAUACGGUGGGAGGUGUCAUUUGGUGUCUUUUGAGUGAAAUCCAAUCUCUACAACUAUGCAAUACACCAACCACUCCAUUUCAUAACGAACUUCGUCCGAACCUGAAUUGUCUAAUUUCAUGGACCAAUCGAUAUCGGAUUGAGUCCAAAACUUGGGGAACAUCAUAAUAUGGUGGGAGGAGUCAUUUGGCGGGUUUUGAGUGAAAUCCAAUCUCUACAACUAUGCAAUACACCAACGACUCCAUUUCAAAACGAACAUGAAUUGUCCAAUUUCAUGGACCAAUCGAUAUCGGAUUUAGUCCAAAACUUGUGGAACAAGAUAAUAUGAUAGGAGGAGUCAUUUGGUGACUUUUGAGUGAAAUUCAAUGGCUAAAACUAUGCAAUACACUAACCACUCCAUUUCAUAACGAACUUCGUACGAACCUGAAUUGUCCAAUUUCGUGGACCAAUCGAUAUCAGAUUGAGUCCAAAACUUGGGGAACAUCAUAAUAUAAUGGGAGGAGUCAUUUGGUGACUUUUGAGUGAAAUUCAAUGGCUAAAACUAUGCAAUACACUAACCACUCCAUUUCAGAGCGAACUUCGUACGAGCCUGAAUUGUCCAAUUUCAAGGAUCAAUCGAUAUCGGAUUGAGUCCAAAACUUGGGGAACAUCAUAAUACGUUGGGAGGAGUAAUUUGGUGUCUUUUGACUGAAAUCGAAUGGCUAAAACAAUGGAAUAAACCAACCACUCCAUUUCAGAAUGAACUUCGUAAGAACCUGAAUUGUCAGAUUUCAUGGACCAAUUGAUAUCGGAUUGAGUCCAAAACUUGGGGAACAUCCUAAUACGGUGGGACGAGUCAUUUGGUGUCUUUUGAGUGAAAUUCUAUGGCUAAAACUAUGCAAUACAACAACCACUCCAUUUCAGAACGAACUUCGUAUGAACCUGAAUUGUCCAAUUUCGUGGACCAAUCAAUAUCGGAUUGAGUCCAAAACUUGGGGAACAUCAUAAUACGGUGGGAGGAGUCAUUUGGUGGGUUUUGAGUGAAAUCCAAUCUCUACAACUAUGCAAUACACCAACCACUCCAUUUCAUAUCGAACUUCAUACGAAUCGGAAUUAUCCAAUUUCAUGGACCGAUCGAUAUCGGAUUGAGUCCAAAACUUGGGGAACAUCAUAAUACGGUGGGAGGAGUCGUUUGGUGUCUUUAGAGUGAAAUCCAAUGGCUAAAACUAUGCAAUACACCAACCACUACAUUUCAGAAUGAACUUCGUACGAACAUGAAUUGUCCAAUUUCAUGAACCAAUCUAUAUCGGAUUGAGUCCAAAACUAGGGCAACAUCAUAAUACGGUGGGAGGUGUCAUUUGGUGGGUUUUGAGGGAAAUCCAAUCUCUACAACUACGCAAUACACCAAGCACUUCAUUUCAUAACGAACUUCAUACGAACGUGGAUAUUCCAAUUUCAUGGACCAAGCGAUAUCGGAAUGAGUCCAAAACUUGGGGAACAUCAUAACACUGUGUGAGGAGUCAUUUGGUGUCAUAGUGAAAUUCUAUGGCUAAAACUACGCAAUACACCAACCUCUCCAUUUGAGAACGAACUUCCUACGAACCUGAAUUGUCCAAUUUCAUGGACCAAUCGAUAUCGGAUGGAGGCCAAAACUUGGGGAACAUCCUAAUACAGUGGGAGGAGUCAUCUGGUGGCCUUUGAGUGAAAUUCAAUGGCUAAAACUAUGCAAUACACCAAUCACUCCAUUUUAGAACGAACUUCCUACGAACCUGAAUUGUCUAAUUUCAUGGACCAAUCGAUUUCGGAUUCAGGCCAAAACUUGGGGAACAUCCUAAUACGGUGGGAGGAGUCAUCUGGUGGCCUUUGAGUGAAAUCCAAUGUCUACAACUAUGUAACACACAAACCACUCCAUUUCAUAACGAACUUCGUACAAACCUGAAUUGUCCAAUUUCAUGGACCAAUCGAUAUCGGAUUGAGUCGAAAACUUGGGGAACAUCAUAAUAUGGUGGGAGUAGUCAUUUGGUGGGUUUUGAGUGAAAUCCAAUCUCUACAACUAUGCAAUACACCAACCACUCCAUUUCAUAACGAACUUCAUACGAACCUGAAUUAUCCAAUUUCAUGGACCAAUCGAUAUCGGAUUGAGUCCAAAACUUGGGAAACAUCAUCAUACGGUGGGAUGAGUCAUUUGGUUGGUUUUGAGUGAAAUCCAAUCUCUACAACUAUGCAAUACACUAACCACUCCAUUUCAUAACGAACUUCAUAUGAACUUGAAUUGUCCAAUUUCAUAGACCAAUCGAUAUCGGAUUGAGUCCAAAACUUGGGGAACAUCAUAAUAUGGUGGGAGGAGUCAUUUGGUGUCUUUUGAGUGAAAUCCAAUGGCUAAAACUAUGCCAUACACCAACCACUCCAUUUCAGAAUGAACUUCAUACGAACCUGAAUUGUCCAAUUUCAUGGACCAAUCGAUAUCGGAUUGAGUCCAAAACUUGGGCAACAUCAUAAUACGGUGGGAGGUGUCAUUUGGUGGGUUUUGAGUGAAAUCCAAUCUCUACAACUAUGCAAUACACCAACCACUCCAUUUCAUGACGAACUUCGUACGAACCUCAAUUGUCCAAUUAUAUGGACCAAUGGAUACCGGAUUGAGUCCAAAACUCGGGGAACAUCAUAAUACGAUGGGAGGAGUCAUUUGGUGGGUUUUGACUGAAAUCCAAUCUCUACAACUAUGCAAUACACCGACCACUCCAUUUUAGAACGAACUUCGUUCGAACUUGAAUUGUCCAAUUUCAUGGACCGAUCGAUAUCAGAUUGAGAUCAAAACGUGGGGAGCAACAUACUGUGGUGGGUGGAGUCAUUUGGUGGCCUUGAAGUGAAAUCCAAUGGGAUAAACUAUGCAAUACACCAACCACUCCAUUUCGGAACGUACUUCAUACAAACCUGAAUUGUCCAAUUUCGUGGACCAAUCAAUAUCGGAUUGAGUCCAAACCUUGGGAAUCAUCAUAAUACGAUGGGAAGAGUCAUUUGGUGGGUUUUGAGUGAAAUCGAAUCUCUACAACUAUGCAAUACACCAACCACUCUAUUUCAGAACGAACUUCGUACAAACCUGAAUUGUCCAAUUUUAUGGAGCAUUCGAUAUCGGAUGGAGCCCAAAACUUGGGGAACAUCAUAAUACGGUGGGACGAUUCAUUUGGUGUCUUUUGAGUGAAAUCCAAUGGCUAAAACUAUGCAAUACAUCAACCACCCUAUUUCAUAACGAACUUCGUACGAAGUUGAAUUAUCCAAUUUCAUGGACCAAUCGAUAUUGGAUUGAGUCUUAAACUUGGGGAACAUCAUAAAAUGAUGGGAGGAGUCAUUUGGUGACUUUUGAGUGAAAUCCAAUGGCUAAAACUAUGCAAUACACUAACUACUCCAUUUCAGAACGAACUUCGUUCGAACCUGAAUUAUCCAAUUUCAUGGACCAAUCGAUAUCGGAUUGGGGAAUCAUCAUAAUCCGAUGGGAGGAGUCAUUUGGUGGGUUUUGAGUGAAAUCCAAUCUCUACAACUGUGCCAUGCACCGACCACUCCAUUUCAUAACGAACUUCAUACGAACCUGAAUUGUCCAAUUUCAUCGACCAAUCGAUAUCGGAUUGAGUCCAAAACAUGGGGAUCAGCAGAAAUACGGUGGGAGGAGUCAUUUCGUGGGUUUUGAGAGAAAUGCAAUCUCUACAAUUAUGCAAUACACCAACCACCAUAUUUCAUAACGAACUUCGUACGAACCUGAAUUGUCCAAUCUCAUGGACCAAUCGAUAUGGGAUUGAGUCCAAAACUUUGGGAACAUCAUAAUAUGGUGGGAGGAUUCAUUUGGUGGGUUCUGAGUGAAAUACAAUCUCUACAACUAUGCAAUACACCAACAACUCCAUUUCAGAACGAACUUCGUACGAACCUGAAUUGUGCAAUUUCGUGGACCAAUCGAUAUCGGAUUGAGUCCAAAACUUGUGGAACAUCAUAAUACGAUGGGAGGUGUCAUUUGGUGGGUUUUGAGUGAAAUCCAAUCUCUACAACUAUGCAACACACCAACCACUCCGUUGCAUAACGAACUUCGUACGAACCUGAACUGUCCAAUUUCAGGGACCAAUCGAUAUCGGAUUGAGUCCAAAACUUGGGGAACAUCAUAAUAUGAUGGGAGGAGUCAUUUGGUGACUUUUGAGUGAAAUCCAAUGGCUAAAACUACGCAAUACACCAACUACUCUAUUUCAGAACGAACUUCGUACGAACCUGAAUUGUCCAAUUUCAUGGACCACUCCAUUUCAGAACGAACUUCAUAUGAACCUGAAUUGUCCAUUUUUAGGGACCAAUCGAUAUCGGAUUGAGUCCAAAACCUAGGAAUCUUCAUAAUACGGUGGGAGGAGUCAUUUGGUGGGUUUUGAGUGAAAUCGAAUCUCUACAACUAUGCAAAACACCAACCACAACAUUUCAUAACGAACUUCGUAGGAACCUGAAUUGUCCAAGUUCUUGGACCAAUCGAUAUCGGAUUGAGUCCAAAACUUGGGCAACAUCUUAAUAUGAUGGGAGGAGUCAUUUGGUGACUUUUGAGUGAAAUCCAAUUUCAGGGACCAAUCGAUAUCGGAUUGAGUCCAAAACUUGGAGAACUUCAUAAUACGGUGGGAGGAGUCAUUUGGUGGGUUUUGAGUGAAAUUCAAUCUCUACAACUAUGCAAUACACCAACCACUCCAUUUCAUCACAAACUUCGUACGAACCUGAAUUGUCCAAUUUCAUGUUCCAAUCGAUAUAGGAUUGAGUCCAAAACUUGGAGAACAACAUAAUAUGAUGGGAGGACUCAUUUGGUGACUUUCGAGUGAGAUCCAAUUGCAAAAACUAUGCAAUACACUAACCACUCCAUUUCAGAACGAACUUUGUACGAACCUGAAUUGUCCAAUUUCAUGGACCAAUCGAGAUCGGAUUGAGUCCAAAACUUGGGGAACAUCAUAAUACGGUGGGAGGAGUCAUUUGGCCGGUUUUGAGUGAAAUCCUACCCCGACAACUAUGCAAUACACCAUCCACUCCAUUUCAUAACGAACUUCGUACGAACCUGAAUUGUCUAACUUCAUGGACAAAUCGAUAUUGGAUUGAGUCCAAAACAUGGGGAACAUCAUAAUAUGAUGGGAGGAGUCAUUUGGUGUCUUUUGACUGAAAUCCAACAGCUAAAACUAUGCAAUACACCAACCACUCCAUUUCAGAACGAACUUUCGUACGAACGUGAAUUGUCCAAUUUAAUGGAACAAUCGAUAUCGGAUUGAGUCCAAAACUUGGGGAACAUCAUAAUACGGUGGGAGUUGUCAUUUGUUGGAUUUUGAGUGAAAUCCAAUCGCUACAACUAUGCAAUACCCCAACCACUCCAUUUCAUGACGAACUUCGUACGAACCUGAAUUGUCCAAUUUCAUGGACCAAUCGAUAUCGGAUUGAGUCCAAAACUUGGGGAACACCAUAAUACGGUGGAAGGAGUCAUUUGGUGGGAUUUGAGUCAAAUACAAUCUCAACAACUGUGCAAUACACCAACCACUCCAUUUUAUACCCAACUUCGUACAAACCUGAAUUGUCCAAUUUCAUGGACCAAUCGAUAUCAGAUUGAGUCCAAAACUAGGGGAACAUCAUACUAUGAUGAGGGGAGUCAUUUGGUGUCUUUUGACUGAAAUCCAAUGGCAAAAACUAUGCAAUACACCAUCCACUCCAUUUCAGAACGAACUUCGUAGGAACCUGAAUUGUCCAAUUUUUUGGACCAAUCGAUAUUGGAUUGAGUCCAAAACUUGGGGAAUAUCAUAAUGUGGUGGGAGGAGUCAUUUGGUGGGUUUUGAGUGAAAUCCAAUCUCUACAACUAUGCAAUAUACCAACCACUCUAUUUCAUAACGAACUUCGUACGAACCUAAAUUGUCCAAUUUCAUGGACCAAUCAAUAUCGGAUUGAGUCUAAAACAUGAGGAAUAUCAUAAUACGGUGGGAGGAGUCAUUUGGUGGGUUUGGAGUGAAAUCCAAUCUCUACAACUGUCCAAUACAUCAAUCACUCCAUUUCAUAACGAACUUGGAAUGAACCUGAAUUGUCCAAUUUCAUGGACCAAUCGAUAUCGGAUUGAGUCCAAAACUUGGGGAACAUCAUAAUACCCUGGGAGUCGUUUGGUGUCUUUUGAGUGAACUCCUAUGGCUAAAACUAUGCAAUACAGCAAGCACUCCAUUUCAGAACGAACUUCGUACGAAUAUGAAUUGUCCAAUUGAUGGACCAUCGAUAUCAGAUGAGUCCAAAACUUGGGGAACAUCAUAAUACGGUGGGAGGAGUCAUUUGGUGUGUUUUGAGUGAAAUCCAAUCUCUACAACUAUGCAAUACACCAACCACUCCAUUUCAUAACGAACUUCUUACGAACCUAAGUUGUCCAAUUUCAUGGACCAAUCAAUAUCGGAUUGAGUCUAAAACAUGGGGAAUAUCAUAAUACGGUGGGAGGAGUCAUUUGGUGGGUUUGGAGUGAAAUCCAAUCUCUACAACUAUCCAAUACAUCAAUCACUCCAUUUCAUAACGAACUUGGUACGAACUUGAAUUGUCCAAUUUUAUGGACCAAUCCAUAUCGGAUUGAGUCCAAAACUUAGGGAACACCAUAAUACGGUGGGAGUCGUUUGGUGUCGUUUGAGUGAACUCCUAUGCCUAAAACUAUGCAAUACAGCAAGCACUCCAUUUCAGAACGAACUUCGUACGAACAUGAAUUGUCCAAUUUAAUGGACCAAUCGAUAUCAGAUUGAGUCCAAAACUUGGGGAACAUCAUAAUACGGUGGGAGGAGUCAUUUGGUGUCUUUUGACUGAAAUCCAAUGGCUAAAACUAUGCAAUACACCAACCACUCCAUUUCAUAAUGAACUUCAUACGAACAUGAAUUGUCCAAUUUAAUGGACCAAUCGAUAUGAGAUUGAGUCCAAAACUUGGGGAACAUCAUAAUACGGUGGGAGGAGUCAUUUGGUGGAUUUUGAGUGAAAUCCAAUCUCUACAACUAUGCAAUACACCAACCACUCCAUUUCAUAACGAACUUCGUACGACCCUGAAUUGUCCAAUUUCAUGGACCAAUCGAUAUCGGAUUGAGUCCAAAACAUGGGGAACAUCAUAAUGCGGUGGGAGGAGUCCUUUGGUGGGUUUUGAGUGAAAUCCAAUCUCUACAAUUAUGCAAUACACCAACUACUCCAUUUCAGAACGAACUUCGUACGAGGGUGAAUUGUCCAAUUUCAUGGACCAAUCGAUAUCGGAUUGAGUCCAAAACUUGGGAAACAACAUAAUAUGAUGGUUGGAGUCAUUUGGUGAUAUUUGAGUGAAAUCCAAUGGCUAAAACUAUGCAAUAUACAAACCACUCCAUUUCAGAAUGAACUUUGUACGAACCUGAAUUGUCCAAUUUCAUGGACCAAUCGAUAUCGGUUUGAGUCCAAAACUUGGGGAUCAUCAAAAUACAGUGGGAGGAGUCAUUUUGGUGGGAUUUGAGUGAAAUCCAAUCUCUACAACUAUGCAAUACACCACCAGUCCAUUUCAUAACGAACUUGGUACGGACCUGAAUUGUCCAAUUUCAUGGACCAAUCGAUAUCGGAUUGAGUCCAAAACAUGGGGAACAUCAUAAUGCGGUGGGAGGAGUCAUUUGGUGGGAUUUGAGCGAAAUCCAAUCUCUACAACUAUGCAAUACACCACCAGUCCAUUUCAUAACGAACUUCGUACAAACCUGAAUUGUCCAAUUUCAUGUUCCAAUCGAUAUCGGAUUGAGUCCAAAACUUGGGGAACAUUACAAUAUGAUGGGAGGAGUCAUUUGGUGAUUUUUGAGUGAAAUCCAAUGGCUAAAACUAUGCAAUACACUAAUCACUCCAUUUCAGAACAAACUUCGUACGAACUUAAAUUGUCGAAUUUGAUGGACCAAUCGAUAUCGAAUUGAGUCCAAAACUUGGGGAACAUCAUAAUACAGUGGGAGGAGUCAUUUGGUGGCUUUUGAUUGAAAUCCAAUCUCUACAACUAUGCAAUACACCAACUACUCCAUUUCAUAACGAACUUCGUUUGAACCUGAAUUGUCCAAUUUCAUGGACCAAUCGAUAUCGGAUUGAGUCCAAAACAUGGGGAACAUCAUAAUAUGAUGGGAGGAGUCAUUUGGUGUCUUGUAAGUGAACUCCUAUGGCUAAAACUAUGGAAUACACCAACCACUCCAUUUCAGAAUGAACUUCGUACGAACCUGAAUUGUCCAAUAUCAUGGGCCAAUCGAUAUCGGAUUAAGUUCAAAACUUGGGUAACAUCACAAUAUUGUUGGAGGAGUCAUUUGGUGACUUUUGAGUGAAAUCCAAUGGCUAAAACUUUGAAAUAGACAUGCCACUCCAUUUCAGAACGAACUUUUUUAAGAACCUAAAUUGUAUAAUUUCAUGGACCAACCGAUAUCGGAUUGAGUCCAAAACUUGGGGAACUUCAUAAUAUGGUGGGAGGAGUCAUUUGGUGGCUUUUGAGUGAAAUCCAAUCUCUACAACUAUGCAAUACACUAACCACUCCAUUUAAGAACGAACUUCGUACGAAACUGAAUUGUCCAAUUUCAUGGACCAAUCAAUAUCGGAUUGUGUCCAAAACUUGGGGAACAUCGUAAUAUGAUGGGAGGAGUCAUUUGGUGUCUUUUCAGUGAAAUCCAAUGGCUAAACCUAUGCAAUACACCAACCACUCCAUUUCAGAACGAACUUCGUACGAACCUGAAUUGGCCUAUUUUUGGGACCAAUCGAUAUCGGAUUGAGUCGAAAACGUGGGGAGCAUCAUACUGUGGUUGGUGGAGUUAUUUGGUGGCUUUCGAGUGAAAUCCAAUGGGAAAAACUGUGCAAUACACCAAUCACUCCAUUUCACAACGAACGUGAAUUGUCCAAUUUCAGGGACCAAUCGAUAUCGGAUUGAGUCCAAAACUUGGGAAUCAUCAUAAUACGAUGGGAGGAGUCAUUUGGUGGGUUUUGAGUGAAAUCCAAUCUCUACAACUAUGUAACACACGAACCACUCCAUUUCAUAACGAACUUCGUACGAACCUGAAUUGUCCACUUUCAUGGACCAAUCGAUUUCGGAUUGAGUCCAAACCUUGGGGAUCAUCAUAAUACGGUGGGAGGACUCAUUUUGUGGAUUUGGAAAGAAAUCCAAUCUCUACAACUAUGCAAUACACCAACUACCCUAUUUCGUAACGAACUUCGUACGAACCUGAAUUGUCCAAUUUCAAGGACCAAUUGAUAUCGGAUUGAGUCCAAAACUUGGGGAACAUCAUAAUACGGUGGGAGGAGUCAUUUGGUUUGUUUUGAGUGAAACCCAAUCUCUACAACUAUGCAAUAAAGCAACCACUCCAUUUCAUAACGAACUUCAUAUGAACCUGAAUUAUCCAAUUUCAUGGACCAAUCGAUAUCGGAUUGAGUCCAGAACUUGGGGAACAUCAUAAUACGGUGGGAGGAGUCAUUUGGUGUCUUUUGAGUGAAAUCCAAUGGCUAAAACUAUGCAAUACACCAACCACUCCAUUACAGAACGAACUUCGUACGAACAUGAAUUGUCCAAUUUCAUGGACCAAUAGAUAUCGGAUUGACUUCAAAACUUGGGGAACAUCAUAAUACAGUGAGUGGAGUCAUUUGGUGGGUUUUGAGGGAAAUCCAAUCUCUACAACUGUGCAAUACACCAACCACUCCAUUUCAUAACGAACUUCGUAUGAACAUGAAUUGUCCAAUUUCAUGGACCAAGCGAUAUCGGAAUGAGUCCAAAACUUGGGGAACAUCCUAAUAUGGUGGGAGGAGUCAUUUGGUGUCUUUUGAGUGAAAUCCUAGGGCUAAAACUAUGCAAUACACCAACCACUCCAGUUCAGAACGAACUUCGUGCGAACCUGAAUUGUCAAAUUUCAUGGACCAAUCGAUAUCAGAUUGAGUCCAAAACUUACUGACCAACAUAAUGUUGUGGGAGGUGUCAUUUUGUAAGUUUUGUGUGAAAUCCAAAGGAUAAAACAAUGUAAUACACCAACCACUCCAUUUCAGAACGAGCUUUGUACGAACCUGAAUUGUCCAAUUUCAUAGACCAAUCGAUAUCGGAUUCAGUCCAAAACUUGGGGAACAUAAUAAUAUUGUGAGAGGAGUUAUUUGGUUCGUUUUGAGUGAAAUCCAAUCUCUAGAACUACACAAUACACAAACCACUCCAUUUCAACACGAACUUCGUACGAACCUGAAUUGGCCGAUUUUUGGGACCAGUCGAUGUUGGAUGGAGUCCAAAACUUUGGGAACAUCGUAAUAUAGUGGGAGUAGUCAUUUGGUGGGGUUUGAUUGAAAUCCAGUGGCCAAAACUGUGAAAUACACCAACCACACCAUUUCAGAACGAACUUCGUUCAAAACUGAAUUGUCCAAUUUCAGGGCCAAUCAAUAUCGGAUUGAGUCCAAAACUUGGGGAACAUCAUAAUAUUGUGGGAGGAGUCAUUUGGUGGGUUUUUAUGAAAUCCAAUCUCUAGAACUAUACAAUACACCAAAGCUUCAUACAAACCUUAAUUGUCCAAUUUCAUGGACCAAUCGAUAUCGGAGAUCCAAAACUUGGGGAAGAUCAUAAUAUGGUGGCAGGAGUCAUUUGGUGAGUUUUGAGCAAAAUCGAAUUGCCAAAACUGUGCAAUACAUCAACCACUCCAUUUCAGAACGAACUUCGUUUGAAACUGAAUUGUCCGAUUUUGUGGACCAAUCAAUAUUGGAUUGAGUCCAAAACUUGGGGAACAUCAUAAUAUUGUGGGAGGAGUAAUUUCUUGGGUUUUGAAUGAAAUCCAAUCUCUUGGACGAUACAGUACACCAACCACUCCAUUUCAUAACGAACUUCGUACGAACCUGAAUUGUUCAAUUUCAUGGAAAAAUCAAUAUUGGAUUGAGUGUAAAACUUGGGGAACAUCAUAAUGUUGUGGGAGGAGUCAUUUGGUGAGUUUUGAGUGAAAUCCAAUUGCCAAAACUAUGCAACACACCAACCAAUCCAUUUCAGAACGAGCUUCGUAUGAACCUGAAUAUUCCGAUUUCAUCGACCAAUUGAUAUCGGAUAGAGUCCAAAAAUUGGGGAACGUCAUAAUAUUGUGGCAGUCAUUUGGUGGGUUUUGUGUGAAAUCCAAUCCCUAGAACUAUACAAUACACCAACCACUCCAUUUGGGAACGAACUUCGUACAAACCUGAAUUGUCCGAUUUCGUCGACCAAACGAUAUUAGAUUGAGUCCAAAACUUGGGGAACAUCAAAAUAUUUUCGGAGGAGUCAUUUGUGGGGUUUGAGUGAAAUCCAAUCUCUAGAACCAUACAAUACACCGACCACUCCAUUUCAGAACAUACUUCGAACGAACCUAAAUUGUCCAAUUUCAUGGACUAGUCGAUAUCGAAUUGAGUCCAAAACUUGGGGAACAUCAUAAUGUUGUGGGAGGAGUCAUUUGGUGAGUUUUGAGCAAAAUCUGAUGGCAAAAACAAUGGCAUAGACCAACGACUGCAUUUUAGAACGAACGUCGUACGAAACUAAAUUGUCCGAAUUCGUGGACCAAUCGAUAUCGGAUUGAGUCCAAAACUUGCGGAACAUCAUAAUGUUGUGGGAGGAGUCAGUUGGUGGGUUUUGAGUGAAAUCAAAUCUCUAGAACUAUACAAUGCGCCAACCACUCCAUUUCAGAACGAAGUUCGUAUGAACCUAAAUGUCCAAUUUCAUGGACCAAUCGAUAUCAGAUUGAGUCCAAAACUUGGGGAACAUCAUAAUAUAGUGGGAGGAGUCUAUUAGUGGGUUUUGUGUCAAAUCCAAGGGCAAAAACAAUGCAAUACACCACCCACUUCAUACGAACCUGAAUUGUCCAAUUUCGUGGACCAAUCGAUAUCGGAUUGAGUCCACAACUUGGGAAACAUCAUAAUAUGGUGGGAGGAGUCAUUUAGUGACUUUUGAGUGAAAUCCAAUGGCAAAAACUUUGCAAUACACCAACUACUUCAUUUCAUAACGUACUACGUACGUACUGGAAUUGUCCGAUUUCAUGGACCAAUCGAUAUCGGAUUGAGUACAAAACCUGGUGAACAUCUAAUAUGAUGGGAAGAGUCAUUUGGUGGGUUUGAGUGAAACCCUAUCUCUUGAACCAUGCAAUACACCAACCUCUCCAUUUCAUAAGGAACUUCAUAUGAACAUGAACAGUCCGAUUUCAUGGACCAAUCGAUAUCGAAUUGAGUCCAAAACUUGGGGAACAUCAUAAUAUGGUGGGAGGAGUCGUUUGGUGACUUUUGAGUGAAAUCCGAUGGCUAAAACUAUGCAAAACACCAACCACUCCAUUUCAUCACGAACUUCGUACAAACCUGAAUUGUCCAAUUUCAUAGACCAAUCGAUAUCGGAUUGAGUUCAAAACUUGGGGAACAUCAUAAUAUGGUGGGAGGAGUCGUUUGGUGACUUUUGAGUGAAAUCCAAUGGCUAAAACUAUGCAAUACACCAACCACUCCAUUUUAGAACGAACUUCGUACGAACCUGAAUUGUCCAAUUUCAUGGACCAGUCGAAAUCGGAUUGAGUCCAAAACUUGGGGAACAUAAUAAUACGGUGGGAGGAGUCAUUUGGUGGGUUUUGAGUGAAAUCCAAUCUCUACAACUAUGCAAUACACUAACCACUCCACUUCAUAACUAACUUCAUACGAACUUGAAUUGUCCAAUUUCAUGGACCAAUCGAUAUCGGAUUGAGUCCAAAAUUUGGGGAACAUCAUAAUAUGGUGGGGGAAGUCAUGUGGUGACAUUUGAGUGAAAUCCAACGGCUAAAAGAAUGCAAUACCCCCAACCACUCGAUUUUUUAACAAACUUCGUAUGAACAUGAAUUGUCCAAUUUCAUGGACCAAUCAAUGUCGGAUUGAGUCUAAAACUUGGUGAACAUCAUAAUAUGGUGGGAGGAGUCAUUUGGUGACUUGUGAGUGAAAUCCAAUGGCUAAAAUAUUGAAAUACACAAACCACUCCAUUUCAGAACGAACUUUGUACGAACCUGAAUUGUCCAAUUUCAUGGAUCAAUCGAUAUCGGAUUGAGUCCAAAACGUGGGGAACAUCAUAAUAUGGUGGGCGGAGUCAUUUGGUGACUUUUGAGUGAAAUACAAUGGGUAAAACUUUGCAAUACACCAACCAGUUCAUUUCAGAAUGAACUUCGUACGAACCUGAAUUGUCCAAUUUCAUGGACCAAUCGAUAUCGGAUUGAGUCCAAAACUUGAGGAAAAUCAUAAUAUGAUGGGAGGAGUCAUUUGGAGACUUUUGAUUGAAAUUCAAUGGCUAAAACUAUGCAAUACACUAACCACUCCAUUUCAGAACGAACUUCGUACGAGCCUGAAUUGUCCAAUUUGAUGGACCAAUCGAUAUCGGAUUGAGUCCAAAACUUGGGGAACAUCAUAAUACGGUGGGAGGAGCCAUUUGGUGGCUUUUGAGUGAAAUCCAAUCUCUACAACUAUGCAACACACCAACCACUCCAUUUCAGAACGAACUUCGUACGAACCUGAAUUGUCCAAUUUCAUGGACCAAUCGAUAUCGGAUUGAGUCCAAAACUUGGGGAACAUCAUAAUACGGUGGGAGGACUCAUUUUGUGGGUUUUGAGUGAAAUCCAGUCUCUACAACUAUGCAAUACACCAACCACUCCAUUUUAUAACGCACUUCGUACGAACCUGAAUCGGCCAACUUCAAGGACCAAUCGAUAUCGGAUUGAGUCUAAAACUUGGGGAACAUCCUAAUACGGCGGGAGGAGUCAUUUGGUUGCUUUUGAGUGAAAUCCUAUGGCUAAAACUACGCUAUACACCAACCACUCCAUUUCAGAAGGAACUUCGUACGAAACUGAACUGUCCAAUUUCAUGGACCAAUCGAUAUCGGAUUGAGUCCAAAACAUGGCGAACAUCGUAAUACGAUGGGAGGAGUCAUUUGGUGUCUUUUAAGUGAACUCCUAUGGCUAAAACUACGGAAUACACCAACCACUCCAUUUCCGAACGAACUUCAUACGAACCUGAAUUGUCUAAUUUCAUGGACCAAUCGAUAUUGGAUUGAGUCCAAAACUUGGGGAACAUCAUAAUACGUUGGGAGGAGUCAUUUCGGGGGUUUUGAGUGAAAUCCAAUCUCUACAACUAGGCAAUACACCAACCACUCCAUUUCAUAACGAAUCUCGUACGAAGCUGAAUUGUCCAAUUUCAUGGACCAAUCGAUAUCGGAUUGAGUCCAAAACUUGGGGAACAUCAUAAUAUGUUGGCUGGAGUCAUUUGGUGACAUUUGAGUGAAAUCCAAUGGCUAAAACUAUGCAAUACACUAACCACUCCAUUUCAGAACGAACUUUGUACGAACCUGAAUUGUCCAAUUUCAUGGACCAAUCGAUAUCGGAUUGAGUCCAAAACAAGGGGAACAUCACAAUAUGAUGGGAGGAGUUAUUUGGUGUCUUUUGACUGAAAUCCAAUGGCUAAAACUAUGCAAUACACCAACCACUCCAUUUCAGAACGAACUUCGUACGAACCUGAAUUGUCCAAUUUCAUGGACCAAUCGAUAUCGGAUUGAGUCCAAAACUUGGGGAACAUCAUAAUAUGAUGGGAGGAGUCAUUUGGUUUCAUUUUAGUGAACUCCUGUGGCUAAAACUAUGCAAUACACCAACCACUCCAUUUCAGAACGAACUUCGUACGAACCUGAACUGUCCAAUUUCAUGGACCAAUCGAUAUCGGAUUGAGUCCAAAACAUGGCGAACAUCAUAAUAUGAUGGGAGGAGUCAUUUGGUGUCUUUUAAGUGAACUCCUAUGGCUAAAACUACGGAAUACACCAACCAUUCCAUUUUCGAAUGAACUUCGUACGAACCUGAAUUGUCCAAUUUCAUGGACCAAUCGAUAUCGGAUUGACUCCAAAACUUGGGGAACUUCAUAAUACGGUGGGAGGAGUCAUUUGGUGUCUUUUUAGUUAAAGCCAAUGGCUAAAACUAUGCAAUACACCAACCACUCCAUUUUAGAACGAACUUCGUACGAACCUGAAUUGUCCAAUUUCAUGGACCAGUCGAAAUCGGAUUGAGUCCAAAACUUGGGGAACAUAAUAAUACGGUGGGAGGAGUCAUUUGGUGGGUUUUGAGUGAAAUCCAAUCCCUACAACUAUGCAAUACACUAACCACUCCACUUCAUAACUAACUUCAUACGAACUUGAAUUGUCCAAUUUCAUCGGCCAAUCGAUAUCGUAUUGAGUCUAAAAUAUGGGAAACAUCAUGAUACGGUGCGAGGAGUCAUUUGGUGGGUUUUGAGUGAAAUCCAAUCUCUACAACUAUGAAAUACAACAACCACUCCAUUUCAGAACGAACUUUGUACGAACUUGAAUUGUCCAAUUUCAUGGACCAAUCGAUAUCGAAAUGAGUCCAAACCCUGGGGAACAUCAUAAUACGGUGGGAGGAGUCAUUUAGUGUCUUUUGAGUGAAAUUCAAUGGCUAAAACUAUGCAAUACACCAACCACUCAUUUCAGAACGAACUUCGUACGAACCUGAAUUGUCCAAUUUCAUGAACCAAUCGAUAUAGGAUUGAGUCCAAAACUUGGGGAACAUCAUAAUACGGUGGGAGGAGUCAUUUGGUGUCUUUGAGUGAAAUCCAAUGGCUAAAACUAUGCAAUACACCAACCACUCCAUUCUCAGAUACGAACUUCGUACGAACUUGAAUUGUCCAAUUUCAUGGACCAAUCGAUAUCGGAUUGAGUCCAAAACUUGGGGAACAUCAUAAUACGGUGGGAGGAGUCAUUCGGUGGGUUUUGAGUUAAAUCCAACCUCUAUAACUUUGCAAUACACCAACCGCUCCAUUUCAGAACGAACUUCGUACGAACCUGAAUUGUCCAAUUUCAUGGACCAAUCGAUAUCGGAUUGAGUCCAAAACUUGGGGAACAUCAUAAUACGGUUGGAGGAGUCAUUUGGUGUCUUUUGACUGAAAUCCAAUGGCUACAACUAUGCAAUACACCAACCACUCCAUUUCAGAACGAACUUCGUACGAACCUGAAUUGUCCAAUUUCAUGGACCAAUCGAUAUCGGAUUGGGUCCAAAACUUGGGGAACAUCCUAACACGGUGGCAGGAGUCAUUUGGUGGUUUUUGAGUGAAAUUCAAUCUCUACAACUGUGCAGUACACCAACUACUCCAUGUCAUAAUGAACUUCGUACGAACCUGAAUUGUCCAAUUUCUUGGAAAAAUCGAUAUCGGAUUGAGUCCAAAACUUGGGAUUCAUCAUAAUAACGUUGUAGGAGUCAUUUGGUGGGAUUUGAGUGAAAUCCAAUUUCUACAACUAUGCAAUACACCAACCACUCCAUUUCAGAACGAACUUCGUAUGAACCUAAAUUGUGCAAUUUCAUGGACCAAUCGAUAUCGGCUUGAGUCCAAAACUUGGGGGACAUCAUAAUACGGUGGCAGGAGUCAUUUGGUGCGUUUUGAGUGAAAUCCAAUCUCUACAACUAUGCAAUACACCCACCACUCUAUUUCAGAACGAAGUACGUACGAACCUGAAUUCUCCAAUUUCAUGGACCAAUUGAUAUCGGAUUGAGUCCAAAACGUGGGAACAACAUAAUACGGAGGGAGGAGUCAUUUGGCGGGGUUUCAGUGAAAUCCAAUCUCUACAACUAUGCAAUACACCGACCACUCCAUUUCAUAACGAACUUCGUAUAAACCUGAAUUGUCCAAUUUAAUGGACCAAUCGGUAACGGAUUGAGUCCAAAACUUUGGGAACAUCAUAAUACGGUGGGAGGAGUCAUUUGGUGGGUUUUGAGUGAAAUCCAAUCUCUACAACUAUGCAAUACGCCAACCACUCCAUUUCAUAACGAACUUCGUACGAACCUGAAUUGUCCAAUUUCAUGUUCCAAUCGAUAUCGGAUUGAGUCCAAAACUUGGGGAAUAUCAUAAUACGGUGGGAGGAGUCGUUUGGUGGGUUUUGAGUGAAAUCCAAUCUCUACAACUAUGCAAUACACCAACCACUCCAUUUCAGAACGAACUUCGUACAAACCUGAAUUGUCCAAUUUCAUGGACCGAUCGAUAUCGGAUUGAGUGGAAAACCUGGGGAACAUCAUAAUACGGUGGGAGGUGUCAUUUGGUGUCUUUCAAGUGAAAUCCAAUGGCUAAAACUAUGCAAUACACCAACCACUCCAUUUCCGAACGAAGUUCGUAGGAACCUGAAUUGCCCAAGUUCUUGGACCAAUCGAUAUCGGAUUGAGUCCAAAACUUGGGGAACAACAUAAUAUGGUGGGAGGAGUCAUUUGGUGUCUUUUGACUGAAAUCUAUUGGCUAAAACUAUGCAAUAACCAACCACCCCAUUUCAGAACGAACUUCGUACGAGCCUGAAUUGUCCAAUUUCUUGGACCAAUCGAUAUCGGAUUGAGUCCAAAACAUGGGGAACAUCAUAAUAUGAUGGGAGGAGUCAUUUGAUGUCUUUUGACUGAAAUUCAAUGGCUAAAACUAUGCAAUACACUAACCACUCCAUUUCAGAACGAACUUCGUACGAACCUUAAUUGUCCAAUUUUAUGGACCGAUCAAUAUCGAAUUGAGUGAAAAACCUGGGGAACAUCAUAAUACGGUGGAAGGUGUCAUUUGGUGUCUUUCGAGUGAAAUCCUAUGGCUAAAACUAUGCAAUACACCAACCACUCCAUUUCCGAACGAAGUUCGUAGGAACCUGAAUUGCCCAAGUUCUUGGACCAAUCGAUAUCGGAUUGAGUCCAAAACUUGGGGAACAACAUAAUAUGGUGGGAGGAAUCAUUUGGUGUCUUUUGACUGAAAUCUAUUGGCUAAAACUAUGCAAUAACCAACCACCCCAUUUCAGAACGAACUUCGUACGAACCUGAAUUGUCCAAUUUCAUGGACUAAUCGAUAUCGGAUUGAGUCCAAAACUUGGGGAACAUCAUAACACGGUGGGAGGAGUCAUUUGGUGGGUUUUGAGUGAAAUGCAAUCUCUACAACUAUGCAAUACGCAAACCACUCCAUUUCAUAACGAGCUUCGUACGAACCUGAAUUGUCCAAUUUCAUGUUCCAAUCGAUAUCGGAUUGAGUCCAAAACUUGGGGAAUAUCAUAAUACGGUGGGAGGAGUUGUUUGGUGGGUUUUGAGUGAAAUCCGAUCUCUACAACUAUGCAAUACACCAACCACUCCAUUUCAGAACGAACUUCGUACGAACCUUAAUUGUCCAAUUUCAUGGACCGAUCAAUAUCGAAUUGAGUGAAAAACCUGGGGACCAUCAUAAUACGGUGGAGGGUGUCAUUUGGUGUCUUUCGAGUGAAAUCCAAUGGUUAAAACUAUGCAAAACAACAACCACUCCAUUUCAGAACGAACUUCGUACGAACCUGAAUUGUCCAAUUUCAUGGAACAAUCGAUAUCGGAUUGAGUACAAAACUUUGGGAACAUCAUAAUACGGUGGGAGGAGUCAUUUGAUGGGUUUUGAGUGAAUUCCAAUCUCUACAACUAUGCAAUACACCAACCACUCCAUUUCAGAACGAACUUCGUACGAACCUGAAUUGUCCAAUUUCAUGGAACAAUCGAUAUCGGAUUGAGUACAAAACUUGGGGAACAUCAUAAUACGGUGGGAGGAGUCAUUUGAUGGGUUUUGAGUGAAUUCCAAUCUCUACAACUAUGCAAUACACCAACCACUCCAUUUCAUAACAAACUUCGUACGAACCAGAAUUGUCCAAAUUCUUGUACCAAUCGAUAUCGGAUUGAGUCCAAAACUUGGGGAUCAUCAGAAUACGGUGGGAGGAGUCAUUUGGUGGGAUUUGAGUGAAAUCCAAUAUCUACAACUAUGCAAUACACCAACCACACCAUUUCAUAACUAACUUCGUACGAACCUGAAUUGUCCAAUUUCAUGGACCAAUCGAUAUCGGAUUGAGUCCAAAACUUGCGGAACAUCGUAAUACGGUGGGAGGAGUCAUUUGGUGGGUUUUGAGUGAAAUCCAAUCUCUACAACUAUGCAAUACACCGACCACUCUAUUUCAUAAAGAACUUUGUACGUACCUGAAUUGUCCAAUUUCUUGGACCAAUCUAUAUCGGAUUGAGUCCAAAACGUGGGGAUCAUCAUAAUACGGUGGGAGGAGUCAUUUGGUGGGUUUUGAGUAAAAUCCAAUCUCUACAACUAUGCCAUACACUAACCACUUCAUUUCAGAACGAACUUCGUACGAACCUGAAUUGUCCAAUUUCAUACACCAAUCGAUAUCGGUUGAGUCCAAAACUUGGGGAACAUCAUAAUACGGUGGGAGGAGUCAUUUGGUGGCUUUCGAGUGAAAUCCAAUCUCUAGAACUAUGCAAUACACCAACCACUCCAUUUCAUAAAGAACUUCGUACGAACCUGAAUUGUCCAAUUUCAUGGACCAAUCGAAAUCGGAUUGAGCCCAAAACAUGGAGAUCAUCAUAAUACAGUGGGCGGAGUCAUUUGGUGGGAUUUGAGUGAAAUCCAAUCUCUACAACCAUGCAAUACACCAACCACUCCAUUUCAGAACGAACUUCGUACGAACCUGAAUUGUCCAAUUUCAUGAAACAAUCGAUAUCAGAUUGACUCCAGAACUUGGGGAACAUCGUAAUACGGGGGGAGGAGUCAUUUGGUGGGUUUUGAGCGAAUUCCAAUCUCUACAACUAUGCAACACACCAACCACUCCAUUUCCCAACGAACUUCGAACGAACCUGAGUUGUCCAAUUUCAUGGACCAAUCGAUAUCGGAUUGAGUCCAAAAGUUGGGGAUCAUCUUAAUAUGGUGGGAGGAGUCAUUUGGUGGCUUCUGAGUGAAAUCCAAUCUCUACAACUAUGCAAUACGCCAACCACUCCAUUUCAUAAAGAACUUCGUACGAACCUGAAUUGUCCAAUUUCAUGGACCAAUCGAUAUCAAAUUGAGUCCAAAACUUGGGGAAUAUCAUAAUAUGAUGGGAGGAGUCAUUUGGUGACUGAAAUCCAAUAGCUCAAACUAUGCAAUACACCAACCACUCCAUUUCAGAACGAACUUCGUACGAACCUGAAUUGUCCAAUUUAAUGAACCAAUCAAUAUCGGAUUGACUCCAAAACUUGGGGAAUAUCGUAAUACAGUGGGAGGAGUCAUUUGGUGGGUUUUGAGUGAAAUCCAAUCUCUACAACUAUGCAAUACACCAACCACUCCAUUUCAUAAAGAACUUCGUACGAACCUUAAUUGUCCAAUUUCAUGGACCAAUCGAAAUCGGAUUGAGCCCAAAACAUGGAGAUCAUCAUAAUACAGUGGGCGGAGUCAUUUGGUGGGAUUUGAGUGAAAUCCAAUCUCUACAACCAUGCAAUACACCAACCACUCCAUUUCAGAACGAACUUCGUACGAACCUGAAUUGUCCAAUUUCAUGAAACAAUCGAUAUCAGAUUGACUCCAGAACUUGGGGAACAUCGUAAUACGGGGGGAGGAGUCAUUUGGUGGGUUUUGAGCGAAUUCCAAUCUCUACAACUAUGCAACACACCAACCACUCCAUUUCCUAACGAACUUCGAACGAACCUGAGUUGUCCAAUUUCAUGGACCAAUCGAUAUCGGAUUGAGUCCAAAAGUUGGGGAUCAUCUUAAUAUGGUGGGAGGAGUCAUUUGGUGGCUUCUGAGUGAAAUCCAAUCUCUACAACUAUGCAAUACGCCAACCACUCCAUUUCAUAAAGAACUUCGUACGAACCUGAAUUGUCCAAUUUCAUGGACCAAUCGAUAUCAAAUUGAGUCCAAAACUUGGGGAAUAUCAUAAUAUGAUGGGAGGAGUCAUUUGGUGACUGAAAUCCAAUAGCUCAAACUAUGCAAUACACCAACCACUCCAUUUCAGAACGAACUUCGUACGAACCUGAAUUGUCCAAUUUCAUGAACCAAUCAAUAUCGGAUUGACUCCAAAACUUGGGGAAUAUCGUAAUACAGUGGGAGGAGUCAUUUGGUGGGUUUUGAGUGAAAUCCAAUCUCUACAACUAUGCAAUACACCAACCACUCCAUUUCCUAACGAAUUUCCUACGAACCGGAGUUGCCCAAUUUCUUGGACCAAUCUAUAUCGGAUUGAGUCCAAAACUUGGGGAACAUCAUAAUACGGUGGGAGGAGUCAUUUAGUGGCUUUUGAGUGAAAUCCAACCUCUACAACUAUGCAAUACACCAACCACUGCAUUUCAGAACGAACUUCGUACGAACCUGAACUGUCCAAUUUCAUGGACCAAUCGACAUCGAAUUGAGUCCAAAACUUAGGGGACAUCAUAAUACGGUGGGAGGAGUCAUUUGGUGGGUUUUGACUGAAAUCCAAUCUCUACAACUAUGCAAUACACCAACCACUCCAUUUCAGAACGAACUUCGUACGAACCUGAAUUGUCCAAUUUCAUGGACCAAUCGAUAUCGGAUUGAGUCCACAACUUGGGGAACGUAAUAAUACGGUAGGAGGAGUCAUUUGAUAGGUUUUGAGUGAAAUCCAAUCUUUACAACUAUGCAACACACCAACCACUCCAUUUCAUAACGAACUUGGUACGAACCUGACUUGUCCAAUUUCUUGGACCAAUCUAUAUCGGAUUGAGUCCAAAACUGGGGGAUCAUCAUAAUACGGUGGGAGGAGUCAUUUGGUGGGAUUUGAGUGAAAUCCAAUCUCUACAACUAUGCAAUACACCAACCACUCCAUUUCAUUACGAACUUCGUGCGAACCUGAAUUGUCCAAUUUCACGGACCAAUCUGUAUCGGAUUGAGUCCAAAACUUGGGGAACAUCAUAAUACGGCAGGAGGAGUCAUUUGGUGGGUUUUGAGUGAAAUCCAAUCUUUACAACUAUGCAACACACCAACCACUCCAUUUCAAAACGAACUUCGUACGAACCUAAAUUGUCGAAUUUCAAGGACCAAUCGACAUCGGAUUGAGUCCAAAACUUGGCUAACAUCGUAAUACGAUGGGAGAAUUCAUUUGGUGGCUUUUGAGUGAAAUCCAAUCUCUACAACUAUGCAAUACUCUAACCACUCCAUUUCAUAAAGAACUUCGUACGAAUCUGAAUUGUUCAAUUUCAUGGACCAAUCGAUAUCUGAUUGAGUCCAAAAUUUGGGGAACAUCAUAAUACGGUGGGAGAAUUCAUUUGGUGGCCUUUGGGUGAAAUCCAAUCUCUACAACUAUGCAAUACAUCAACCACUCCAUUUCAUAACGAACUUCGUACGAACCUGAAUUGUCCAAUUUCUUGGACCAAUCCAUAUCGGAUUGAGGCCAAAACUUGGGGAACAUCAUAAUACGAUGGGAGGAUUCAUUUGGGGACUUUUGAGUGAAAUCCAACGGCUAAAACUAUGCAAUACACUAACCACUCCAUUUCAGAACGAACUUCGUACGAACCUGAAUUGUCGAAUUUCAUGGACCAAUCGAUAUCGGAUUGAGUCCAAAACUUAGGGUACAUCAUAAUAUGGUGGGAGAAUUCAUUUGGUGGGUUUUGAGUGAAAUCCAAUCUCUACAACUAUGCAAUACACCAACCACUCCAUUUCAUAAUGAACUUCGUACGAACUUGAAUUGUCCAAUUUCAUGUGCCAAUUGAUAUCUGAUUGAGUCCAAAACUUGGGGAACAUCAUAAUAUGAUGGUUGGAGUCAUUUCGUGACUUUUGAGUGAAAACCAAUGGCUAAAACUUUGCAAUACACUAACCACUCCAUUUCAGGACGAACUUCGUACGAACCUGAAUUGUCCAAUUUCAUGGACCAAUCGAUAUCGGAUUGAGUCCAAAAUGUGGGGAUCACCAUAAUACGGUGGGCGGAGUCAUUUGGUGGGAUUUGAGUGAAAUCCAAUCCCUAAAACUAUGCAAUACACCAACUACUCCAUUUCAGAACGAACUUUGUACGAACCUGAAUUGUCCAAUUUCAUGAACCAAUCGAUAUCGGAUUGACUCCGAAAGUUGGGGAACAUCGUAAUACAGUGGGAGGAGUCGUUCGGUGGGUUUUGAGUGAAAUCCAAUCUUUACAACUAUGCAAUACACCAACCACUCCAUUUCAUAACGAACUUUGUACGAACCUGAGUUGUCCAAUUUCUUGGACCAAUCUAUAUCGGAUUGAGUCCAAAACUUGGGGAACAAUAUAAUACGGUGGGAGGAGUCAUUUAGUGGCUUUUGAGUGAAAUCCAAUUGGUAAAACUGUGCAAUACACCAACCACUCCAUUUCAGAAAGAACUUCGCACGAACCUGAGUUGUCUAAUUUAAUGGACCAAUCGAUAUCGGAUUGAGUACAAAACUUGGGGAACAUCAUAAUACGGUGGGAGUUGUCAUUUGGUGGAUUUUGAGUGAAAUCCAAUCUCUACAACUAUGCAACACCAACCACUCCAUUUCAUGAUGAACUUCGUACGAACCUGAAUUGUCCAAUUCCAUAGACCAAUCGAUAUCGGAUUGAAUCCAAAACUUGGGGAACAUCGUAUUAUGAUGGUUGGAGUCAUUUGGUGACUUUUGAGUGAAAUCCAAUGGCUAAAACUAUGCAAUACACUAACCACUCCAUUUCAGAACGAACUUCGUACGAACCUGAAUUGUCAAAUUUCAUGGACCAAUCGAUAUCGGAUUGAGUCCAAAACAGGGGGAACAUCAUAAUAUAUGGGAGGAGUCAUUUGGUGUCUUCUGAGUGAACUCCUAUGGCUAAAACUAUGCAAAACACCAACCACUAUAUUUCAGAACGAACUUCGUACGAACCUGAAUUGUCCAAUUUCAUCGACCAAUCGGUAUCAGAUUGAGUCCAAAACUUGGGGAACAUCAUAAUACGGUGGGAGGAGUCAUUUGGUGGGUUUUGGGUAAAUUCCAAUGUCUACAACUAGGCAAUACACCAACCACUCCAUUUCAUAACGAACUUCGUACGAACUUGAAUUGUCCAAUUUCACGUUCCAAUCGAUACCGGAUUGAGUCCAAAACAUGGGGAACAUUAUAAUAUCAUGGGAGGACUCGUUUGGUGACUUUUGAGUGAAAUCCAAUUGCUAAAACGAUGCAAUACACUAACCACUCCAUUUCAGAACGAACUUCUUACGAACCUGAAUUGUCCAUUUUCAUGGACCAAUCGAUAUCGGAUUCAGUCCAAAACUUGGGGAACAUCAUAAUACGGUGGGAGGAGUCAUUUGGUGGGUUUUGAGUGAAAUCCAAUCUCUACAACUAUGCAAUACACCAACCACUCCAUUUCAGAAUGUACUUCGUACGAACCUGAAUUGUCCAAUUUCAUGGACCAAUCGAUAUCGGAUUGAGUCCAAAACUUGGGGCAUAUCAUAACACGGUGGGAGGAGUCAUUUGGUGGCUUUUGAGUGGAAUCCAAUCCCUGCAACUAUGCAAUACACCAACUACUCCAGUUCAUGACGAACUUCGAGCGAACCUGAAUUGUCCAAUUUCAUGGACCAAUCGAUAUCGGAUUGUGUCCAAAAGAUGGGGAACAUCAUAAUACGGUCGGAGGAGUCAUUUGGUGGGUUGUGAGUGAAAUCCAAUCUCUUCAACUAUGCAAUACACCAACCACGCAAUUUCAGAACGAACUUCGUACGAAACUGAAUUGUCCAAUUUCAUGGACCAAUUGAUAUCGGAUUGUGUCCGAAACUUGGGGAACAUCAUAAUGUGAUGGGAGCAGUCGUUCGGUGUCUUUUGAGUGAAAUCCAAUGGCUAAAACUAUGCAAUACAGCAACCACUCCAUUUCAGAACGAACUUCGUUCGAACUCGAAUUGCCCAAUUUCAUGGACCAAUCGAUAUCGGAUUGAGUCCAAAACGUGGGGAGCAUCAUAAUAUGGUGCGUGGAGUGAUUUGGUGGCUUUUGAGUGAAAUCCAAUGGGAAAAACUAUAAAAUAUACCAACCACUCCAUUUCAUAACGAACUUCGUACGAACCUGUAUUGUCCAAUUUCGUGAACCAAUCGAUAUCGGAUUGAGUCCAAAACUUGGGCAACACCAUAAUAUGAUGGGAGAAGUCAUUUGGUGACUUUUGAGUGAAAUCCAAUGGCUAAAACUAUGCAAUACACAAAACCACUCCAUUUCAGAACGAACUUCGUACAAACCUGAAUUGUCCAAUUUCAUGGACCAAUCGAUAUCGGAUUGAGUCCAAAACAUGGGGAACAUCAUAAUAUGAUGGGAGGAGUCAUUUCGUGGCUUUUGACUGAAAUCAAAUGGCUAAAACUCUGCAAUACACUAACCACUCCACUCCAUUUCAACAUCAGAAUUGGUUCAAGGGUUUCCUCUCAUGAAUUUAUUUUCACUCAUGUUGUUUAUUUUUGUUUUAAUCUCUUUGAACAUGAUGUGUAACUAAAUUCAUAGCUAGGGAUUUCGAUGUAGCCUUGCAACAUUGAUCCAUGUUUCUAAUUUAGAGUAUUCAGUUCAUCAAUUUAUUUCUUGUUUCAUUCACUGAAUCUAUUGUUCAAUUUGUUUGUCAAUUUUAAUGUUUGAUCACCGCUAGAGUUGCCUACAGAUUAUCUAGACAAGGUUAUAGUAAACAUCAUGCUUAAUCUUGUUAGACAUGUGAAUGAAUGAAGAGAAUGCUAUGCAAACAUCAUGCUGUGUAUUUUCUUUGGUUCUUUAACGUUUUCUUGCAUGCUAAUGACUCUUAACUUGGAACCAAAGUUGAACAUCCCAACUAGGUUGCAGAUUAGGAGAAUUUGAUCAAAACCACACAUCAUAUGGCUGAUCAUAUAUAUGUAAAACGAACUCUGGAAACAGGUUGGUAGUUGAGUACGGUUUAAUUUUAUAAACAUGGAAUUAGUUUUGCAAUGGUGAAUUCGAAAUCCCUGGUCUCUUCCCUAUUCUUUCUACAUCAAUAUAUUAUUCACUACUACAUUCUUUUUGCAUUGGAAGUUAUUUUUCAUUUACAACACAAAAACUACUUUCAAAUUGUCACUUUCAUUUUUAGUUAGGGUUCUUUCGAAACUAGUAAUUUAUAGAGGUCCAAUCGGUCCCUGUGGUUCGAUACCCUUACUUGUACCAUUAUACUAACCAUAUAUUGGCACUUGGAAGGAACACAACAAAAUUUUGGCGCCGUUGCCGGGGACUGAUUUCAAUCUUCUAUAAUUGCUUGUUCUCAAACCCUAAUUUCAUUUUUAUUUUUGUUUCUCAGGUAGUAUAUGUCAGAUACACUUGCUGAGAUAGGCCAAAGACUUGAACGGUUGAAGAGCAACACUUUUGAGAAGUCUAUAUCAGCUAGUGCCCAAACUAGCAGUGUAGAAGAGGACAAUAGUUCUUCUGGCCCAACGAGUGUAGAUUCUUUCGAUAACUCUAAUUCUGACAGAGAAGAAGAGAUGGCUGACAAUAACGAUGAAAAUCGAGCUUUGGAAGAUUAUGCUCAACCGGUUAUACCAAAUUCCCCUUCGUGCAUCUUGCUGCCUACUGAAGCUAGAAAUUAUGAUCUCAAAUCUUCACAUUUUCACAUGCUUCCUUCUUUUUAUGGUUUACCUAACGAAGAUCCAUUAGCCCAUAUUAAGGAAUUCUACAAUGUUGUGAGUAGUUUACCUUUGCAGGGAGUGACUGAAGCAAAUCUGAGGAUGAGGGUUUUUCCUUAUACAUUGAAAGAUAGAGCAAAGGGUUGGCUAAUGACUUUAGCACCUGGUUCGCUCACCACUUGGGAUGCCGUAGCUAAGAAAUUUUUGGAGAAGUUCUUCUCUACUCAAAAGACAGCUACUUUGAGAGGGCAAAUCUUUAACUUUAAACAAGAUGAUGGAGAACCUUUCAAUGAAUGUUGGGAGCGUUUCAAAGGCCUGUUGCUGCAAUGUCCACAUCAUGGGUUACCUCUUUACUUACAAAUGCAAAUUUUUUAUGAGGGACUAACCCAAACAUGUCAAUCGACUGUUGAUAAUGCAGCAGGUGGAGCUUUGAAGAAAAAAAAUGCUCAAGAGUCAUAUAACAUUUAUGAGAUGUUGGGAUCUAAUGCUCCACACAAAGAUACAAGAGGUAAACGAGUUGGAGUGUAUGAAAUGAGUUCUAAUAAUGAUCUGGCCUUGCAGGUGGCUAGUUUGGAAAAGAAGCUCGAUUCUAUGAUCAAUAUGGUGCCUAAGAUAGCUGAGGUGUGUACCAUUUGCAAUAUACCAGGUCAUCCAACUUAUCAAUGCUCGGCUAGUGAGGCUUAUCCCGAAUUUGUUCAAGAGCAAGUGAAUCUCAUGAAUUCUUACAAUCAGAGGCCGAGGAAUGACCCGUUCUCUAAUACAUAUAACCCGGGUUGGAGAGAUCAUCCCAAUCUCUCAUGGAAGAAUAACAAUCAAUUUCAAAAUUUCCAACCAAAGCAUGCCACUACGCUUAAAGAUACGGUCAAAAUGCUAGCUCAAAACACUGUUCAAUUCCAGCAAACUACCAAUAGUACUCUCCAACAACAUUCAGCUGCUCUAACCAAAAUGGAGACACAAUUAGGUCAGAUUGCUGAUGCUUUGAGUCAAAGAGAACCCGGAAAAUUUCCAAGCCAACCGGUGAUACUUCAAAGGAACCAAGAGCAAGCCAAAGCGGUCAUAACUCUUAGAAGUGGUAAGGUUAUUAAUAAUGGAGUUGGCAAUGAAGUUACUAAUGAAUCUGAUCAUGUGAAUGCAGGUCCCACUCAAGAAGAGAAUGAGAAACCGAAUGACGAUCCAAGCAAUGCCACUUCUUCGUUUGAAGCUCCAAAUUUUCACAAGGCUGAAAAACCUUACUCUCCACCCAUUCCAUUUCCUGGAAGACUUGCCAAAAGCAAGCAGGAUAAGUCAUUUAAAGAAAUUUUUGAUAUAUUAAGUAAAGUGAAUGUUAAUUUACCUUUGCUUGAUGUCAUUAGGAAUAUGCCAGCGUAUGGGAAAUUUUUCAAGGAGCUAAACACUUACAAGAGGAAGUAUGGACCUAAUGAGAAGGUGUUGGUGUCUGAAAAUGUGAGUGCUGCGCUUCAAAGAAAGCUCCCACCAAAACUCAAGGAUCCGGGCAGUUUUUCUAUCAAUAUCACCAUUGGAGAUAAGCUAGUUGAAAAGGCUAUGCUUGACUUGGGGGCUAGCAUCAAUUUAAUGCCCUAUUCAGUGUACCUUCAAUUAGGUUUGGGGGGUUUGAAGGCAACAACUAUUUCAUUGCAACUUGCUGAUCGAUCAGUGAAAUAUCCAAGAGGUAUAGUGGAAGAUAUCUUAGUUCAAGUUGACAAACUAAUUUUGCCUGCUGAUUUUGUAGUGUUGGACAUGGAAGAGGCUCCUCUACCUGAUCGUGAGUUACCUAUUAUUCUUGGGAGACCCUUUAUGGCCACGGCAAAGACGAUCAUAGAUGUGCAAAAUGGUCUCCUCACCAUGACUGUGCUAGGAGAAACUGUACAAUUCAAAGUGUUUGAAUCUCUUUCUCACCCUUCUAGUUCAAUUGAUUGUUGUUCGAUUGAUGUGCUUGAUUCACUUGUUUUCUCUAAGUUUUUGCUGGCACAAUCCAAUGAUCCAUUACAAUAUGUUUUGAGUCAAUCUCAAAAUGACUUUGAUGAAGAAGUGCUCAUGGAGAUGGUGGCUGCCUUGGAAGCAUUAAAAUAAUAUCCCUCCACAUUUUCGCCUCUUAUAGAGCCAUUAGAACCAUCUACCACACAUCUGAUCCCUUCUAUUGUUAAACCUCCAAAACUAGACCUUAAACCACUUCCAUCACAUCUAAAAUAUGCUUACCUAGCUGAGUUUGAAACUCUCCCAGUUAUAAUAGCAUCUGACCUCACCCGUUUGGAAGAAGAUAAGCUAAUUAGGGUGCUAAAAGAGUUCAAAUCAGCCAUUGGUUGGUCUAUUGCAGAUAUCAAGGGAAUAAGCCCUACCAUGUGUCUGCAUCGAAUUUUAUUGGAGGGAGCGAAACCAACUCGUGAACCACAAAGAAGGCUCAAUCCACACAUGAAGGAAGUAGUGAGAGCUGAAGUGCUGAAGUUGCUAGAUGUGGGUAUCAUAUACCCGAUUUCUGAUAGCAAAUGGGUCAGCGCUGUUCACGUAGUGCCUAAGAGGAUUGGAAUCACAGUGGUAAAAAAUGAGCAUAAAGAGCUUGUUCAAACGAGACCUGCAGCUAGUUGGCGUGUUUGCACCGAUUACAGGAAGUUGAAUUCAGACACUAGAAAAGCGUCUUUCUGCAAACAGCGUUCGCCAGUUGAAGUUCAUACCUUUUUUCUUCUAUUUUAAUGGGGAUUUCCCUUUUUUAAGUGCUCUCCCCUGCUAUCGCUGCGCUUAUUAUUUUCCUAUGCCUUUUAUUGAUCAAAUGGUUGAGCGAUUAGCUGGUCACUCAUAUUAUUGUUUUCUUGAUGGAUAUUCAGGUUAUAAUCAAAUUGUGAUUGCUUCGGAAGAUCAAGAGAAGACUACAUUCACCUGUCCUUUUGACACUUUUGCAUAUAGGAGGAUGCCUUUUGGCCUUUGCAAUGCCCCAGCAACAUUCCAAAGAUGUAUGCUAGCAAUCUUUUCAGAUAUGAUUGAGAGAUUUAUUGAGGUAUUCAUGGACGAUUUUUCAGUUUUUGGUUCUUCUUUUGAUAAUUGUCUUAACCAUCUCUCUCUAGUGCUUCAAAGAUGUCAGGAAACAAAUUUGAUUCUCAACUGGGAAAAGUGUCAAUUUAUGGUGAAACAAGGUGUUGUGUUGGGGCAUGUAAUAUCCAACAAGGGUAUUGAAGUUGACAAAGCAAAAAUUGACAUCAUCUCAAAUAUGGCAGCCCCUGCUUCAGUGAAGGGAGUGAGAAGCUUUCUAGGACAUGCUGGUUUUUAUCGUCGUUUCAUUAAGGAUUUUUCCAAGAUCACUCAUCCAUUGUGCAAUCUUUUGGCCAAAGAUGUUGUAUUUCACUUUGAUAAAGAUUGUAUGAAUGCAUUUAAUACCUUGAAACGUGAACUAACCUCUGCUCCUAUCAUUAUGGCACCAGAUUGGUCUUUGCCUUUUGAGCUAAUGUGUGAUGCCUCUGACUAUGCUAUUGGUGCUGUUUUAGGUCAAAGAGUAAAUAAGCUGCCACACGUAAUAUACUAUGCAAGUCUGACGUUAAACGAUGCUCAACUCAAUUACUCUACAACUGAGAAGGAGUUGCUUGCUGUUGUGUUUGCUUUAGAGAAAUUUCGUUCAUAUCUUGUUGGCUCUAAAGUUAUUGUUUACUCUGAUCAUGCAGCUCUUAGGUUUUUGUUGACCAAGAAAGAUGCUAAACUACGUUUGAUCAGAUGCAUACUCUUGUUUCAAGAGUUUGACCUAGAAAUUCGAGACAAGAAAGGGAGUGAAAAUGUUGUUGCUGAUCACUUGUCAUGUCUUGUUGAUGAAAACCAUGGAGAUGGACAAAUUUUGCCUCUCAACGAAUCAUUCCCGGAUGAACAACUCUUUGUCAUUCAAGAUAAAGAGCCAUGGUAUGCUGAUUUUGUCAAUUAUCUUGCUUCUGGUGUAAUUAGAGAUGAUUUGACUUUUCAGGAGAGAAAGAAGUUCUUUUCAAUGGUGAAACACUACAUGUGGGAUGAGCCCUAUUUGUUCAAGUAUUGCCCUGACCAAAUCAUUCGAAGAUGUGUUCCAGAGAGUGAGCAGUGAAGCAUACUAACAUUCAGUCAUGCAUUGGCAUGCGGAGGUCAUUUCAGUGCCAAAAAGACAGCUUUAAAGGUUUUACAAUCUGGUUUCUUUUGGCCUACAUUGUUUAAAGAUGCUUUUGAUUUUUGCUCUAAGUGUGAUAGGUGUCAGAAAAUGGGGAGCAUCAGUCGCAGGAAUGAAAUGCCAUUAAACAACAUUUUAGUGAUAGAGCUGUUUGAUGUGUGGGGAAUUGACUUCAUGGGACCAUUCCCAUCUUCUUUUGGAUACAUAUACAUACUAGUGGCAGUAGAUUAUGUAUCAAAAUGGGUUGAGGCAACAGCUACACGAACUAAUGAUCACAAAGUUGUUUUGAAUUUUCUCAAAGAUAUUAUUUUCACUAGGUUUGGAACUCCGAGAGCUAUCAUUAGCGAUGGUGGCAGUCACUUCUGCAACAAACCUUUCGAGGCAUUGAUGAAGAAGUACAACAUCACACAUAAAGUGGCAACUCCAUACCAUCCUCAAACCUCUGGACAAGUGGAAAUCAGCAAUAGAGAAAUAAAGAACAUCUUGAUGAAAACCGUCGGCCUUACAAGGAAGGAUUGGUCACUAAGGUUGAAUGAUGCACUUUGGGCGUAUCGAACAGCGUACAAGACCCCAAUUGGAAUGAGCCCUUAUCGACUGGUGUUUGGAAAGGCAUGUCAUCUGCCAAUGGAGCUCGAGCACCGUGCAUAUUGGGCCAUAAAGAAGUUCAAUUUUGAUCUCAAAGAAGCUGGUACAGUGAGGAAGCUCCAACUCAAUGAGUUGGAAGAGCUCAGAAAUGAAUCAUAUGAGAAUGCAAGGAUCUACAAAGAACGAACCAAGCUCUACCAUGACAAAGCAAUUCUUAGGAAGGAGUUUUAACCAGGUAUGAAAGUACUUUUGUAUGACUCACGUUUGCGACUGUUUCCAGGUAAAUUGAAGUCUAGAUGGGUUGGACCAUUCAAAGUGCUUCAAGUAUUUCCCCAUGGAGCUAUGGAGAUAGAAAACAUCAAGAAUGGCACCCAUUUUAAGGUCAAUGGACAGCGUUUGAAGCCUUAUUUGGAGAAUGUUUCACAGGAGCAGGUUUAUGUCGUUAUAGAUUCUCUCGAGUUUAUGGCAACUUAGACACACUACCAUGUCUUGCCUAGACAUUAAAUAAAGCGCUUGCUAGGAGGCAACCUAGCUGGGUUUGUGUUCUUUCCGUUUAUUUGUGUUGGUUUUUAGUUUUUAUUUUAUUUCUUUCCGUACACACUGUGCCAAUUUGCAUUGCAUCCAUUCCAUUCAUUUUUUUUUUCAAAGCGUCGAGGACAAUGCUUAGUUUAGGUUUGGGGGUGUGGGAUUUUCGUUUGUUUUUAGUUCUGGUUAAAGUUUGCUUUUGCUUACUAAUGUGAAUGUAUAUGAGGGCUAUGGUUUACAAUGAGGACUACUGUGAUGUCAUGAAAAAGUUCAUAUCAUAUCUUUUUUUUUCAAAGCUGUUACUCUUGGAAUCAUGGUGGUUAAAGUAUCAUGCUCAAAUUCUAGAAGAAGAAUUGUGGAGACUACCCUAGUGAGUGAUUUUGAGCCUAUUUACUUCUUUGAGAGGGUUUAAAGUGUUUGUACUCCUAUCUUUUUGCUUCAAUGUCAUUUCAAAUUAUCUCAUUAUUUUUGUUUGAUUGAACGCUAAGAAUUGUUCGCUUUCACAGAUACCAUGUGUUUGGUAACAUUCAUGAAUGAAUUCAUUGAGACGAUGUUAGGCUAUGCAUGUCUUAACCACCAAAAGGCCUAAUUUCUUACCUUUAUGUGUGUGCCAUUACCCCAUUUUGAAGCCAAUCAUUUUUAGCCAUUUUCUUUUCUCACAUUUGUUUCCCCAUAUCCUUUUAUCUCAAUAUGAGAUAUUUAGCCCAUUACAGCUAUACCCUAUAGUUUGGGGAAUACCAAAGUGAUGAAGACAAAGAUAAUUCGAGCUCUACAUCAAGAAAGUGGUAUGUACCGAGGUAUGUGUGCUGGAAUUGUAGAAAAAAAGAAAGAAAAAAGAAACAAAGUUUUAGAAAAAGAAAAGAAAAGAAAAAGACUCAAAGAGGAUGUAAUUUCUAAAUUCUUCCAUUAUCGCACGGGUCCUGGAUGCCACGAACAAACAACAAAGAUCAAUUCAAGAGGAGAGCUUGCUGCUUUCACAAGGAAGACACUUUGGUAUGUCCCAAGCUUUAGUAUUUCCUAUCCUUUCUUUCAUAGCCCCUGACCUAAGCCUUACAUUACACACCUUGUGAAAGACCUAGCUGAUCUUUGGGGAUGUAUUCAUGGGUGCUGCUAAGUAUGCGUGCUAUCCAUAAUCUUAGUGUUUAAUUCCUUUCAUGAGAUAUGUCCAGAAAUUGUGCUUUUAUUUCAUAUCUCAUAUGUGUGGAUUUUGAUUCCCUUUUACAUAACUUCACUCACAUAUGUUUGAGGAGAGACCACACCUUAGGAUCUGAGUGAAAAUUUGAGUGCUAUCUGUGAGGACUAGAGUUGAGGCGAUUUCUAUCUUCGGCAUGAUGUGUAACUAAAUUCAUAGCUAGGGAUUUCGAUGUAGCCUUGCAACAUUGAUCCAUGUUUCUAAUUUAGAGUAUUCAGUUCAUCAAUCUGUUUCUUGUUUAAUUCACUGAAUCUAUUGUUCAAUUUGUUUGUCAAUUUUAAUGUUUGAUCACCAUUAGAGUUGCCUACAGAUUAUCUAGACAAGGUUAUAGUAAACAUCAUGCUUAAUCUUGUUAGACAUGUGAAUGAAUGAAGAGAAUGCUAUGCAAACAUCAUGCUGUGUAUUUUCUUUGGUUCUUUAACGUUUUCUUGCAUGCGAAUGACUCUUAACUUGGAACCAAAGUUGAACAUCCCAACUAGGUUGCAGAUUAGGAGAAUUUGAUUAAAACCACACAUCAUAUGGCUGAUCAUAUAUAUGAAAAACGAACUCUGGAAACAGGUUGGUAGUUGAGUACGGUUUAAUUUUAUAAACAUGGAAUUAGUUUUGCAAUGGUGAAUUCGAAAUCCCUUGUCUCUUCCCUAUUCUUUCUACAUCAAUAUAUUAUUCACUACUACAUUCUUUUUGCAUUGGAAGUUAUUUUUCAUUUACAACACAAAAACUACUUUCAAAUUGUCACUUUCAUUUUUAGUUAGGGUUCUUUCAAAACUAGUAAUUUAUAGAGGUCGAAUCGGUCCCUGUGGUUCGACACCCUUACUUGUACCAUUAUACUAACCAUAUAUUGGCACUUGGAAGGAACACAACAGAGGAUUCACUUGGUGGGUUUUGAGUGAAAUCCAAUCUCUACAACUGUGCAAUAUACCAAGCACUCCAUUUCGUAACGAACUUCAUACGAACCUGAAUUGUCCAAUUUCAUGGACCAAUCGAUAUUGUAUUGAGUCCAGAACUUGGGGAACAUAAUAAUACUGUGGGAGGAGUCAUUUGGUGGGUUUUGAGUGAAAUCCAAUCUCUACAACUAUGCAAUACACCAACCACUCCAUUUCAUAACGAACUUCGUACGAACCUGAAUUGUCCAAUUUCAUGGACCAAUCGAUAUCGGAUUGAGUCCAAAACUUGGCGAACAUCAUAAUAUGAUAGGAGGAGUAUUUGAUGAAUUUUGAGUGAAAUCCAAUGGCAAAAACUAUGCAAUACACUAACCACUCCAUUUCAGAAUGAACUUCGUACGAACCUGAAUUGUCCAAUUUCGUGGACCAGUCGAUAUCGGAUUGAGUCCGAAACUUGGGGAACAUCAUAAUAUGAUGGGAGGAGUCAUUUGGUGCAUUUUGAGUGAAAUCCAAUGGCCAACACUAUGCAACACACCAACCACUCCAUUUCAUAACGAAUUUCGUACGAACCUGAAUUGUCCAAUUUGAUAGACAAAUCGAUCUCGAAUUGAGUCCAAAACUUGGGGCACAUCAUAAUAUGAUGGGAGGAGUCAUUUGGUGACUUUUGAGUGAAAUCCAAUGGCUACAACAUUGCAAUACACUAACCACUCCAUUUCAGAACGAACUUCGUACGAACCAGAAUUGUCCAAUUUCACGGACCAAUCGAUAUCGAAUUGAGUCCAAAACUUGGGGAACAUCGUAAUAUGGUGGGAGAAGUCAUUUGGUGGGUUUUGAGUGAAAUCCAAACUCUACAACUACGCAAUACACCAACCCCACCAUUUCAUAAUGAUAUUGGACAAACCUGAAUUGUCCAAUUUCAUGGACCAAUCAAUAUCAGAUUGAUGGAAAAACUUGGGAAACAUCAUAAUACGAUGGUUGGAGUCAUUUGGUGACUUUUGAGUGAAAUCCAAUGGCUAAAACUUUGCAGUACACUAACCACUCCAUUUUAGAACGAACUUCGUACGAACCUGAAUUGUCCAAUUUCAUGGACCAAUCGAUAUCGGAUUGAGUCCGAAACUUAGGGAACAUCGUAAGAUGAUGAGAGGAGUCAUUUGGUGCCUUUUCAGUGAAAUCCAAUGGCUAAAACUAUGCAAUACACCAACCACUCCAUUUCAUAACGAACUUCGUACGAGCAUGAAUUGUCCAAUUUCAUGGACCAAUCGAUAUCGGCUUAAGCCCAAAACUUGGGGAACAUCAUACUGCGGUGGGAGGAGUCAUUUGGAGGGUUUUGAGUGAAAUUCAAUCACUACAACUAUGCAGUACACCAACCACUCCAUUUCAUAACGAACUUCGUACGAACCUGAAUUGUCCAAUUUCAUGAACCAAUCGAUAUCGGAUUAAGUCCAAAACUUGGGGCACAUCAUAAUGUGAUGGGAGGAGUCAUUUGGUGACUUUUGAGUGAAAUCCAAUGGCUAAAGCUAUGCAAUACACUAACCACUCCAUUUCAGAACGAACUUCGUACGAACCUGAAUUGUCCAAUUUCAUGGACCAAUCGAUAUUGGAUUGAGUCCAAAACUUGGGGAACAUCAUAAUAUGGUGGGAGAAGUCAUUUGGCGGGUUUUGAGUGAAAUCCAAUCUGUACAACUAUGUAACACACCAACCACUCCAUUUCAUAACGAACUUCGUACGAACAUGAAUUGUCCAAUUUCAUAGACCAAUCGAUAUCGAAUUGAGUCCAAAACUUGGGGAACAUCAAAAUAUGGUGGGGAGAAGUCAUUUGGUGGGUUUUGAGUGAAAUCCAAUCUCUACAACUACGCAAUACACCAACCCCACCAUUUCAUAACGAUAUCGGACGAACCUGAAUUGUCCAAUUUCAUGGACCAAUCAAUAUCAGAUUGAUGGCAAAACUUGGGAAACAUCAUAAUAUGAUGGUUGGAGUCAUUUGGUGACUUUUGAGUGAAAUCCAAUGGCUAAAACUUUGCAGUACACUAACCACUCCAUUUUAGAACGAACUUCGUACGAACCUGAAUUGUCCAAUUUCAUGGACCAAUCGAUUUCGGAUUGAGUCCGAAACUUAGGGAACAUCGUAAGAUGAUGAGAGGAGUCCUUUGGUGCCUUUUCAGUGAAAUCCAAUGGCUAAAACUAUGCAAUACACCAACCACUCCAUUUCAUAACGAACUUCGUACGAGCAUGAAUUGUCCAAUUUCAUGGACCAAUCGAUAUCGGCUUAAGCCCAAAACUUGGGGAACAUCAUAAUACGGUGGGAGGAGUCAUUUGGAGGGUUUUGAGUGAAAUUCAAUCUCUACAACUAUGCAGUACACCAACCACUCCAUUUCAUAACGAACUUCCUACGAACCUGAAUUGUCCCAUUUCAUGGACCAAUCGAUAUCGGAUUAAGUCCAAAACUUGGGGCACAUCAUAAUGUGAUGGGAGGAGUCAUUUGGUGACUUUUGAGUGAAAUCCAAUGGCUAAAGCUAUGCAAUACACUAACCACUCCAUUUCAGAACGAACUUCGUACGAACUUGAAUUGUCCAAUUUCAUGGACCAAUCGAUUUUGGAUUGAGUCCAAAACUUGGGGAACAUCAUAAUACGGUGGGAGGAGUCAUUUGGUGGCUUUUGAGUGAAAUCGAAUCGCUACAACUAUUCAAUACACCUACCACUCCAUUUCAUAACGAACUUCGUACGAACCUGAAUUGUCCAAUUUCAUAGACCAAUCGAUAUCGGAUUGAGUCCAAAGCUUGGGGAACAUCAUAAUACGGUGGGAGGAGUCAUUUGGUGGCUUUUGAGUGAAAUCCAAUCUCUACAACUAUGCAAUAUUCCAACCACUCCAUUUCAUAACAAACUUCGUACGAACCAGAAUUGUCCAAUUCCUUGGACCAAUCGAUAUCGGAUUGAGUCCAAAACUUGGGGAACAUCAUAAUACGGUGGGAGGAGUCAUUUGGUGGGUUUUCAGUGAAAUCCAAUCUCUACAACUGUGCAAUACACCAAGCACUGCAUUUCAUAACGAACUUCAUACGAACCUGAGUUGUCCAAUUUCAUGGACCAAUCGAUAUUGGAUUGAGUCCAAAACUUGGGGAACGUCAUAAUAUGAUGGGAGGAGUCAUUUGGUGACUUUUGAGUGAAAUCCAAUGGCAAAAACAAUGCAAUACACUAACCACUCCAUUUCAGAAUGAACCUCGUACGAACCUGAAUUGUCCAAUUUCAUGGACCAGUCGAUAUCGGAUUGAGUCCGAAAGUUCGGAACAUCAUAAUAUGAAGGGAGGAGUCAUUUGGUGCCUUUUGAGUGAAAUCCAAUGGCCAAAACUAUGCAAUACACCGACCACUCCAUUUCAAAACGAACUACGUACGAACCUGAAUUGUCCAAUUUCAUGGACCAAUCCAUAUCGGAUUGAGGCCAAAACUUGGGGAACAUCAUAAUAUGAUGGUUGGAGUCAUUUGGUGACUUUUGAGUGAAAUCCAAUUUCUACAACUAUGUAAUACACCAACCACUCUAUUUCAUAAUGAACUUCGGACGAACCUGAAUUGUCCAAUUUCAUGGUCCAAUCGAUAUCGGAUUAAGUCCAAAACUUGGGGCACAUCAUAAUAUGAUGGGAGGAGUCAUUUGCUAACUUUCGAGUGAAAUCCAAUGGCUAAAACUAUGCAAUACACUAACCACUCCAUAUUAGAACGAACUUCGUACGAACCUGAAUUGUUCGAUUUCGUGGACCAAUCGAUAUCGGAUUGAGUCCGAAACUUGGGGAACAUCACAAUAUUGUGGGAGGAGUCAUUUGGUGCCUUUCGAGUGAAAUCCAAUGGCCAAACUAUGCAAUACACGAACCACUACAUUUCAUAACGAACUUCGUACGAACCUGAAUUGUCCAAUUUCAUGGACCAAUCGAUAUCGAUUGAGUCCAAAACUUGGGGAACAUCAUAAUAUGAUGGGAGGAGUCAUUUGGUGACUUUUGAGUGAAAUCCAAUGGCAAAAACUGUGCAAUAAACUAACCAUUCCAUUUCAGAUUGAACUUCGUACGAACUUGAAUUGUCCAAUUUCAUGGACCAGUCGAUAUCGGAUUGAGUCCGAAAGUCGGGGAACAUCAUAAUAUGAAGGGAGGAGUCAUCUGGUGCCUUUUGAGUGAAAUCCAAUGGCCAAAACAAUGCAAUACACCGACCACUCCAUUUCAUAACGAACUACGUACGAACCUGAAUUGUCCAAUUUCAUGGACCAAUCGAUAUCGAAUUGAGUCCAAAACUUGGGGCACAUCAUAAUAUGAUGGGAGGAGUCAUUUGCUGACUUUUGAGUGAAAUCCAAUGGCAAAAACUAUGUAAUACACCAACCACUCCAUUUCAUAACGAACUUCGGACGAACCUGAAUUGUCCAAUUUCAUGGACCAAUCGAUAUCGGACUGAGUCCAAAACUUGGGGCACAUCAUAAUAUGAUGGGAGGAGUCAUUUGCUGACUUUCGAGUGAAAUCCAAUGGCUAAAACUAUGCAAUACACUAACCACUCCAUUUCAGAACGAACUUCGUACUAACCUUAAUUGUUCGAUUUCGUGGACCAAUCGAUAUCGGAUUGAGUCCGAAACUUGGGGAACAUCGCAAUAUUAUGGGAGGAGUCAUUUGGUGCCUUUUGAGUGAAAUCCAAUGGUCAAAACUAUGCAAUACACCAACCACUACAUUUCAUAACGAACUUCGUACGAACCUGAAUUGUCCAAUUUCAUGGACCAAUCGAUAUCGAAUUGAGUCCAAAACUUGGGGCACAUCAUAAUAUGAUGGGAGGAGUCAUUUGCUGACUUUUGAGUGAAAUCCAAUGGCAAAAACUAUGCAAUACACUAACCACUCCAUUUCAGAACGAACUUCGUACGAACCUGAAUUGUCCAAUUUCAUGGACCAAUCGAUAUCGGAUUGAGUCCAAAACUUGGGGAACAUCAUAAUAUGAUGGGAGGAGUCAUUUGGUGACUUUUGAGUGAAAUCCAACGGCAAAAACUAUGCAAUACACUAACCAUUCCAUUUCAUAAUGAACUUCGUACGACCUGAAUUUUCCAAUUUCAUGGACUAGUCGAUAUCGGAUUGAGUCGGAAACUUCGGGAACAUCAUAAUAUGAUGGGAGGAGUCAUUUCGUGCCUUUUGAGUGAAAUCCAAUGGCCAAAACUAUGCAAUACACCGACCACUCCAUUUCAUAACGAACUACGUUCGAAUCUGAAUUGUCCAAUUUCUUGGACCAAUCGAUAUCGGAUUGAGUCCAAAACUUAGGGAACAUCAUAAUACGGUGGGAGGAGUCAUUUGGUGGGUUUUGAGUGAAAUCCAAUCUCUACAACUGUGCAAUACACCAAGCACUGCAUUUCAUAACGAACAUCAUACGAACCUGAAUUGUCCAAUUUCAUGGACCAAUCGAUAUUGGAUUGAGUCCAAAACUUGGGGAACGUUAUAAUAUGAUGGGUGGAGUCAUUUGGUGACUUUUGAGUGAAAUCCAAUGGCAAAAACUAUGCAAUACACUAACCACUCCAUUUCAGAAUGAACUUCGUACGAACCUGAAUUGUCCAAUUUCGUGGACCAGUCGAUAUCGGAUUGAGUCCGAAACUUGGGGAACAUCAUAAUAUGAUGGGAGGAGUCAUUUGGUGCAUUUUGAGUGAAUCCAACGGCCAACACUAUGCAACACACCAACCACUCAAUUUCAUAACGAACUUCGUACGAACCUGAAUUGUCCAAUUUGAUAGACAAAUCGAUAUCGAAUUGAGUCCAAAACUUGGGGCACAUCAUAGUAUGAUGGGAGGAGUCAUUUGGUGCCUUUUGAGUGAAAUCCAAUGGCAAAAACUGUGCAAUACACUAACCAUUCCAUUUCAGAAUGAACUUCGUACGAACCUGAAUUGUCCAAUUUCAUGGACCAGUCAAUAUCGGAUUGUGUCCGAAAGUCGGGGAACAUCAUAAUAUGAAGGGAGGAGUCAUCUGGUGCCUUUUGAGUGAAAUCCAAUGGCCAAAACUAUGCAAUACCCCAACCACUACAUUUCAUCACGAACUUCGUACGAACCUGAAUUGUCCAAUUUCAUGGACCAAUCGAUAUCGGAUUGAGUCCAAAACUUGGGGAACAUCAUAAUAUCAUGGGAGGAGUCAUUUGGUGACUUUUGAGUGAAAUCCAAUGGCAAAAACUAUGCAAUACACUAACCAUUCCAUUUCAUAAUGAACUUCGUACGACCUGAAUUUUCCAAUUUCAUGGACUAGUCGAUAUCGGAUUGAGUCCGAAACUUGGGGAACAUCAUAAUAUGAUGGGAGGAGUCAUUUCGUGCCUUUUGAGUGAAAUCCAAUGGCCAAAACUAUGCAAUCCACCAACCACUCCAUUUCAUAACGAACUUCGUACGAACCUGAAUUGUCCAAUUUCAUGGGCCAAUCGAUAUCGGAUUGAGGCCCAAACUUGGGGAACAUCAUAAUAUGAUGGUUGGAGUCAUUUGGUGACUUUUGAGUGAAAUCCAAUCUCUACAACUAUGCAAUACACCAACCACUCCAUUUCAUAACGAACUUCGGACGAACCUGAAUUGUCCAAUUUCAUGGACCAAUCGAUAUCGAAUUGAGUCCAAAACUUGGGGCACAUCAUAAUAUGAUGGGAGGAGUCAUUUGCUGACUUUUGAGUGAAAUCCAAUGGCAAAAACUAUGCAAUACACUAACCAUUCCAUUUCAGAACGAACUUCGUACGAACCUGAAUUGUCCAAUUUCGCGGACCAAUUGAUAUCGGAUUGAGUCCAAAACUUGGGGAGCAUCAUAAUACGGUGGGAGGAAUCAUUGGGUGGCUUUUGAUUGAAAUCCAAUCUCUACAACUAUGCAAUACACCCACCGCUCCAUUUCAUAACGAACUUCGUACGAACCUGAAUUGUUCAAUUUUAUGGACCAAUCGGUAUCGGAUUGAGUCCAAAACUUAGGGAUCAUCAUAAUACGGUGGGAGGAGUCAUUUGGUGGAUUUGAGUGAAAUCCAAUCUGUACAACUAUGUAACACACCAACCACUCCAUUUCAUAACGAACUUCGUACGAACAUGAAUUGUCCAAUUUCAUGGACCAAUCGAUAUCGGAUUGAGUCCAAAACUUGGGGAACAUCGUAAUACGGUGGGAGGAGUCAUUCUGGUGCCUUUGAGUGAAAUCCAAUCUCUACAACUGUGCAAUACACCAAGCACUCCAUUUCAUAACGAACUUCAUGCGAACCUGAAUUGUCCGAUUUCAUGGACCAAUCGAUAUUGGAUUGAGUCCAAAACUUGGGGAACAUCAUAAUAUGAUGGGUGGAGUCAUUUGGUGUCUUUUGAGUGAAAUCCUAUGGCUAAAACUAUGCAAUACACCAACCACUCUAUUUCAGAACGAACUUCGUUCGAACCUGAAUUGUCCAAUUUCAUGGACCAAUCGAUAUCGGAAUGAGUCCAAAACUUGGGGAACAUCAUAAUACGAUAGUUGGAGUCAUUUGGUGACUUUUGAGUGAAAUCCAAUCUCUACAACUAUGCAACACACCAACCACUCCAUUUCAUAACGAACUUCGUACGAACCUGAAUUGUCUAAUUUCACGGACCAAUCAAUAUCGGAUAGAGUCCAAAACUUGGGGAACAUCAUAAUACGGUGGGAGGAGUCAUUUGGCGGGUUUUGAGUGAAAUCCAAUCUCUGCAACUAUGCAAUACACCAACCACUCUAUUUCAUAACGAACUUCGUACGAACCUGAAUUGUUCAAUUUCAUGAACAAAUCGAUAUCGGAUUGAGUCCAAAACAUGGGGAACACCAUAAUAUGAUGGGAGGAGUCAUUUGGUGACUUUUGAGUGAAAUCCAAUGGCUAAAACUAUGCAAGACACUAACCACUCCAUUUUAGAAUGAACUUUGUAUGAACCUGAAUUGUCCAAUUUCAUGGACCAAUCGAUAUCGGAUUGAGUCCAAAACUUGGGGGGCAUAAUAAUACGGUGGGACGAGUCAUUUGGUGGGUUUUGAGUGAAAUCCAAUCUCUACAACUGUGCAAUACACCAACCACUCCAUUUCAGAACGAACUUCGUACGAACCUGAAUUGUCCAAUUUCUUGGACCAAUCGAUAUCGGAUUGAGUCCAAAACUUGGGGAACAUCGUAAUACGGUGGGAGGAGUCAUUUGGUGCCUUUUGAGUGAAAUCCAAUCUCUACAACUGUGCAAUAGACCAAGCACUCUAUUUCAUAACGAAAUUCAUGCGAACCUGAAUUGUCCGAUUUCAUGGACAAAACGAUAUUGGAUUGAGUCCAAAACUUGGGGAACAUCAUAAUAUGAUGGGAGGAGUCGUUUGGUGUCUUUUGAGUGAACUCCUAUGGCUAAAACUAUGCAAUACACCAACCACUCUAUUUCAGAACGAACUUCGUACGAACCUGAAUUGUCCAAUUUCUUGGACCAAUCGAUAUCGGAUUGAGUCCAAAACUUGAGGCACAUCAAAAUAUGAUGGGAGGAGUCAUUUGCUGACUUUUGAGUGAAAUCCAAUGGCAAAAACUAUGCAAUACACUAACCACUCCAUUUCAGAACGAACUUGGUAUGAACCUGAAUUGUCCAAUUUCGCAGACCAAUCGAUAUCGGAUUGAGGCCAAAACUUGGGGCACAUCAUAAUACGAUGGUUGGAGUCAUUUGGUCACUUUUGAGUGAAAUCCAAUCUCCACAACUAUGCAAUACACCAACCACCCCAUUUCAUAACGAACUUCGUACGGCCCUGAAUUGUCCAAUUUCAACGACCAAUCAAUAUCGGAUUGAGUCCAAAACUUGGGGAACAUCAUAAUACGGUGGGAGGAGUCAUUUCGCGGGUUUUGAGUGAAAUCCAAUCUCUGCAACUAUGGAAUACAGCAACCACUCCAUUUCAUAACGAACUUCGUACGAACCUGAAUUGUUCAAUUUCAUGAACCAAUCGAUAUCGGAUUGAGUCCAAAACAUGGGGAACACCAUAAUAUGAUGGGAGGAGUCAUUUGGUGACUUUUGAGUGAAAUCCAAUGGCUAAAUCUAUGCAAGACACUAACCACUCCAUUUCAGAACGAACUUUGUAUGAACCUGAAUUGUCCAAUUUCAUGGACUAAUCGAUAUUGGAUUGAGUCCAAAACUUGGGGAGCAUGAUCAUACGGUGGGAGGAGUCAUUUGGUGACUUUUGAGUGAAAUCCAAUCUCUACAACUAUGCAAUACUCCAACCACUCCAUUUCAUAACGAACUUCGUACGAACCCGAAUUGUCCAAUUUCAUUGACCAAUCGAUAUCGGAUUGAGUCCAAAACUUGGGGAGCAUAAUAAUACGGUGGGACGAGUCAUUUGGUGGGUUUUGAGUGAAAUCCAAUCUCUACAACUGUGCAAUACACCAACCACUCCAUUUCGUAACGAACUUCGUCCGAACCUGAAUUGUCCAAUUUCACGGACCAAUCAAUAUUGGAUUGAGUCCAAACCUUGGGGAACAUCAUAAUACGGUGGGUGGAGUCAUUUGGCUGGUUUCGAGUGAAAUCCAAUCUCUGCAACUACGCAAUACACCAACCACUACAUUUCAAAACGAACUUCGGACGAACCUGAAUUGUCCAAUUUCGCGGACCAAUCGAUAUCGGAUUGAGUCCAAAACAUGGAUAACAUCAUAAUAUGAUGGGAGGACUCAUUUGGUAACUUUUGAGUGAAAUCCUAUGUCUAAAACUAUGCAAUACACCAACCACUCUAUUACAGAACGAACUUCGUACGAACCUGAAUUGUCCAAUUUAAUAGACCAAUCGAUAUCGGAUUGAGUCCAAAACUUGGGGAACAUCAUAAUAUGAUGGGAGGUGUCAUUUGGUAGCUUUUGAGUGAAAUUCAAUCUCUACAACUAUGCAAUACACUAACCUCUCCAUUUAAGAACGAACUUCGUACUAGCCUGAAUUGUCCAAUUUCAUGGACCAAUCGAUAUCAGAUUGAGUCCAAAACUUGGGGAACAUCAUAAUACGGUGGGAGGAGUCAUUUGGUGACUUUUGAGUGAACUCCUAUGGCCAAAACUAUGCAAUACACCAACCACUCUAUUUUAGAACGAACUUCGUACAAACCUGAAUUUUCCAAUUUCAUGGACCAAUCGAUAUCGGAUUGAGUCCAAAACUUGGGGAACAUCAGCAUACAGUGGGAGGAGUCAUUUGGUGUCUUUUGAGUGAACUCCUAUGGCUAAAACUUUGCAAUACAUAAACCACACUACUUCAGAACAAACUUCGUACGAACCUGGAUUUUCCAAUUCCAUGUACCAAUCGAUAUCGGAUUCAGUCCAAAACUUGGGGAACAUCAUAAUAUGAUGGGAGGAGUCAUUUGGGGACUUUUGAGUGAAAUCCAAUGGCUAAAACUUUGAAAUACGCAAACCAUUCCAUUUCAGAACUAACUUUGUAAGAACCUGAAUUAUAUAAUUUCAUGGACCAACCGAUAUCGGAUUGAGUCCAAAACUUGGGGAACAUCAUAAUAUGGUAGGAGGAGUCAUUUGGUGGCUUUUGAGUUAAAUCCAAUCUCUACAACUAUGCAAUACACAAACCACUCCAUUUCAGAACGAACUUCGUACGAACCUGAAUUGUCCAAUUUAAUGGACCAAUCGAUAUCGGAUUAAGUACAAAACCUGGGGAACAUCAUAAUACAGUGGGAGUUGUCAUUUGGUGGAUUUUGAGUAAAAUUCAAUCUCUACAACUAUGCAAUACACCAACCACUCCAUUUCAUGAUGAACUUCGUACGAACCCGAAUUGUCCAAUUUCAUGGACCAAUCGAACUAUGAUUGAGUCCAAAACUUGGGGAACAUCAUAAUAUGAUGGGAGGAGUCAUUUGGUGACUUUUGAGUGAAAUUCAAUGGCUAAAACUAUGCAAUACACUAACCACUCCAUUUUAGAGCGAACUUCGUACAAGCCUGAAUUGUCCAAUUUCAUGGACCAAUCGAUAUCGGAUUGACUCCAAAACUUGGGGCACAUCAUAAUAUGAUGGGAGGAGUCAUUUGCUGACUAUUGAGUGAAAUCCAAUGGCUAGAACUAUUCAAUACACUAACCACUCCAUUUCAGAACGAACUUCGUACGAACCUGAAUUGUCCGAUUUCGUGGACCAAUCGAUAUCGGAUUGAGUCCGAAACUUGGGGAACAUCAUAAUAUUAUGAGAGGAGUCAUUCGGUGCAUUUUGAGUGAAAUCCAAUCUCCAAAACUGUGCAAUACACCAACCACUCCAUUUCGUAACGAACUUCGUAUGAACCUGAAUUGGCCAAUUUCAUAGACCAAUCGAUAUCGGACUGAGUCCAAAACUUGGGGCACAUCAUAAUAUGAUGGGAGGAGUCAUUUGGUGCCUUUUGAGUGAAAUCCAAUGGCGAAAAUUAUGCAAUACACCAACCACUCCAUUUCAUAACGAACUUCGUACGAACCUGAAUUGGCCAAUUUCAUGGCCCAAUUGAUAUCGGAUUGUGGCCAAAACUUGGGGAACGUCAUAAUAUGAUGGUUGGAGGCAUUUGGUGACUUUUGAGUGAAAUCCAAUCCCUACAACUAUGCAAUACACCAACCACUCCAUUUCUUGGCGAACUUCGUACGAACCUGAAUUGUCCAAUUUCAUGGACCAAUCGACAUCAGAUUGAACCCAAAAUUUGGGGAACAUCAUAUUAUGAUUGUUGGAGUCAUUUGGUGACUUUUGAGUGGAAUCCAAUGGCUAAAACUGUGCAAUACACUAACCACUCCGUUUCAGAACGAAGUUCGUACAAACCGGAAUUGUCCAAUUUCAUGGACCAAUCGAUAUAGGAUAGAGUCCAAACCGUGGGGAACAUCAUAAUACGGUGGGAGGAGUCAUUUGGUGGGUUUUGGUUGAAAUCCAAUCUCUACAAGUAUGCAAUAUACCAACCACUCCAUUUCAUGACGAACUUCGUACGAACUUCAAUUGUCCAAUUUCAUGGACCCAUCGAUAUCGGAUUGAGUCCCAAACCUGAGGAGCAUAAUAAUAUAAUGGGAGGAGUGAUUUGGUGACUUUUGAGUGAAAUCCAAAGACUAAAACGAUGCAUUACACUAACCACUCUAUUUAAGAGCGAACUUCGUACGAGCCUGGAUUGUCCAAUUUCAUGGACCAAUUGAUAUCGGAUUGACUCCAAAACUUGGGGAACAUCAUAAUACGGUGGGAGGAGUCAUUUGGUGGGUUUUGUGUGAAAUCCAAUCUCUAAAACUAUGCAAUACACCAACCGCUCCAUUUCAUAACGAACUUCGUACGUACCUGAAUUGUCCAAUUUCAUGGACCAAUCGAUAUCGGAUUGAGUCCAAAACUUGUGGAACAUCAUAAUAUGAUGCGAGGAGUCAUUUGGUGGCUUUUGAGUGAAAUCCAAUGGCUAAAACGAUGCAAUACACCAACCACUCCAUUUCAGAACGAACUUCGUACGAAGUUGAAAUUGUUCAAUUUCGUGGACCAAUCGAUAUCGGAUUUAGUCCAAAACUUGGGGAACGUCCUAAUACGGUGGGAGGAUUCAUUUGGUGUCUUUUGAGUGAAAUUCAAUGGCUAAAACUAUGCAAUACACCAACCACUCCAUUUCAUAAUGAACUUCGUACGAACCUGAAUUGUCCAAUUUGAUGGACCAAUUGAUAUCGGAUUGAGUCCAAUCCUUAGGGAACACCAUAAUACAGUGGGAGGAGUCAUUUGGUAUGUUUUGACUGAAAUCCAAUGGUUAAAACUAUUCAAUACACCAACCACUCCAUUUCAGAACUAACUUCGUACGAACCUGAAUUGUCCAAUUUCAUGGACCAACUGAUAUCGGAUUGAGUCCAAAACUUGGAGACAUCAUAAUACGGUUGGAGGAGUCAUUUGGUGGGUUUUGAGUGAAAUUCAAUCUCUACAACUAUGCAAUACACCAACCACUCCAUUUCAUAACGAACUUCGUAUGAACCUGAAUUGUCCAAUUUUCACGGACGAAUCGAUAUAGGAUUGAGUCCAAAAAUUGGGGAACAACAUAAUAUGAUGGUUGGAGUCAUUUGGUGACUUUUGAGUGAAAUCCAAGGGCUAAAACUAUGCACUACACUAACCACUCCAUUUGAGAACGAACUUUGAACGAACCUGAAUUGUCCAAUUUCAUGGACCAAUCGAUAUCGGAUAGAGUCCAAACCCUAGGGAACAUCAUAAUACGAUGGGAGGAGUCAUUUGGUUGCUUUUGAUUGAAAUCCAAACUCUACAACUAUGCAAUACACCAACGACUCUAUUUCAUGACGAACUUCGUACGAACCUCAAUUGUCCAAUUUCAUGGACCAAUCGAUAUCGGAUUGAGUCCAAAACUUGGGGAACAUCAGAAUACGGUGGGAGGAGUCAUUUGGUGGCUUUUGCGUGAAUUCCAAUGGGAAAAACUAUGCAAUACACCAACCACUCCAUUUUAGAACGAACUUCGUACGAACCUGUAUUGUCCAAUUUCAGGGACCAAUCGAUAUCGGAUUGAGUCCAAAACUCGGGGAACAUCAUAAUACGGUGGGAGGAGUCAUUUGGUGGCUUUUGAGUGAAAUCCAAUCACUACAACAAUGCAAUACCCCAAGUACUCCAUUUCAUAACGAACUUCGUACAAACCUGAAUUGUGCAAUUUCAUGGAUCAAUCGAUAUCGGUUUGAGUCCAAAACAAGGGGAACAUCAUAAUAUGACGGGAGGAGUCAUUUGGUGUCUUUUGAGUGAACUCCUAUGGCUAAAACUAUGCAAUACACCAACCACUCCAUUUCAGAAUGAACUUCGUACGAACUUGAAUUGUCCAAUUUCAUGGACCAAUCGAUAUCGGAUAGAGUCCAAACCGUGGGGAACAUCAUAAUACGGUGGGAGGAGUCAUUUGGUGGGUUUUGAUUGAAAUCCAAUCUCUACAACUAUGCAAUACACCAACCACACCAUUUCAUGACAAACUUCGUACGAACCUGAAUUGUCCAAUUUCAUAGACCAAUCGAUAUUGGAUUGAGUCCAAAACUUGGGGAACAUCAUAAUAUGAUGGGAGGAGUCAUUUUGUGACUUUUGAGUGAAAUCCAAUGGCUAAAACGAUGCAAUAUACUAACCACUCCAUUUUAGAGCGAACUUCGUACGAGCCUGAAUUGUCCAAUUUCAUGGACCAAUCGAUAUCGGAUUGACUCCAAAACUUGGGGAACAUCAUAAUAUGAUGGGUGGAUUCAUUUGAUGACUUUUGAGUGAAAUCCAGUGGCUAAAACUUUGAAAUGCAAAAACCAACCCAUUUCAGAACGAACUUCGAAUGAACAUGAAUUGUCCAAUAUCAUGGACCAAUCGAUAUCGGAUUGAGUACAAAACUUGGGGAACAUCAUACUACGGUGGGAGUUGUCAUUUGGUGGAUUUUGAGUGAAAUCCAAUCUCUACAACUAUGCAAUACACCAACCACUCCAUUUCAUGACGAACUUCGUACGAACUUGAAUUGUCCAAUUUCGUGGACCAAUCGAUAUCGGAUUGAAUCCAAAACUUGGGGAUCGUUCAUCAUACGGUGGGAGGAGUCUUUUGGUGGGUUUUGAGUGAAAUCAAAUAUCUAGAACUAUGCAAUACACCAACCACUCUAUUUCAUAACGAACUUCUUACGAACCUGAAUUGUCCAAUUUCAUGGACCAAUCGAUAUCGGAUUGAGUCCAAAUCUUGGGGAACAUCAUAAUACGGUGGGAGGAGUCAUUUGGUGUCUUUUCAGUGAAAUCCAACGGCUAAAACUAUUCAAUACACCAACCACUCCAUUUCAGAACGAACUUCAUACGAACCUAAAUUGUCCAAUUUCGUGGACCAAUCGAUAUCGGAUUGACUCCAAAACUUGGGGAACGUCCUAAUACAGUGGGAGGCAUCAUUUGGUGUCUUCUGAGUGAAAUCGAAUGGCUAAAAAUAUGCAAUACAGCAGCCACUCUAUUUCAGAACGAACUUCGUACGAAUUUGAAUUGUCCAAUUUCAUGGACCAAUCGAUAUCGGAUUGAGUGCAAAACGUGGGGAGCAUCAUACUAUGGUGGGUGGAGUCAUUUGGUGGCUUUUGAGUGAAAUCCAAUGGGAAAAAAGUAUGCAAUACACCAACCACUCCAUUGCAUAACGAACUUCGUACGAACCUGUAUUGUCCAAUUUCAUGGACCUAUCGAUAUCGGAUUUAGUCCAAAACUUGGGGAUGAUCAUAAUAUGGUGGGAGGAGUCAUUUCGUGGGUUUUGAGUGAAAUCCAAUCUCUACAACUAUGCAAUACACCAACCACCCUAUUUCGUAAUGAACUUCAUGCGAACCUGAAUUGUCCAAUUUCAUGGACCAAUCGAUAUCGGAUUGAGUCCAAAACUUGGGGAACAUCAUAAUAUGAUGGCAGGAGUCAUUUGGUGACUUUUGAGUGAAAUCCAAUGGCUAAAACUAUGCAAUACACUAACCACUCCAUUUCAUAACGAACUUCCUACGAACCUGAAUUGUGCAAUUUCAUGGACCAAUCGAUAUCGGAUAGAUUCCAAAAGUUAAGGAACAUCAUAAGACAUUGGGAGGAGUCAUUUGGUGCCUUUUGACUAAAAUCCAAUGGCAAAAACUAUGCAAUACACCAACCACUUCAUUUCGUAACGAACUUCAUACGAACCUGAAUUGCCCAAUUUCGUGGACCAAUCGAUAUCGGAUUGACUCCAAAACUUGGGGAACGUCCUAAUACAGUGGGAGGCGUCAUUUGGUGUCUUUUGAGUGAAAUCCAAUGGCUAAAACUAUGCAAUACAGCAGCCACUCCAUUUCAGAAUAAACUUCGUACGAACUUGAAUUGUCCAAUUUCAAGGACCAAUCGAUAUCGGAUUGAGUCCAAAACGUGGGGAGCAUCAUACUAUGAUGGGUGGAGUCAUUUGGUGGCUUUUGAGUGAAAUUCAAUGGGAAAAAAGUAUGCAAUACACCAACCACUCCAUUGCAUGACGAACUUCGUACGAACCUGUAUUGUCCAAUUUCAUGGACCAAUCGAUAUCGGAUUUAGUCCAAAACUUGGGGAUCAUCAUAAUAAGGUGGGAGGAGUCAUUUCGUUGGUUUUGAGUGAAAUCCAAUCUCUACAACUAUGCAAUACACCAACCACCCUAUUUCGUAAUGAACUUCGUGCGAACCUGAAUUGUCUAAUUUCAUGGACCAAUCGAUAUCGGAUUGAGUCCAAAACUUGGGGAACAUCAUAAUACAAUGGGAGAAGUCAUUUGGUGACUUUUGAGUGAAAUCCAAUGGCUAAAAUUGUGCAAUACACUAACCACUCCAUUUCAGAACGAAUUUCCUACGAACCUGAAUUGUCCAAUUUCAUGGACCAAUCGAUAUCGGAUUGAGUCCAAAACUUAAGGAACAUCAUAAGACGGUGAGAGGAGUCAUUUGGUGGGUGUUGAGUGAAAUCCAAUCUCUACAACUAUGCAAUACACCAACCACUCCAUUUCAUAACGAACUUCGUACGAACCUGAAUUGUCCAAUUUGUUGGACCAAUCUAUAUCGGAUUAAGCCCAAAACUUGGGGAUCAUCAUCAUACGGUGGGAGGAGUCAUUUGGUGGAUUUUGAGUGAAAUCCAAUAUCUAGAACUAUGCAAUACACCAACCACUCCAUUUCAUAAUGAACUUCGUACAAACCUGAAUUGUCCAAUUUCAUGGACCAAUCGAUAUCGGAUUGAGUCCAAAACUUGGGGAACGUCCUAAUACAGUGGGAGGAGUCAUUUGGUGUCUUUUGAGUGAAAUCCUACGGCUAAAACUAUGCAACAAACCAACCACUUCAUUGCAGAACGAACUUCGUACGAACCUAAAUUGUCCAAUUUCGUGGACCAAUCGAUAUCGGAUUGAGUCCAAAACUUGGGGAACGUCAUAAUAUGAUGGGAGAAGUCAUUUGUUGACUUUUGAGUGAAAUCCAAUGGCUAAAACUAUGCAAUACACUAACCACUCCAUUUCAGAACGAACUUCGUACUUACUUGAAUUGUCCAAUUUCAAGGACCAAUCGAUAUCGGAUUGAGUACGAAAGUUGGGGAACAUCAAAAUACGGUGGGAGGAGUCAUUUGGCGGGUUUUGCGUGAAAUCCAAUCUCUACAACUAGUAAUACUCCAACCACUCCAAUUCAUAAUGAACUUCUUACGAACCUGAAUUGUCCAAUUUCAUGGACCAAUCGAUAUCAGAUUGAGUCCAAAGCUUGGGGAACAUCAUAAUACGGUGGGAGGAGUCAUUUGGUGUCUUUUGACUGAAAUCCAAUGGCUAAAACUAUGCAAUACACCAACCACUCCAUUUCAGAACGAACUUCGUACGAACCUGAAUUGUCCACUUUUAAGGACCAAUCGAUAUCGGAUUGAGUCCAAAACUUUGGGAACAUCAUAAUACUGUGGGAGGAUUCAUUUGGUUCGUUUUGAGUGAAAUCCAAGCUCUACAACUAUGCAAUACACCAACAACUCCAUUUCAGAACGAACUUCGUACCAACCUAAAUUGUCCAAUUCCAUGGACCAAUCGAUAUCAGAUUGAGUCCAAAACUUAGGGAACAUCAUAAUACGGUGGGAGGAGUCAUUUGGUGGGUUUUGAGUGAAAUCCAAUCUCUACAACUAUGCAACACACCAACCACUCCAUUGCAUAACGAACUUCGUACGAACCAGAAUUGUCCAAUUUCAUGGACCAAUCCAUAUCGGAUUGAGUCCAAAACUUGGGGAACAUAAUAAUAUGAUGGGAGGAGUCAUGUGGUGUCCUUUGACUGAAAUCCAAUGGCUAAAACUAUGCAAUACACCAACCACUCUAUUUCAGAACGAACUUCGUACGAACCUGAAUUGUCCAAUUUCAAGGACCAAUCGAUAUCGGAGUGAGUGUAAAACUUAGGGAACAUCGUAAAAUGGUGGGAGGAGUCGUUUGGUGGGUUUUGAGUGAAACAAAAUCUCUACAACCAUGCAAUACACCAACCACCCUAUUGACCAAUCGAUAUUGGAUUGUGUCCAAAACUUGGGGAACAUCAUAAUAUGGUGGGAGGAGUCAUUUGGUGACUUUUGAGUGAAAUCUAACGGCUAAAACUAUGCAAUACACGAACGACUCCAUUUCAGAACGAACUUCGUAUGAAUUUGAAUUGUCCAAUUUUAAGGACCAAUCGAUAUCAGAUUAAUUCCAAAACUGCGGGACAUCAUAAUAUAUGGUGGGAGAAGUCAUUUGGUGACUUUUGAGUGAAAUCCAAUGGCUAAAACUACGCAAUACACCGACCAAUCCAUUUCGUAACGAACUUCAUACGAACCUGGAUUCACCAAUUUCAUGGAACAAUCGACAUCGAAUUGAGUCUAGAACUUGGGGAACGUCCUAACACGGCGGGAGGAGUCAUUUGGUGUCUUUUGAGUGAAAUUCAAUGGCUAAAACUAUGCAAUACACCAACCACUCCAUUUCAUAAUGAACUUCGUACGAACCUGAAUUGUCCAAUUUGAUGGACCAAUCGAUAUCGGAUUGAGUCCAGAAGUUGGGGAACGUCCUAAUACGGUGGGAGGAGUCAUUUGGUGUCUUUUGAGGGAAAUCCAAUUUCUAAAACUGUGCAAUACACCAACCACUCCAUUUCAUAAUGAACUUCGUACGAACCUGAAUUGUCCAAUUUGAUGGACCAAUCGAUAUCGAAUUAAGUCCAAACCUUGGGGAACAUCAUAAUACAGUGGGAGGAGUCAUUUGGUAUCUUUUGACUGAAAUCCAAUGGCUAAAACUGUGCAAUACACCAACCAAUCCAUUUCAGAAUGAACUUCUUACGAACCUGAACUAUCCAAUUUCAUGGACCAAUCGAUAACGGAUUGAGUCCAAAACUUGGGGAACAUCAUAAUACGGUGGGAGGAGUCAUUUGGUUGGGUUUGAGUGAAAUCCAAUCUCUAAAACUAUGCAAUACACCAACCACUCCAUUUCAGAACGAACUUCGUACGAACUUGAAUUGUCCAAUUUCAUGGACCAAUCGAUAUCGGAUUGAGUCCAAAACGUGGGGAGCAUCAUACUAUGGUGGGUGGAGUCAUUUGGUGGCUUUUGAGUGAAAUCCAAUGGGAAAAAAGUAUGCAAUACACCAACCACUCCAUUGCAUAACGAACUUCGUACUGUCCAAUUUGAUGGACCAAUCGAUAUCGGAUUUAGUCCAAAACUUGGGGAUCAUCAUAAUACGGUGGGAGGAGUCAUUUGGUGACUUUUGAGUGAAAUCCACUGGCUAAAACUAUGCAAUACACCAACCACCCUAUUUUGAAACGAACUUCGUGCGAACCUGAAUUGUCCAAUUUCAUGGACCAAUCGAUAUCGGAUUGAGUCCAAAAGUUGGGGAACAUCAUAAUACGAUGGGAGGAGUCAUUUGGUGACUUUUGAGUGAAAUCCAAUGGCUAAAGCUAUGCAAUACACUAACCACUCCAUUUCAUAACGAACUUCCUACGAACUUGAAUUGUGCAAUUUCAUGGACCAAUCGAUAUCGGAUAGAUUCCAAAAGUUAAGGAACAUCAUAAGACAGUGGGAGGAGUCAUUUGGUGGGUUUUGAGUGAAAUCCAAUGACAGGACCCGAAUUAAAUUCCGCUUUGGAAUUUGAGUCGAACCCUGUGCGUGUCCGACACUUGGCAAAUGUCGAGCACGAAAGACCUAUUUGCCCUUUUUCUUAAAAUUUUGACUUGGACUUCGAAAAAUUUCGGCAGAGUCUCCCCUAAAUUUCGUUCAAUCCAAAACUUACACUUGUCAUAACGAGCAUAAUCAUCCAAACAACCAACAGCCAGCACUUCAAUAAACAUGCUAAAAGUUCCAUUCUCACUCUAGGGCAAUAUAUCAGAGCAAUUUUGAUAGCUUACGGAUUACUUAAUUGGUUUGCAUACCAACAUUUUUGAACUAGAAGGCGCGGAAGUCACGAUGGCCUGGUGGUGGGUGUCUUGUGCACGCUACAGCCUGGGGCCGCAAAACAGUUGAAAGUGUGAGUGGACCAAAAAUAAAGGUUCAUAAAAUAUCUAAGAAUAUACUAACCCCCGAUGUAAAAAUAAGGAAAUAAAUUCAAACACGUAUUCUGCAUUUAAAGCAUACUAAACUCAAGGCAUUAUAUGUAAAUCAUAUUCGAACUCGAUACUUCUCGCAUAAAAACAAUGAAAUCAACUACAGUUGAGUAAAACUGAAUAUCUAAACUAUCUUGGAAACAUAUGAAAGUCAACGCAGUUACAUAUUUAUAGAAAUAUAUGCAAUCGCUUUCAAGAGCAAUAAAACUUGCAUGAAAGCAUUGAAAUCCAAUUUGGAUAAAAGUGCUGAAAUCAAACCUGCAAUAAAGCAAUGUACUCAAAACUUGAAUUAAAGCACUGCAAUUAAUCAAAACUACCACUCGGAUGUACCCCUGUAAUUCCGUCAAUUUCCCUGGCAGGUCUCGGCGACACACAGUCUAUCCGAGCAGCAAAUCCUGGCAGGAUACAGGGGACUAUAGUUAGCCUGAUCCGCUGGCAGGUCUCGGUGACACAAAGUCAACUCGAGCUGCUCUGGCAGGAUUCAGGGGACCGUAGUCAGCCUGAUUCGCAAUCCUGGCAGGUCUCGGGGACACGAAGUCAGCCGAGCCACAAAUCCUGGCAGGUCUCGGGACACCAAGUCUGCCGAGCCGCAAAUCUUGGCAGGUCUCGGGACACCAAGUCUGCCGAGCCACAAAUCCUGGCACUCACGGUCCGAGCGUCCCCGAAACUCGUGAGGCAAUGUCAAGUGCACUGACAGAGCUGUAAAUAGACUGGAUGUCCGUAGACAUCGGUCCAUCUGAGGGUAAUCACCAUAACUGGGUACACACGGUGGUUAAAAAUAAAUAUUUUAGAAAAAUCUGAUAAAUCACUGUAUUUGGCAAGUCUGAAACUAAGCUGCUAUUUUCUCUGAUAUAAAUCUCAACUCUGCUUUCUGUCACUUUCUACCAUGUUCAACUAAGCAGCAUAGAAAUAAAGAUAUUUGACGGCACAAAUCAUGCUCGGAAAACAUUUGGUAAAACUUAUUCAAAAUCAAAUAAUGAAAUUUACUCAUAUAAACUCAUUUAUAAAAACUUAUUUAUAUAAAAUCAAUAUAAAAUCAUUUAUGUAAACUCAUUUAUAUAAAGCAUUUAUAUAACUCAUUUAUAUAAAAUCUUUUAUGAAAGAAAGUCCACUCACUCCUGGUCCGAGCUCGCUAGACCUCCUGACGGUCUCUCUUGCGGGCCUGUCUGGUCCCGGGUGCCUGGGUAAACCAUCAUGCAUGUUUGAUUAAUAAAACUGCUCGGUAACUUUUUAAGUAAAACUCUGACCCCCGACUUCUAGAAGUGCGUGCACUAACUUUAAAGUCAUUUUCCUGCCCACUUAGGUAUUUCAGGUAUUUACAAUCGUCUGAAAAGACUCAAGACUUCAUUAAGCGAUAAACUUCCACCUUGGUCGAGGCGGAACCCCGUGGGGUCCACGACCUCCAAUGACCAAUCUGAGAGUUCCUUUAAGUUCCUCACGUUUAAGGAACCAUAUCCUGCAAGUUUGUCUGAAACUGACGAUCGGAUUGAGAACGAUCGUGAAAUCAUAAAAUUUCCAAACCCUAGCCUCAGGGUUCGCGAUUUCGGAGUAUCCGGGACUCCGAUUCACGAUCCGUCGAAUCCUACACGAUUCUGAAAUUAUAUGGAACAACAUAUCCGAAAUUGAGCGCGAUCCAACGGUUCGGCAAUAUUGAACCCGAAAAUCGCACAAUAUGGAAAAUCUAUUCGGGGCUCAAACGGAAUCCAAAUUGAGAUCCGCGAAAUCCUAUGCGCUCGUGAUAACAUAAGGAUCGCAACAAGACACAGUGCCACUGCACUACCCUCACCCACGCGCCCCAGCACGCGCCGGCAGCGAUGGGUGUCUAAAGCGAUUUCGGCUCGCCGGAAAAACUUCAAAUCACGGCUCCAAACUCCUACCCUAGGUAAAACACCAUAUUUGGAGCCACUUUUGUUCUUGGACCUACCCUAAAAAGUGGCCGGAAGUGGCCGAACACACCAACCACUCCAUUAAGAACGAACUUCGUACGAACCUGAAUUGUCCAAUUUCAUGGACCAAUCGAUAUCCGAUUGAGUCCAAACCUUGGGGAAUGUCAUAAUACAGUGGGAGGAGUCAUUUGGUGUCUUUUGACUGAAAUCCAAUGGCUAAAACUAUGCAAUACACCAACCACUCCAUUUCAUAACGAACUUCGUACGAACCUGAAUUGUCCAAUUUCAUGGACCAAUCGAUAUCGGAUUGAGUCCAAACCUUGGGGAAUGUCAUAAUACGGUGGGCGGAGUCAUUUGGUGUCUUUUGACUGAAAUCCAGUGGCUAAAACUAUGCAAUAAACCAACCACUCCAUUUCAGAAAGAACUUCGUACGAACCUGAACUGUCCAAUUUCAUGGACCAAUCGAUAUCGAACUAAGUCCAAAACUUGGGAAACAUCAUAAUACGGUGGGAGGAGUCAUUUGGUGGGUUUUGAGUGAAAUCCAAUCAGUAAAACUAUGCAAUACACCAACCGCUCCAUUUCAGAAAGAACUUCGUACGAACCUGAAUUGUCCAAUUUCAUGGACCAAUCGAUAUCGGAUUGAGUCAAAAACUUGGGAAACAACAUAAUUCGAUGGGAGGAGUCAUUUGGGGUCUUUUGACUGAAAUCCAAUGGCUAAAACUAUGCAAUACACCAACCACUCCAUUUCAUAACGAACUUCGGACGAACCUGAAUUGUCCAAUUUCAUGGACCAAUUGAUAUCGGAUUGACUCCAAAACCUGGCGAACGUCCUAAUACGGUGGGAGGAGUCAUUUGGGGUCUUUUGACUGAAAUCCAAUGGCUAAAACUAUGCAAUACACCAACCACUCCAUUUCAUAACGAACUUCGUACGAACCUGAAUUGUCCAAUUUCAUGGACCAAUCGAUAUCGGAUUGUGUCCGAAACUUAGGGAACAUCAUAAUAUGAUGGGAGGAGUCAUUUGGUUCCUUUUGAGUGAAAUACAGUUGCUAAAACUAUGCAAUACACUAACCACUCAAUUUCAUGGACCAAUCGAUAUCGGAUUGUCCAAUUUCAUGCACCAAUCGAUAUCGGAUUGACUCCAAAACUUUGGGAACGUCCUAAUACGGUUGGAGGCGUCAUUUGGUGUCUUUUGAGCGAAAUCCAAUGGCUAAAACUAUGCAAUACAGCAACCACUCCAUUUCAAAACAAACAUCGUUCGAACUUGAAUUGUCCAAUUUCAUGGACCAAUCGAUAUCGGAUUGAGUCCAAAACGUGGGGAGCAUCCUACUAUGGUGGGUGGAGUCAUUUGGUGGCUUUUGAGUGAAAUCCAAUGGGAAAAAAGUAUGUAAUACACCAACCACUCCAUUUGAUAACGAACUUCGUACGAACCUGUGCUGUCCAAUUUGUUGGAGCAAUCGAUAUCGGAUUUAGUCCAAAACUUGGGGAUCAUCAUAAUACGGUGGGAUGAGUCAUUUCGUGAGUUUUGAGUGAAUUCCAAUCUCUCCAACUAUGCAAUACACCAACCACCCUAUUUCAUAACGAACUUCGUGCGAACCUGAAUUGUCCAAUUUCAUGGACCAAUCGAUAUCGGAUUGAGUCCAAAACUUGGGGAACAUCAUAAUACGAUGGGAGGAGUCAUUUGGUGACUUUUGAGUGAAAUCCAAUGGCAAAAACUAUGCAGUACACCAACCACUCUAUUUCAGAACGAACUUCGUACGAACCUGAAUUGUCCAAUUUCAUGGACCAAUCAAUAUCGGAUUGAGUCCAAAACUUGGGGAACAUCAUAAUACGAUGGCAGGAGUCAUUUGAUCACUUUUGAGUGAAAUCCAAUGGCUAAAACUAUGCAAUACACUAAACACGCCAUUUCAGAACGAACUUCCUACGAACCUGAAGUGUCCAAUUUCAUGGACCAAUCGAUAUCGGAUUGAGUCCAAAACUUGGGGAAUAUCAGAAUACGGUGGGAGGAGUCAUUUGGAGGGUUUUGAGUGAAAUCCAAUCUCUACAACGAUGCAAUACACCAACCACUCCAUUUCAUGACGAACUACGUACGAACCUGAAUUGUCCAAUUUCACGGACCAAUCGAUAUCGGAUUGAGUCCAAAAAUUAGGGAACAACAUAAUAUGAUGGUUGGAGUCAUUUGGUGACUUUUGGGUGAAAUCCAAUGGCUAAAACUAUGCAAUACACUAAACACUUCAUUUCAGAACGAACUUCGUACGAACCUGAAUUGUCCAAUUUCAUGGACCAAUCGAUAUCGGAUAGAAACCAAACCCUGGGGAACAUGAUAAUACGGUGGGAGGAGUCAAUUGGUGGGUUUUGAUUGAAAUCCAAUCUCUACAACUAUGCAAUACACCAACCACUCCAUUUGAGGGCGAACUUCGUACGAAGCUGAAUUGUCCAAUUUCAUGAACCAAUCGAUAUCGGAUUGAGUCCAAAACUUGGGGAACAUCAUACUACAGUGGGAGGAAUCACUUGGUGGGUUUUGAGUGAAAUCCAAUCUCUAAAACUAUGCAAUACACCAACCACUCCAUUUCGGAAAGAACUUCGUUGGAACUUGAAUUGUCCAAUUUCAUGGACCAAUCGAUGUCGGAUUGAGUUCAAAACUUGGGGAACAAGAUAAUACGGUGGGAGGAGUCAUUUGGUGUCUUUUGACUGAAAUCCAAUCUCUACAACUAUGCAAGACACCAACCACUCCAUUUCAUAACGAACUUCGUACGAACCUGAAUUGUCCAAUUUCAUCGACCAAACGAUAUCGGAUUCACCUCUUCGAUUGACAGGUGCGUAUAUUUCGAGGACGAAAUUUGUAUAAGGGGGGUAGGUUGUAAUGACCCAAACCUAAAAUUCAUAUUUAAUGAGUAAUUUAUUAUGCGGAAAGACAAUUUUGCCGUUUGACUAAAUUAUGAACUCAAAGUUGACUUUUUGACCGAAAAGGAAUUUGACAAUUCCACAUGCACCGUUGCGUAGAGCACGACGACACGAGUUCAUAGACACGAAGUGAGCUCAAAUCGGAGUUUUAACAAAGAAAAUACGAUUAAAAUAUCACCAGGGGCAAAAUGAUAAAUUGGAAAAUCAGAAUUUUUAUAUAACCUCACCUCUCUCUCUCUCUUUCUCUCUCCCCGAGCCCUCCUCCCUCUCUGUUUUCUUUCUCUCCCUCCCGUCGCCCUCCACUUGUUAGAGCCGCCACCACCGGCCAUUCCAAGCAGCAAGACCGGAGCCAAAACGACCGGCGUCGCGCCGCCACCACACCCAGCCCAGCCCGUUGCCAGCCGCUGCCGUCAGCCGCCGGAAACGGUGAAAAAACGAGUCGGUUUUGUCAAAUCUUCCAACCGCUCGUUCUCCUUCAAUUCUCUUCCAAAUUUGUCGAGUAAGGUAUGGUUUUCUAGCUAUUUUUCAUGCUCUAGCUGAUGGUUGGGUAGGUUUGCAUCGAUUUUGACCGUAGCUAGCUCAGUUUGUAAAUUGAAAUUCGGGCGACUUUCGGCCUCCGUGUUUGGCCACUUCCGGUCAGUUUUUGGGGUAGUUCCAAGAACAAAAGUGACUCCAAAUGGGGUGUUUUACCUAGGAUAGGAGUUUGGAGUCCUGGUUCCGAGAUUUUUCGACCACCCGAAAUCGCUUAAGACACCCAAAUCUGCCCGCGCGUGCUGGGGCGCGUGGGCGAGGGUGGUGAAGUAAUUUUGUACAGUUUUGUGACCCUCGUGUCGUCACGAGCGCGUAGGAUUUCGCGGAUCUCGAUUCGGAGUUCGUUUGAGCCCCGAACGGAUUUUUCAUAUCGCGUGAUCCUUGGGUGCAGUGUCGUCAAAUCGUUGGAUCACACUGAAUUUUGGAUAUGUCAGUCUACAUGAUUUCAGGAUCGUGUAGGAGUCGACGGAUUGCGAAUCGGAGUCCCGGAUACUCCGAAAUCGCGAACCCUAGGGCUAGGGUUUAGAACUUAUGCGAUUACACGAUCGUGAUUAAUCCGACCGUCCGAUUGACACCAAUACCCUCGGGACAUGUGUCCUAAAUAUAUUGGACCUUCUAGCGGCAUCCGGAUCAUAUUGUACCCGUGGGGUUCCGGAUUGACUUUUUGGGCUUUAGCGCUUUUGAGUCCCAAGAUACCGCUAAACGAUUCCACGUGGAAGGAAAGCUGUUAUGGGCAUAGGGAUCACUUUAAAUUGACGCACGUCCUUUUAGGAGCCGGGGGUAGGGUUUUUAAUUUAAUACUAUAUUGUAUUAAUAGAAUAUUAUGGUCAUUGAAUCAGGCACCCGGGCACCAGUUGACCCGCAGGAGGGACCUUCAAGAGGUCCAGCGAGUUCGGACUAUCAGUGAGUGGACUCUUUGUUUUCAUAAAUGAAUUUAAGCAGUUCAGUUUCAGUUAUCAGCUGUUUUAUUCUGUUAAAUAUUUUAUGUUGCAUGCUGCCGAGUGACAUUUCCUUUAAAGAAUAUAGGAACAGAUAUUCUUAUUUAUUAUCAGAUAAAUGGCAGCAGAAUUUUAAAGGUUACAGAAAGUUAAUUAUUCAACAGAUUUCCUUCAGAAACUUUAUAUUUUCUUAAAUCACUUUGUACCCAGUUAUUAAAUGUUGCCUUCGAUUUAUAUUUGUUGCCUUCGGUUUAGUCAGCAUGCUUGACAGUUGCCCCACGAGAUCCUUGGUACUCGAACUCGUGUGGAGCAAGUAAUGCGGAUAAAGGUGGACUACGGUCCCCUGAAUCCUGCGAGUUGCGGCUCGGACUGACUUCGUGUCACUGAGACAUGCGAGUAUGUGUCACCCAUGGUGAUGCAAGGAAUUGACGGAUAUAAGGAUUUGACGGAAAUAGGGGUACACCUAAGUGAUAGUUUUCAACUGUUUUCAAAUGUAGAGUUAUAUACAUGCAUUGAUUUCAGAAAUAAAGAAAAUAAGCUAGUUUGUAUAACUGUUUUUACAGUGGGGUUAGUAUGUUCAUAUAGUAUUUUCUAAACUUUGUUUUUGGGUCCACUCACCCUUCUUGUUGUUUUGCGCCCCCAGGCAGUAGACGUGCACAGGAAUCCACCACCGGGCCACUUCCCAUCUUCCGUGCCUUUCUUUGAUGUAGGAUUUGUAUUUUGUACAAAGAUUCACUCUUUUGUAAAUUCUUAGAAGUCGCUCUGAUAUUUUGCCCUAGACUGAGUUUUGAUCUCUUGGAAUGUAUAUAUACAUAUGCUGGCAGUUGGUUGUAUAUAUGUAUACUUGUUUGGCAGGUGUGAAUGUUUUGGUAUUGAGCCAGUUACAAGGGAAACUCUGCCGGUUUUUCGGUAGAAGUCAACCUUGUUAUUUUAUCGUGUUUUGUAUAGAAGGGCAAAUAGGUCUUUUGUGCACGACAUUUGCCAGGUGUCGGACAUGCACAGGGUCUGACUCGGAUUCCAAAGCGGAAUUUGGAUCGGGUCCUGUGAAAUCGUAUUCGGAUUGAGUCCAAAACUUGUGGAACAAGAUAAUAUGGUGGGAGGAGUCAUUUGGUGACUUUUGAGUGAAAUCCAAAGGCUAAAACUAUGCAAUACACUAACCACUCAUUUCAUAACGAACUUCGUACGAACCUGAAUUGUCCAAUUUCAUGGACCAAUCGAUAUCGGAUUGAGUCCAAAACUUGGGGAACAUCAUAAUACAAUGGGUGGAGUCAUUUGGCAGGUUCUGAGUGAAAUCCAACCUCUACAACUAUGCAAUACACCAACCACUCCAUUUCAUAACGAACUUCGUAUGAACCUGAAUUGUCCAAUUUCAUGGACCCAUCGAAAUCUGAUUGAGUCCAAAACUUGUGGAACAAGAUAAUAUGACGGGAGGAGUCAUUUGGUGACUUUUGAGUGAAAUCCAAUGGCUAAAACUAUGCAAUACACUAACCACUCCAUUUCAUAACGAAUUUUGUACGAACCUGAACUGUCCAAUUUCAUGGACCAAUCGAUAUCGGAUUGAGUCCACAACUUGGGGAAUAUCAUAACACUGUGGGAGGAGUCAUUUGGUGGCUUUUGAGAGAAAUCCAAUCUCUACAACUAUGCAAUACACAAACCACUCCAUUUCAUAACGAACUUCGUACGAACCUGAAUUGUCCAAUUUUAUGGACCAAUCGACAUUGGAUUGAGUCCAAAAUAUGGGGAACAUCAUAAUAUGAUGGGAGGAGUCAUUUGGUGGCUUUUGACUGAAAUCCAAUGGCUAAAACUGUGCAAUACUCCAACCACUCCAUUUCAUAACGAACUUCGUACGAACCAGAAUUGUCCAAUUUCAUGGACCAAUCGAUAUCGGAUUGAGUCCAAAACCUGUGGAACAAGAUAAUAUGGUGGGAGGAGUCAUUUGGUGACUUUUGAGUGAAAUCCAAUGGCUAAAACUAUGCAAUACACUAACCACUCAUUUCAUAACGAACUUCAUACGAACCUGAAUUGUCCAAUUUCAUGGACCAAUCGAUAUCGGAUUGAGUCCAAAACUUGGGGAACAUCAUAAUACAAUGGGUGGAGUCAUUUGGCAGGUUUUGAGUGAAAUCCAACCUCUACAACUAUGCAAUACACCAACCACUCCAUUUCAUAACGAACUUCAUACGAACCUGAAUUGUCCAAUUUCAUGGACCCAUCGAUAUCUGAUCGAGUCCAAAACUUGUGGAACAAGAUAAUAUGAUGGGAGGAGUCAUUUGGUGAGUUUUGAGUGAAAUCCAAUGGCUAAAACUAUGCAAUACACUAACCACUCCAUUUCAUAACGAACUUCGUACGAACCUGAACUGUCCAAUUUCAUGGACCAAUCGAUAUCGGAUUGAGUCCAAAACUUGGGGAACAUCAUAAUAUGAUGGGAGGUGUCAUUUUGUGACUUUUGAGUGAAAUCCAACUGCUAAAACUAUGCAAUACACCAACCACUCCAUUUCGGAACGAACUUCGUACGAACCUGAAUUGUCCAAUUUCAUGGACCAAUCGAUAUCGGAUUGAGUCCAAAACUUGGGGAACAUCAUAAUACGGUGGGGAGGAGUCAUUUCGUGACUUUUGAGUGAAAUCCAAUGGCUAAAACUAUGCUAUACACAAACACCCCUUUCUAACGAACUUCGUAGAACCUAAAUUGUCCAUUUAUGGACCAAUCAUAUCGGAUUGAGUCCAAAACUUGGGGAACAUCAUCACAUGAUGGGAGGAGUCAGUUGGUGACUUUGGAGUGAAAUCCAAUGGCUAAAACUAUGCAACACACUAAACACACCAUUUCAGAACGAACUUCGUAAGAACCUGAAAUGUCCAAUUUCAUGGACCAAUCGAUAUCGGAUUGAGUCCAAAACUUGGGGAACAUCAUCAUAUGAUGGGAGGAGUCAUUUGGUGACUUUUGAGUGAAAUCCAACGGCUAAAACUAUGCAAUACACUAACCACUGCAUUUCAGAACGAACUUCGUACAAACCUGAAUUGUCCAAUUUCAUGGACCAAUCGAUAUCGGAUUGAGUCCGAAACUUGGGGAACAUCAUAAUAUGAUGGGAGGAGUCAUUUGGUGACUUUUGAGUGAAUCCAAUGGCUAAAACUGUGCAAUACACCAACCACUCCAUUUCGGAACGAACUUCGUACGAACCUGAAUUGUCCAAUUUCAUGGACCAAUCGAUAUCGGAUUGAGUUCAAAACUUGGGGAACAUCAUAAUACGGUGGGAGGAGUCAUUCGGUGACUUUUGAGUGAAAUCCAAUGGCUAAAACUAUGCAAUACACUAAACACACCAUUUCAUAACAACUUCGUAAGAACCUAAAUUGUCCAAUUUCAUGGACCAAUCGAUAUCGGAUUGAGUCCAAAACUUGGGGAACAUCAUCACAUGAUGGGAGGAGUCAUUUGUUGACUUUGGAGUGAAAUCCAAUGGCUAAAACUAUGCAAUACACUAAACACACCAUUUCAGAACGAACUUCGUAAGAACCUGAAUUGUCCAAUUUCAUGGACCAAUCGAUAUCGGAUUGAGUCCAAAACUUGGGGAACAUCAUCAUAUGAUGGGAGGAGUCAUUUGGUGACUUUUGAGUGAAAUCCAAUGGCUAAAACUAUGCAAUACACUAACCACUCCAUUUCAGAACGAACUUCGUACAAACCUGAAUUGUCCAAUUUCAUGGACCAAUCGAUAUCGGAUUGAGUCCGAAACGUGGGGAACAUCAUAAUAUGAUGGGAGGAGUCAUUUGGUGCCUUUUGAGUGAAAUCCAAUGGCUAAAACUAUACAAUACACUAACCACUCCAUUUCAUAAUGAACUUCGUACGAACUUGAAUUGUCCAAUUUUAUGGACCAAUCGAUAUCGGAUUGAGUCCGAAACUUGGGGAACAUCAUAAUAUGAUGGGAGGAGUCAUUUGGUGACUUUUGAGUGAAAUCCAACUGCUAAAACUAUGCAAUACACCAACCACUCCAUUUCGGAACGAACUUCGUACGAACCUGAAUUGUCCAAUUUCAUGGACCAAUCGAUAUCGGAUUGAGUCCAAAACUUGGGGAACAUCAUAAUACGGUGGGAGGAGUCAUUCGGUGACUUUUGAGUGAAAUCCAAUGGCUAAAACUAUGCAAUACACUAAACAUACCAUUUCAUAACGAACUUCGUAAGAACCUAAAUUGUCCAAUUUCAUGGACCAAUCGAUAUCGGAUUGAGUCCAAAACUUGGGGAACAUCAUCACAUGAUGGGAGGAGUCAGUUGGUGACUUUGGAGUGAAAUCCAAUGGCUAAAACUAUGCAACACACUAAACACACCAUUUCAGAACGAACUUCGUAAGAACCUGAAAUGUCCAAUUUCAUGGACCAAUCGAUAUCGGAUUGAGUCCAAAACUUGGGGAACAUCAUCAUAUGAUGGGAGGAGUCAUUUGGUGACUUUUGAGUGAAAUCCAACGGCUAAAACUAUGCAAUACACUAACCACUGCAUUUCAGAACGAACUUCGUACAAACCUGAAUUGUCCAAUUUCAUGGACCAAUCGAUAUCGGGAUUGAGUCCGAACUUGGGGAACAUCAUAAUAUGAUGGGAGGAGUCAUUUGGGUGACUUUGAGUGAAUCCAAUGGCUAAACUAUGCAAUACANNNNNNNNNNNNNNNNNNNNNNNNNNNNNNNNNNNNNNNNNNNNNNNNNNNNNNNNNNNNNNNNNNNNNNNNNNNNNNNNNNNNNNNNNNNNNNNNNNNNNNNNNNNNNNNNNNNNNNNNNNNNNNNNNNNNNNNNNNNNNNNNNNNNNNNNNNNNNNNNNNNNNNNNNNNNNNNNNNNNNNNNNNNNNNNNNNNNNNNNNNNNNNNNNNNNNNNNNNNNNNNNNNAUCGAUAUCGGAUUGAGUCCAAAACUUGGGGGAACAUCAUCACCUGAUGGGAGGAGUCAUUUGGUGACUUUGGAGUGAAAAUCCAAUGGCUAAAACUAUGCAAUACACUAAACACACCAUUUCAGAACGAACUUCGUAAGAACCUGAAUUGUCCAAUUUCAUGGACCAAUCGAUAUCGGAUUGAGUCCAAAACUUGGGGAACAUCAUGAUAUGAUGGGAGGAGUCAUUUGGUGACUUUUGAGUGAAAUCCAACGGCUAAAACUAUGCAAUACACUAACCACUCCAUUUCAGAACGAACUUCGUACAAACCUGAAUUGUCCAAUUUCAUGGACCAAUCGAUAUCGGAUUGAGUCCGAAACUUGGGGAACAUCAUAAUAUGAUGGGAGGAGUCAUUUGGUGAAUUUUGAGUGAAUCCAAUGGCUAAAACUAUGCAAUACACCAACCACUCCAUUUCGGAACGAACUUCGUACGAACCUGAAUUGUCCAAUUUCAUGGACCAAUCGAUAUCGGAUUGAGUCCAAAACUGGGNNNNNNNNNNNNNNNNNNNNNNNNNNNNNNNNNNNNNNNNNNNNNNNNNNNNNNNNNNNNNNNNNNNNNNNNNNNNNNNNNNNNNNNNNNNNNNNNNNNNAACGAACUUCGUACGAACCUGAAUUGUCCAAUUUCAUGGACCAAUCGAUAUCGGAUUGAGUCCAAAACUUGGGGAACAUCAUAAUACGGCGGGAGGAGUCAUUCGGUGACUUUUGAGUGAAAUCCAAUGGCUAAAACUAUGCAAUACACUAACCACUCCAUUUCAGAACGAACUUCGUACAAACCUGAAUUGUCGAAUUUCAUGGACCAAUCGAUAUCGGAUUGAGUCCAAAACUUGGGGAACAUCAUAAUACGGUGGGAGGAGUCAUUUGGCGGGUUUUGAAUGAAAUCGAAUCUCUACAACUGUGCAAUACACCAAGCACUCCAUUUCAUAACGAACUUCAUACGAACCUGAAUUGUCCAAUUUCAUGCACCAAUCGAUAUUUGAUUGAGUCGAAAACUUAGGGAACAUCAUAAUAUGAUGGGAGGAGUCAUUUGGUGACUUUUGAGUGAAAUCCAAUGGCUAAAACUAUGCAAUACACUAAACACACCAUUUCAGAACGAACUUCGUAAGAACCUGAAUUGUCGAAUUUCAUGGACCAAUCGAUAUCGGAUUGAGUCCAAAAUUUGGGGAACAUCAUAAUACGGUGGGAGGAGUCAUUUGGUGACUUUUGAGUGAAAUCCAAUGGCUAAAACAAUGCAAUACACUAACCACUCCAUUUCAGAACGAACUUCGUAUGAACCUGAAUUGUCCAAUUUCGUGUACCAAUCGAUAUUGGAUUGAGUCCGGAACUUGAGGAGCAACAUAAUAUGAUGGGAGGAGUCAUUUGGUGGCUUUUGACUCAAAUCCAAUGGCUAAAACUAUGCAAUACACUAACCACUACAUUUCAGAACGAACUUCGUACAAACCUGAAUUGUCCAAUUUCAUGGACCAAUCGAUAUCGGAUUGAGUCCAAAACUUGGGGAAUAUCAUAAUAAGGUGGGAGGAGUCAUUUGGGGUGUUUUGAGUGAAAUCCAUGGCCUAAAACUAUGCAAUACACCAACCACUCCAUUUCACAACGAACUUCGUACGACCCUGAUUUGUCCAUUUUCAUGGACCAAUCGAUAUCGGAUUGAGUCCAAAACUUGGGGAACAUCAUAAUACGGCGGGAGGAGUCAUUCGGUGACUUUUGAGUGAAAUCCAAUGGCUAAAACUAUGCAAUACACUAACCACUCCAUUUCAGAACGAACUUCGUACAAACCUGAAUUGUCCAAUUUCAAGGACCAAUCGAUAUCGGAUUGAGUCCAAAACUUGGGGAACAUCAUAAUACGGAGAGAGGAGUCAUUUGUUGUCUUUUGACUGAAAUCCAAUGGCUAAAACUAUNNNNNNNNNNNNNNNNNNNNNNNNNNNNNNNNNNNNNNNNNNNNNNNNNNNNNNNNNNNNNNNNNNNNNNNNNNNNNNNNNNNNNNNNNNNNNNNNNNNNNNNNNNNNNNNNNNNNNNNNNNNNNNNNNNNNNNNNNNNNNNNNNNNNNNNNNNNNNNNNNNNNNNNNNNNNNNNNNNNNNNNNNNNNNNNNNNNNNNNNNNNNNNNNNNNNNNNNNNNNNNNNNNNNNNNNNNNNNNNNNNNNNNNNNNNNNNNNNNNNNNNNNNNNNNNNNNNNNNNNNNNNNNNNNNNNNNNNNNNNNNNNNNNNNNNNNNNNNNNNNNNNNNNNNNNNNNNNNNNNNNNNNNNNNNNNNNNNNNNNNNNNNNNNNNNNNNNNNNNNNNNNNNNNNNNNNNNNNNNNNNNNNNNNNNNNNNNNNNNNNNNNNNNNNNNNNNNNNNNNNNNNNNNNNNNNNNNNNNNNNNNNNNNNNNNNNNNNNNNGAAUCCAAUGGCUAAAACUAUGCAAUACACCAACCACUCCAUUUCGGAACGAACUUCGUACGAACCUGAAUUGUCCAAUUUCAUGGACCAAUCGAUAUCGGAUUGAGUCCAAAACUUGGGGAAUAUCAUAAUAAGGUGGGAGGAGUCAUUUGGGGUGUUUUGAGUGAAAUCCAAUGGCUAAAACUAUGCAAUACACCAACCACUCCAUUUCAGAACGAACUUCGUACGAACCUGAAUUGUCCAAUUUCAUGGACCAAUCGAUAUCGGAUUGAGUCCAAAACUUGGGGAACAUCAUAAUACGGCGGGAGGAGUCAUUCGGUGACUUUUGAGUGAAAUCCAAUGGCUAAAACUAUGCAAUACACUAACCACUCCAUUUGAGAACGAACUUCGUACAAACCUGAAUUGUCCAAUUUCAUGGACCAAUCGAUAUCGGAUUGAGUCCAAAACUUGGGGAACAUCAUAAUACGGAGAGAGGAGUCAUUUGUUGUCUUUUGACUGAAAUCCAAUGGCUAAAACUAUAUAUGCAAUACACUAACCACUCCAUUUCGGAACGAACUUCGUACGAACCUGAAUUGUCCAAUUUCGUGUACCAAUCGAUAUUGGAUUGAGUCCGGAACUUGAGAGCAACAUAAUAUGAUGGGAGGAGUCAUUUGGUGUCUUUUGACUGAAAUCCAAUGGCUAAAACUAUGCAAUACACUAAACCACUAUAUUUCAGAACGAACUUCGUACAAACUGAAUUGUCCAAUUUCAUGGACCAAUCGAUAUCGGAUUGAGUCCAAAACUUGGGGAAUAUCAUAAUAAGGUGGGAGGAGUCAUUUGGGGUGUUUUGAGUGAAAUCCAAUGGCUAAAACUAUGCAAUACACCAACCACUCCAUUUCAGAACGAACUUCGUACGAACCUGAAUUGUCCAAUUUCAUGGACCAAUCGAUAUCGGAUUGAGUCCAAAACUUGGGGAACAUCAUAAUACGGCGGGAGGAGUCAUUCGGUGACUUUUGAGUGAAAUCCAAUGGCUAAAACUAUGCAAUACACUAACCACUCCAUUUCAGAACGAACUUCGUACAAACCUGAAUUGUCCAAUUUCAAGGACCAAUCGAUAUCGGAUUGAGUCCAAAACUUGGGGAACAUCAUAAUACGGAGAGAGGAGUCAUUUGUUGUCUUUUGACUGAAAUCCAAUGGCUAAAACUAUAUAUGCAAUACACUAACCACUCCAUUUCGGAACGAACUUCGUACGAACCUGAAUUGUCCAAUUUCAUGGACCAAUCGAUAUCGGAUUGAGUCCAAAACUUGGGGAACAUCAUAAUACGGUGGGAGGAGUCAUUUGGUGACUUUGAGUGAAAUCCAAUGGCUAAAACUAUGCAAUACACUAAACACACCAUUUCAUAACAACUUCAUAAGAACNNNNNNNNNNNNNNNNNNNNNNNNNNNNNNNNNNNNNNNNNNNNNNNNNNNNNNNNNNNNNNNNNNNNNNNNNNNNNNNNNNNNNNNNNNNNNNNNNNNNGUCAUUUGGUGACUUUUGAGUGAAAUCCAAUGGCUAAAACUAUGCAAUACACUAACCACUCCAUUUCAGAACGAACUUCGUACAAACUGAAUUGUCCAUUUUCAUGGACCAAUCGAUAUCGGAUUGAGUCCAAAACUUGGGGAACAUCAUAAUAUGAUGGGAGGAGUCAUUUGGUGACUUUUGAGUGAAUCCAAUGGCUAAAACUAUGCAAUACACCAACCACUCCAUUUCGGAACGAACUUCGUACGAACGUGAAUUGUCCAAUUUCAUGGACCAAUCGAUAUCGGAUUGAGUCCAAAACUUGGGGAACAUCAUCAUAUGAUGGGAGGAGUCAUUUGGUGACUUUUGAGUGAAAUCCAAUGGAUAAAACUAUGCAAUACACUAACCACUCCAUUUAAGAACGAACUUCGUACAAACCUGAAUUGUCCAAUUUCAUGGACCAAUCGAUAUCGGAUUGGGUCCGAAACUUGGGGAACAUCAUAAUAUGAUGGGAUGAGUCAUGUGGUGCCUUUUGAGUGAAAUCCAAUGGCUAAAACUAUGCAAUACACUUACCACUCCAUUUAAGAACGAACUUUGUACAAACUUGAAUUGUCCAAUUUCAUGGACCAAUCGAUAUCGGAUUGGGUCCGAAACUUGGGGAACAUCAUAAUAUGAUGGGAUGAGUCAUGUGGUGCCUUUUGAGUGAAAUCCAAUGGCUAAAACUAUGCAAUACACUUACCACUCCAUUUAAGAACGAACUUUGUACAAACUUGAAUUGUCCAAUUUCAUGGACCAAUCGAUAUCGGAUUGAGUCCAAAACUUGGGGAACAUCAUAAUACGGAGGGAGGAGUCAUUUGGGGUCUUUUGAGUGAAAUCCAAUGGCUAAAACUAUGCAAUACACUAACCACUCCAUUUCAGAACGAAAUUCGUACAAACCUGAAUUGUCCAAUUUCAUGGACCAAUCGAUAUCGGAUUGAGUCCAAAACUUGGGGAACAUCAUAAUACGGUGGGAGGAGUCAUUUGGUGACUUUUGAGUGAAAUCCAAUGGCUAAAACUAUGCAAUACACUAAACACACCAUUUCAUAACAACUUCGUAAGAACCUAAAUUGUCCAAUUUCAUGGACCAAUCGAUAUCGGAUUGGGUCCAAAACUUGGGGAACAUCAUCACAUGAUGGGAGGAUUCAUUUGGUGACUUUGGAGUGAAAUCCAAUGGCUAAAACUAUGCAAUACACGAAACACACCAUUUCAGAACGAACUUCGUAAGAACCUGAAUUGUCCAAUUUCAUGGACCAAUCGAUAUCGGAUUGAGUCCAAAACUUGGGGAACAUCAUCAUAUGAUGGGAGGAGUCAUUUGGUGACUUUUGAGUGAAAUCCAACGGCUAAAACUAUGCAAUACACUAACCACUCCAUUUCAGAACGAACUUCGUACAAACCUGAAUUGUCCAAUUUCAUGGACCAAUCGAUAUCGGAUUGAGUCCGAAACUUGGGGAACAUCAUAAUAUGAUGGGAGGAGUCAUUUGGUGAAUUUUGAGGUGAAUCCAAUGGCUAAAACUAUGCAAUACACCAACCACUCCAUUUCGGACGAACUUCGUACGAACCUGAAUUGUCCAAUUUCAUGGACCAAUCGAUAUCGGAUUGAGUCCAAAACUUGGGGAACAUCAUAAGACGGUGGGAGGAGUCAUUUGGUGAGUUUUGAGUGAAAUCCAAUGGCUAAAACUAUGCAAUACACUAAACACACCAUUUCAUAACAACUUCGUAAGAACCUAAAUUGUCCAAUUUUAUGGACCAAUCGAUAUCGGAUUGAGUCCAAAACUUGGGGAACAUCAUCACAUGAUGGGAGGAUUCAUUUGGUGACUUUGGAGUGAAAUCCAAUGGCUAAAACUAUGCAAUACACGAAACACACCAUUUCAGAACAAACUUCGUAAAAACCUGAAUUGUCCAAUUUCAUAGACCAAUCGAUAUCGGAUUGAGUCCAAAACUUGGGGAACAUCAUCAUAUGAUGGGAGGAGUCAUUUGGUGACUUUUAAGUGAAAUCCAAUGGCUAAAACUAUGCAAUACACUAACCACUCCAUUUCAGAACCAACUUCGUACCAACCUGAAUUGUCCAAUUUCAUGGACCAAUCGAUAUCGGAUUGAGUCCGAAACGUGGGGAACAUCAUAAUAUGAUGGGAGGAGUCAUUUGGUGCCUUUUGAGUGAAAUCCAAUGGCUAAAACUAU